rnacentral:lncRNA from 1 species
AUGUUAAUUUACCAACAUUUAUUUAAGUAUUUAACAACCGUCGGAAUUCUACCUCGUUGACUGCGGUGGCAGAGGAGAAGGAGAGGGAAGGGCUUUUCGUCUAGGAUUUCAGUGGAUUGAGUAAAGGAAGAAAAGUAGAUGGUAAUCAAUUUUUCUUUUCUUUUUUUUUCUUUUUCUAUUUGUAAUUGGGCCGAAUGGGCUUAGUGGGGUGAGUUGAGUGGAAUAACCUUUUAUUUUUGGUUGGAUUGGGCUUUAUAUUUAGCCAUUAGUAGAUUUUUUUUAAAAUUUUGGCAUAAAUAAGACACUUACACAAAAGUGUCCUAAAUAUGUGUCCCUAUAACCUAAUUCUGUUGUAGUGAUUCCAAAAGAUAUCUUAGAAUCCAUUUGGUUAUAUGUAUAUUUAAUAUUUACAUUGGCAUUUAGUAUGUUGCAUUAUAUAUUUAUUGUUUUGGUGCUAAAUUAUAUGUGUAAUAGUCACAUUAUCUAUCAAGAAGAUUUAUUUUUAUUGAUUUAUUUUAUUAUUAUUAUUAUUAUUUUAAGAGAUGAAUAUCUAGCUUGUUCAUUAAGAUUAUCCCUAGCAUAAAUAAAAAUUUUUCUAAUUGUUGCGCUUUGAACUGAGGGCUAGUUUGUUUCCUUGAAAGUUUGGUGGUGAACACGCGAGUUUGUAUAACUCAAUAUUGUUGACGUUUGGACGUAACAACGAACUCGGACUUCUGUUGGGCCCACUCAGCUUGCAUGUGCAGUCAAUCUCACGGGGAUGCAAGUUUGCGUACAGUGCGAAGUCGCGACUUCGCACUCAACGAGUGUGAUUUGGAGUUCUAUCACGAGUUUGCUUAUAGUGUGAACUCGCGACUUUGCACUCAACGAAAGUGAUUUCGAGUUCUAUCACCAAACUUCACCUAGCGGAUAAAACUCGCCGAUUUCGAUAGGGUGCGGUUUCCGGGGAAACAAACACGCACAAAGUAGACGAUUGGGGCUUCUACAAUUUUCUUUUGUCGAGAUGUUUCGAAAUAUUAAGAAAACCUAAUGACUUUGUUUGAAGAUAACCGUUUUUUUAUUUUUUAAAAAAUACCUAACGACUUUGUUUGAAGAUAACCGCUUUUUUAUUUUUUAAAAAAUAUAAAUUCUUUGUACUUUUCUAUAAUUUUUGUAACCACCUAUUCUAUCAGCAUUUAUAACUUAUUGGAUUCAAACUACUGAUCCAAAAUGCUCAAAUCUAGUCGUUAUUAUCUAUAAUCUAUCUAUAAACCUAUAUGAAGACACAAUAUUCUUUGCCACGUGGCAUUUUAUUCUUAAUUCUCAUAAUUCCACUUUGAAUUAAAUCUUUUUUCUUCUUUUCUUAACACCCAACCCUUCACCUCUCCAUUAUUUUAAUUACAUAUAAGGUAUCAUAUUAAUAUUCUAUCAAUAAGUGAGGUUUGUAACUUCAAUCCACUCCUCUCCUUCAUUAAUCUCCCACCUUCUAUUUUUUGUAACUCUUUUGCAUGCACCAUAAAAAAAAAAUAUUAUUGUCACAUAACAUGCUCUUCUUGAUUCUUUAAUUCCACUUUAAAUCAAAUCACUUUUCUUCUCUUCUCAACGUCCAACCCUUUACCUCCUUUUAAUUACAUGUAAGGUAUCAUAUUAAUAUUCUAUUAAUAAGUGAACUUUGUAACUUCAAUCCACUCCUCUCCUCCAUUAAUCUCACACUCUCUAUCUUUUGUAACUCUUUUGCAUGCACUAGAAAAAAAUAUCAUUGUCUAAUCUCCUACCCCACACUCAUCUUCCUUUUUCUCCUAUUGUGUUAAUGAUGAUACUGAUAAAAAAGAAGAAAAAGAAAAAGAAGAGCUUGUGAAGAACGUUGUCUUCUUCGAGAAGUAUCGUCCCGCGAAGUGGAACCGUGGCCUAUAUAAGUGCUUACUAAGCCGGUCCGCUCGGGGGCCCUCGCUCACCAUGAACCGCCGCCGCCUAGGCUACCUCCUCGCGUGGCUCACACGCGCCCACAAUUGGGUCGCGGCGAGCGGGGUUCUGAGCCUCCUCUUCAAGGGGGUAUUGCGCUUGAGCUUGCUUCUUGAGUAGUACAGGAACUUUUUGGUAAAUCUAAAUUGUUUGAGAAUUAUGAUUUAUAUGGUUAAUGUGAUGGUAAGACUAUGUCGAUUUAUAUAUUACAGUUUGGUGAUACAAAUGAGGUGUUUGUUUAUAGGUCGCAAUGGAAAUCUAUAAGCGACUCGGCCCGAGAAGUAUUUAACAGCUGAAAAUUAAGAAGAUGUAUAAGAUUUAGAUGAGCAAGCUCGCAUGGAGGAAGAAGUGCUCAUAUUAGUUUUUUUUUUAUUUAUGCUUUUGUUUUAUUUUUAUCUUAUAACCAUUUUUUUGAGUAUAUGUGGAGACUAGAACCUGAAAUCUCACCUAAAAUUUUUUUAAGCCCGAUACAUUAACUUAUUAUUUAUAUGUUUCAUAUAUUUAAUCUGUUUUGAUACUUAAACAAAAGUGUUUGAUUCAACUAUAGUAGCUCUUUUUUUUAUGUGUUUUAUAUAUUUAAUUUGUUUUAAUAUGAUAAAAUUGUAUAUCUCUUACAGUAUUUCGAUGAUUUAAAAAAGUAUAAAAAACUUUUAACUAUAAUUUUAUUUUUUUAACAGUUGAAUUUAAUAAUACAAAUUGGCUAUGCUUAAUAUGGUAUAGCUUCCUAUAUACCAAUAAACUGUAAAUAUAAAUUUUAUUGAAAUUUUAAAAUUUUAUUUUUAUUGUUUAUCCGCCGCAUCGCGCGUGUUUCUACACUAGUUAUUAAUAUUAAAGCUCUUGGGUCUUAUACUUUUUAUGCAUAAUUUAUUUCCCAUAUGGGAGUAUUAGUGAGUCACAAUUUAAGUGCUUUCAAAUUUUAUUUUUAAUGUGAUUUCCAUUUGCAUAUACAUUGGGCCCUCAUAUAGCUUAAUAAGAGGCCAAUUGAAGUGUAAAAAGGAUCCAGAGAAAAAAGGCCAGCUUAAUAAGGAUCUUAUACCUUCAUAUUCUUGUACACAUAUAUAACAUACAGAAGAGUAAUGCUAUGUGAAAGAAGGAUAAAGAGCAUAUCCUUUUGGGUUCUAUUGAUGAAAUUAUAUAAUAUAAGAGAUAAGCCUACUAUAGUAAAUAGUAACAAUACAAUCAGGAUUACAUACCAUAUAAUCCUAUAUCAUACUAUAAAAUCCUACUCUACAUAUGUCGUAAUAUACAAUAUCCUAAUAUAACAUAAAAAUACUAAAUAUGUUGUAACACUAUGCCCACUCUCAGAAGCAGACAGAAGAAGGGUUUGAAUGGUUCGGACUAACUCAUCCAGAAAUGUACAUAAUGGUUUCAUAUUUCAUUUUAAUCAUACAUCUCACUUUAAAUAAAGUAUCUAACAAAUUUGAUCACAGUUUCAAGUUAGUUGUAGAACAAUAAUAGAUGAAAAAGUGAAAUGCAUGAACACGAUAAUACGCCCUUCACCAGAGUCAUUCACCUCCAAAAAUACUAAUCACUUUAGCAUGCAUUCUGCUUCUAUCUACGCUUUUCAUCUUCCAUUUACUCUUCGAGAGUAAAUUAUUACAAUUUUUAGCUCAAAAUUUUAAAAACUUAUUGUAAUUAAGAUUACUAAUGGAAAAGUAAUGUAGGAUCUUAAUUAUUGACGCAUAUCAAUACAAUACUAUCACAUUACUUCUGCGUAAGCGAUACAUUAAUAUUUAGUCAAGUAAAUUGAAUUAUAGGACUUAAUUUUAAUAGUUCUGAGAGGACGAGUUAGAACUUGUUAUAAAUUAAAGUUUGAUGGCCAAAGUGUCCCACAUCUCAUAGUUUGAGGACCAAAUGUGUAAUAAAUCAACUAGAUUGCUUUUUAAUCCAGCGAGGGUAUUUUAUUUUUGAUUUCUAAUAGCACUAAAGCAUAGUGCUAUCAACUUUUUCAUCAUUAAACUUAUCAUUAAAUUUAUCAUAGUGCUAUCCUUCCAUUAUCCUUCAAUUCAUCAUUAAAUUUAUCAAAUUUAUCCUUCAAUUACGGACCGUCCCUAGAGCAAGUGAUAAAGGGCUUGGUGGUUGGUACCCGAGACCCAAGUUCGAAUCCUAGUUGAUUCACAUUUCUAGCUAAGUUUAUUUCUAAAUGAAAUAAAUGAAGCGGGUAGCGUGCUACCUAUCUCUCUCUCAAAAAAAAAAAAAAAUUUAUCCUUCAAUUCUCAGAAGCCCCCUCAGUUCUUGAUUUUGAGCUAACAUGAUAUUAUAACUGGUCUUAAGUCUCUCAGUUCUCGUAGAUUAUGUUACCUUUUCUGUCAAUGCGCGAUGUGGACACCAACGACAACAAUAUGGUAAAAAAUAGGAGCAAUGCUGAUGGUACACCCCAAUUGGGGUGUACUAUUUACACCCCACCCAUCUAUGGAUGGGAAUAUUCUCACAUGUGACUGAUGGACAACACUCCAUGGGUGGGAUGUAUCUUGUACAUCCUGAUUGGGGUGUACAAAAGCAUUUUUCAAAAGAAAAAUGAAAAAAUGCUUCUUAUACACCCUAAUCAGGAUGUACAAGAUACAUCCCACCCAUCGAAAGGUAGGGUAUUGUCCACCAGUCACAUGUGAGAAUAUUUUCAUUUUUUUUCGCCCUCUUAUUUAUAAUGUGGAAAUUUUAGAUAAAAUAGUUAAAUCCGAAAAUUGAAAAAACUAUAGUUUCAAAACCAUGAUUUUUUCUAUUCGUCAAACAGUAUUAAUUUAACUAAAAAUUAUUUUCAAUCCAAAAUUCAACUCGGGCGAAUAAACUAGCCGUCAUGCACAUUAGAUGUGCCCUUUCUUCCCCUCACUUAUCAAACAAUAAUGAAAAAAUUAUUUAUAGACUAAAUUAUAAAAAAUCUUUCUGUAAAUUUUUAUUUUUUUAUUUUUUUCUUCCUGACUUUUCAAAAACCUAUAUUUUGUCCUAUUAAAAUUUAAAAAAUAUUUUUAAAAAUACAGAGUUAAUAAAGAGGGCAAAAUGGCAAAACCGCCCUUACUUCUUUUAUAAAAAUAAUUUCAUCAUCGUCUUAUCUGAAGACAUAAGGCGAGGCCCUAUUUUUGCAAUGGAAGAAGAGAAAGGAGAAUGUAGCGGGCGGGGAGAGGCAGGACAAGGAGAACCAUUAGGGCAUGUUUGUUUGGGUGAAAGUGGGGUGGAAGUGGAGAGAAUGGAAGUCGUUUUCACUCUAAACAAUCACUUCCGUUGUUUGGUUUGCUGUAAAAUAGUUGCGGUCGAAACUCAAGUUAACCUCAAAUGGCAUAAUUGACUUCACCUCAUCGUAUGCCGAAGUCAAUUACGGUGAAGAGAGGUAAAGAAAAAAUAAUAAAAUAAUAUUAUAGAUAAAAAUAGUUAUAUUUAAAUAUAUUUAAUUAUGUUAUUAACUUUUUUUAUUCAGUUAAUAUAUCUAAAAUAUGAUAAAAAUUGAUUAGUUAAAGUUUUAAUAUUUUCUUUAUUUAGUUUGUACAUUAAAAAUAUUAUAAAAAAUAAUUAAUUAAGUAUUAAUAUUUUUUUAUAAUUUUAUUGUUGUAUUACUAUAAUUUAUAUAUAUAAAAUAAUUUAGCUGUUUUAAAUUAAAUUUUAAUUAUAUAAAAAUAUAAUUAUAUUCUUUUUAUUUAUUAUAAUAUUUAUUAUUUAUAUAUAAAUUAUAGUUUUAUAUCAUACACUUACUACCAAACAAACAACAGAAUUAAUGCAACUUCACUUCCGUAACUACGAAACAAAAAGCAGGAAAGUAGUUUUCACCGAACUCCACUUCAACCGAAAGUCCAGUUUCAGUAAAACAAACACGCCUAAAAGUGGUGUGAAGCAGAAAGAGAAUAUUUUAUCAUUUUAAAAGUUAUUUUCAGUAUAAAUUAUAGAAAAUAAACAGAAUAGUGAUAAAAUUCUGACGGAGAAUAAGAAGAGAAAGUAAAAAAAUAAAUACUUAUAAGAAAAUUUUCUAUAACCUAGCUUAAUUUACAUCGAAAUUUUAUUUUAACUGAAAGUUAUUUUCAAUCUGAAAUUCAAUUAAAGAUCACAAUCAAACCGACGGUCAUGUGCGUUAGAUGUGCCCACUCUUAGCCUCAUUUAUUGCUUAAUCAAUUAUUGCUGAUGCGGCGCAACGCUGCUGCUGCAUUCAUGAUAGAUCAGAUCAGUGUCAGAUCUUUCUGCCUGUACUUCUCAUGUUUGAAAUCCACCUGCAAUAAGAUAAUGGGUGCUCACAGUCAAUGUUCUUAACCACCAAAAUCUCAGAUUUGGUUUUAAAGUGAGGCUCAGUUUGGUAUUACAAAAAAAAAAAAAAAUUGUGUUACAUUUAGUUAUAAAAAAAAUACAAUAAAAAAAUAUUCUAUUUAUUUUUAUAUAUCGUAUCAUACGAUAUAUUUUUUGUUGUUCCAUCGAAAAACGCAGAAACAUAUUAUAUCCACUUUUGUCCUAAUUCUGUUUCACAUAUCAAUGUUAGAUGUGUCGCAAUAUCAAAUGGCUCCUAAGUCGAGUGGAGUUCUUUAGCGACUCACUCACUUAAAAACUCAUCAUCAAAUUUUAUAGGAUAGAUUGCACAUUUGGUCCUCAAAUUGUGAGGCGGGUGACACUUUGGUCUUUAAACUUUAAUUUUGUAUAAUUUUUUACUAAUUUAGUGUCGCCUCGUUGAUAUAAAAUUAAGUGACUUAUAUAGCAUCGUAAUAUUGGCGCAUUAUCAAUCAAAACACUACUACAUCACUUCUAUAUGAACGACAUAUCAAUAUUUUAUUAAAUUGAUUGGAUUACAAGCGUUGAUUAUAAUAAGGUACGCCGCACAUACCGUGGCAAAGGCGAGAAGAGAGAGAGAGAAAGAAAGAUCGAAUUUUAUAAGAAUAAACUUAUAAAGACAAAAUAAUCAUUUUACUUGCCCACCGUUAAAAAAACUAGGGAAAACUUCAAAAACCCUCCCUGUGAUUUCGUAGUUUCUCACUUUGCCCCCUGUGGUUUAAAAUGUAUCAAUUUGCCCCCCUGUGAUUUUUUUUUUCUCUUUUUCUUAUCAAUUUCAUUAUUUUUUUUCUUAAAUCAGUGAUAAAGUUAAUUUAAAGGGUACUAAAGUGAAUAUUUGAUAAAUCUAGAUGGGUACCUGAAGUUUUUUGUAUAUAAUUUAAUGAAAUAUUAACGAAAAAGCUACCGAAAAGAUAAAAACGAAACCACAGGGGGGCAAUUUGAUACAUUUUAAACCACAGGGGAUAAAGUGAGAAACUAUGAAACCACAUGGAGUUUUUUUUGAAAUUUUCCCAAAAAACUAACGAUCAAUCAAACAAUGUGGAUAUAUAUGAACAUGCCAAAAUUUUUGGAGAAAUAUAUUUACAAACCAAAAUAUUUUCGAAAGAAUAAAUUUGAUAACUUAAUUAAGCUUUAUAGAAAUAUAUAUUUGUUACUUGAUAUCUUAAUUUGUAGGAAGAUAUAUAAUUUUUUUUUUUUUUUGAGAGAUAGGUAGCACGCUAUCCGCUUCGUUUAUUUCAUUUAUAAAUAAACUUAGCUGAAAAUGUGAAUCAACUAGUAUUCAAACUUGGGUCUCGGGUACCAACCACCAAGCCCUUUGUCACUUGCUAUAGGGACAGUUAGUGAAGAUAUAUAAAAUUAAUCCUAAAAUAUAACUAUUAGACCUAUAGAAACAUAAGCAAGUAGAUAUAGGUUGUUAGCAUGUGAGUAGAACAUGUACAUGCCCAUUGGAACCAAGCAAAAGGGCAAAAAUAAAAUCUUUGGAUGAGACAAAAGAAUGAGUGACACACCACAUGGGCCAUGACAGCUAUGUUUUUGUAUAUGAUGAACUUCUCUCCCUUUCAAAAUCCAGCUAUUAUUUCCACCUCACUCUCCACAUGGCAUUUAUUUUUUUAUUUUUUGGGCAGUGUGAUUGUAAUGAGAAGCAACAUAUAAUUCACACUAUAAUUGAGUCUACAUGCAUCUUUUUAAUUCUAGAAUUUAGGCUAAAUUAUACUUUUUGGUCAUCGAAAAAGUACGAGCACCAGGACGCUCUUGUCCUCAAACUUUAAUUCGUUAUAAUUUGUAACUCGAGUUUUUUGAAUUAUUAUGUAAUCAAGUUUUACAGUUCAAUUUAGUUAGCUAAAUACUAACAAUUUAUUGAUAUGAAAAUAAUAUCAAAGUAUUGUGAUUGAUGAUAUAAUAAUAAUUAAGAUUCUUUUUAUCACUUCUAGAUUAAUAGUUUGUUAAUAUUUAGCUAACUAAAUUAGAUUGUAAGACUUGAUUACAACUAUUCAGAAAAUUUGAGUCAGAAAUUAUAAUAAAUUAAAAUUUGAGGGCUAAUUGUCACGAUCCUCAUCGUUUGAGGGUCAAAAGUGUUAUUUGUUCUAGAAUUUAUAAAACUCUCUUGUAUUUCCGGUAAACGAAAAAAAUAGCGGAUAAGAUUAGUGGUGUAAAUUUUAUACAUAAUUUAUAGAUGGACAGAUAAGGUUGCUUUAAUUUAAUUAGUAUAUAGAAAAAAAAAGUUAUAAAACUAGCACAUAAAUAUUAGUCUUUGGAUCAUUAAAGUGUAAAAUUUAGGGCCAAUUUUUAGGAUUUCCAGGAACCAUUAAUGGAAACUAUAUAUAUACAUACAUCAUCAUCAACACUUGUAGAUUGAGAUGAACACAUUUAUGAGUCAUCACACUUAUCAUGGUGUUGUGAUUAUUAAUUUAUUUGUAUAGGGUGGGUCACAUGCAUGAAAAUGACUACUUUGAAGGAAUUGAUUCCUAAACUAGGGAGACCUACUCUUACCUUAUUUCACAAGGUCUAUUUGGCUUCAUAGGAGGUUCUACAUAAUUUAAGACUAUUUUUAAAUUAUUAUUUUUGAAAAUAAAUUGUAGUAAUAUAUAUUAUAACAUCAAAGUGGAUCUUAAAUCCUUUUUAUUUUGUGAGGUCAUAAUUCAAUUAGCAAUGUUGCCUGUACAAUUAUUUUACAUAUUAUAAAUUUUGUAGGAAUAAUUAUCUAUAUACCUCUCAAAACUUUAAAAAUAUCUAAUUUAUCCUUUUUUUGUUUUCAGUAUACCCUUCAUAUGUUUCACUAUUAUUCAAAAAUACUCCAAUAGUUACAACCCGUUAAAUUAUCUCGGGUUAAACGUGAGUUAAAUAUCUACCUGCAGAGUUAAAAAAAAAUUAAAAUAGCUUUUUUGCCCUUAACUUAGCGGCAAAUAAGAAAAAUUGGUGAUAGUAGAAGGGUAUAUUAAAAAGAUCAAAAAUUAAAAUACUUCUUUUGUCUCUAACUUAAGGACAAAAUAAAAAAAAGUUGGCAAUGGUAGAAAAGAUAUAUUGGAAAGGACAAAAUAAUAAUUUUACAGAGAUAAUGACUAUUGAUAAUAGUUCAUUAACAGAAUUUAACUCCAUGGUAUAUUUGAAAUAACUUGGAAUGUAAGAAGAGUAUUUUUAAUAUUAGCCUUUUAAGAGGGAUAAAUUAGAAAGUUAAAAUCUUUUCAGGGGUAUACAAACAAUUAUCCCAAUUUUAUACAUUAGCCUCUCAAACGCUAAGAUUAAUUUACUCACUAAUUUUAUUUAUCUUUAUUCUACUACUAAAAAUCUAAAAAAAAAAGUUAAAUUCUUGAACGACGGGGUGUAAGAAGUGUAGGGUGUACAGAUAGUAUUUCUCUAGCUAGUUCAAUUCACUACGCCUAUAAACACGUCGCUUUUUUUAUUUUUAAAAUUCGCUUGCUUUCAAUUCAACCAUUUAUUAAUUUUAAAAAAGAGAAUUUUGAAUGAAAAGCAUGAAAUUCACCUCGUCCAAUAUUUAUUUUGCUUUUCGAGUAUAAUAUAUUUAAUUUUCUAGUAAAACUAUUAUAUUUAAUUACUUGUUUUUUAACACUUCGAUUCGAUAGAGAGAAAAGAAGAAAAAAAAAAUCAUCUCCUUCCUGUUUGUAUCAAGAUUUGAGCCGAAAAAGAAAAGAAAAAUCGAAAGAAAUGGGAAAAACAAAUUUCUGUAAAACUUUUUUUUUUUUUCCAAAAGCAAAGAAAAAGAAAAAAAAUUUAUUUACUUUACUUUUUUCCUAGAACUGCAUCAACACGUGUGUUAUAAAAUAUUUAUUUAAAAGUGUUCAUGAACAAUCCAGUAGAUUUUUAAUCUUAUCAAUAAUGGUACAGUAACAUUGUGACAGAUUUAAUUAAUUGGUUCAUAUAUCAUAUACAUAUAUUAUUAGUGGCACCUUAUAAAUUCGACAACACAUCAAUAAUAAAUAAAACUAUAUUGCGAGUGACCAACAAGACCGUCCCUAGAGCAAAUGACAAAGAGCUUGGUGGUUGGUAUCUGAGACCCAAGUUCGAAUCCUAAUUGAUUCACAUUUUCAGCUAAGUUUAUUUCUAAAUAAAAUAAACAAAGCGGGUAUCUUGCUACCUAAUUUCGUGCAUCAUAAGUUCUAUGUAGUAUCAUAAGCAACGAUGUGUUUGGACAUAGAACUAGCCCUUGGAUUCCUCAUGCUAUCAUUGACUUUAGUGAUGUAGCUUACACUGCUUUUUACUUAACUAAUUAAUAAUUGAUGCAUUCAAACAAGAUCUAUACGUAAUAGUACGAAUUCUUAUUGAGUUACAUUUACGUAGAAUCCUUUUUCUUUUUGGGCUAUAUAAUGAGUUCCUAACAUUUGUAGUUUACUGUAGAUAGAUAUUUAUCAUCUAAAUUCUUGUCACUUUCGAUAGAAUAAGUGUGACGCCCCAACUUCCCAGGGGGUCACCCAUCCUAGGACUACUCCCAUCCUAGCACGCUUAACUCUCUUAACCUCUUGGGCCUUGCCACCACCCAAAAUGCUUAAGCCGGGUUAAGAGUUUAGCCCUAUUAUAUCUUAUAUAUAGGACUACCCGGGGUCUCACAAUCUCCACACAGAACCCCGUAUCGGUUUCCCAAAACCGAUUACCGUGACUCGCCGGAAGUCCCGAGAAUCGCACCGGGACUUCGCCGGGACCCACUAACUGUCCCGGAAGGCACCGACUCAUGCCACGAGUCAUUUGCUGCCACUAAACACUUAUUUUAGUGUGACAAGGCAGCAAACACAAGGAUACACAACCAAACAACUAUUGGUGUAUAAUUGUUGGGAUCCGGGUUCCCGGGAGUGUCUAUUUCGACACUGGAACCCACCGUCGCUCACCCGUCAUUUCUGAACUCUCGAAAUGAUGCGAGUGACCAGCCAAUAAGGCUCAGCGACCACGCAAUAGCUCACGAAGCACCGUCGGAAGAAUUCCGAACUAAAACCGCGUUUCGUCGACAGAUUUUGCCGACAAACGCGCCGGAAAUGCAUUUCCGAUCUUCGUAAAAGUCUGGGGCCUUGGAAAAUCAUUCCAGAGGUCACCCACAGCUCACCCAUGCUGCCAACAGCAGCCACGACACAACAAAUUGCAUAAAAGCCCUCCCGAUUCCAAGAAAUCACAUUAUUUCAUGUGUUUUCCGGGCUUUUAUGGUCCGUCUACGCAAAUUAGAGGUCAAUCAGCCGAGACAAGAUACCCACUUAUAGGUUUCGACGUGCCGGAGGCCGUGCUCACCUUUCGGAGCACUGCCGGCUACUGCGGUGCGCGCACGAGCGACGCGAAGUUCUGUUAAACUGCGCGCACAGCGCGAAGUUCGCGACUAACUCACUAACCAGGGCAUAUUUGCCGCUGUCGGAGGUGAGCACGAUGUUCAGCACGAACCCUAGAUCAUCGUGCUCACUUCUCGAGGUCUCGGGGAGUCAUCGGAUCACCGGGAAGGUGGCCGGAAAGCUUAAAUUGCAAAGCUGGAACUCAAAAACAGCAUACCGGAGCAGUGGGAGCUAGGGUUGGUCGCCGGCGGCCGGGAGGCGGGCACUCCGGCCGGGGAUGGGAGCAGCCGGUCCGAGACGUCCGGGGAGGGUGCUGGCCGGCGGCGGGCGGCAACCGGUGGCGCGGCGGAGGAGAUCCACUCCCCCAACUCCCUCUCGGGUUCAAGCUUCCCGGCGGCGCGGCGGCGGCCGGAGGAGGUCGGGGUGGCUACGGUGCGGCGCCGGAGGCCGAGGGGAAGGCGAUGCACCCCACGGUGGGCGGCGGCGGCGCUUGGAAGCCGAGCGGGGCCGACCUCGGCCCGCACGCGUCUGGGCGGCUGUAGGAGCUUCAGGCGGCGGCCGGCGGUGGUCAAGGACGCCGGGAAACAAGCGCGUGAGGUCGCCGACAGCAAAUGGAGGCGGGGCAGCCCGCCUCGAGGCGGAUGCGGCGCGCGGAUGCAAAUAUCGCCCAGGCUCGGCCUGGGUGAUUGCCGGUGGCCGCAGGGAGCUUGGGCGGCUCCGGCGGCGUGCGCAGGCGAUGGGGCCGGCGGCAGGGGUCGCCGGGGCUCCGGGUAAGGGCGUCUCGGCCGUCCCAAAGUGGCGGCGGCCGUGCUAGCAGGGAGCUAAAGGGGGGCGUCACAAUAAGUUAUGUCAACUCAGAGAUAUAUACUACGGUCAUAGUUUGAAAGCUCUCAAACAGUUUUAGCGCCGACUUUUUAAAGUUUGUGUAAACGUUUUAUUACACAUAUUUGGCUUGAUGCUACAAACAUAGGAUACGUUAAAAAAGAUAAUAGAUAUUGUGUGCGAGGUCGAGAUGGCUGUAGGCGUGGAGGACGAUAUUGAAUGUGGUGAAGUUGCGGUAGACGCGGUGAACGAACACACGGGAGAAGAGGCUAGCAAUAAAAUGCGUAGAAGAUGCUUGGAUGUAAAAUAUUAGAGGGGAGAGAGAGAAAGAGAGACAUAUUGCCAAAAAUAAAAUUUUUGCUUUUAAUUUUAUUCUCUCUCUUAAUAAAGAAUAUUAAAAGGGUUCUAUUUAUAAAAGUCUGAUAAAAUAGAAUCCAGAAUCCUUCUCCGAAUCAAAGCGGCGCUCGUUUAUCUAACCUAACUAAGGUUAGAUAUUUAACUUAUAGUUGUUAUAAUUUUCUAACAAAUAUUGAUAGUGGAGACACUUUUACAAAUUAAUGGCAGAUUUUUUAGAGAAAUAAGUGUAAAAAUAAAAAUUUUGUAGGGAUUAAUCUGGAAAGAUGGUCUUUUGCAGGGAAUUCUAUACAAUUAUCCUCUAUUAUUAGAUAGAAUUAAUGCAGCACUAUCCAAUUUGUCUUUUUUUACAUAUAUCAAACCAAAAGAAGAAGGAGAAAUAUUUGGUUUGUCCAUCUAAUUGUCUAGAAAAUGAAAUCCUGGCUUUGCAUAUAAUUGUGAAAUUUGUAUUGUAUCCAUAUCUGAAAUGUCAAUUUCACCUGUUGUUGGUAAUAGAUUAUGUUCUGCUCAUUAAUAAACAAUUUGAACUUACGCAAUUUGCUUAUGUUCAGCUCGAAUAAGCUCAAAAAUAAAUAAAAAAACAUUAAAGAAUAGUAAUUUUGUUAGGAUGUUGUUAGAUUUGUAAUUGAUUUUUAGUUGGAUUAGAAUUAAUAUUUAAAUCUGAUGGAGAUAAAUUAAGAUUUAAAUAUUAGUUAGAGUAGAAAUUUAAUUAGACUAAUUAACUAGGAUUUGAGUAGCUGUUUUUUUUUUUUUUUGAGAGAUAGGUAGCACGCUACCCGCUUCGUUUAUUUCAUUUAGAAAUAAACUUAGCUAGAAAUGUGAAUCAACUAGGAUUCGAACUUGGGUCUCGAGCUGUUGAUGUAAACUAUAAAUAUAGCACAAGUGGUAUUAUUUUGGUGGCCGUAGUGGUAUGAAUUAGGCAUACUGAGGACAUAGUCAAUGUUGUCAUGAUUUUAUAUGCACCUAGUAUAUAGAUGCAACAGGACGUGUACGGCUUUCGUAGCUGUGGCUCAUUGGUAUAUUUUAUACACGGGUGCACAGAAUGAGAGAAAAGUCUCCUUACUUUAUGGAAGACGAGAGAAGGAUGGGGAAAAGUCAGAAAGAUGACUCGUGUUGAAACUACUCUAUUGUAAAAGAGAAAAGUCAGGUAUAAUCUUCUCUUAUUUAGUAAAUUUUAUUUUACCCGCAUAUUUUUUCUGUUUGAUUUUUUUUCUUUUAUAAUUGUGCCAGCUUUUGCUGAGAAGACAGAUUUGUAAUAAAAAUCCGAUUCGAUACUUUUAUUGUAGAAUCCCAACAAUCGAUACUCGAUCAACAAUAGUCGGUAUCGGAGCGGCUUGCGAAUUCUCAAAAUCUGGUAUCAGAGCGAGUACCGAAUUCUCAACAAAUUCCACCAUGUAAACAAAAACUCGAGUUCUCAUGCUAAUACAAUUCGACAUAAUAAUUUGAGUUUAUCGUUUUUUUAAUUUGACAAAGUUUCGUGCAAAUAAGAAACUCAGUAAUCGCUUUUCUAAGGCAAACUCUUGUUCACAAACAACUCAAGUUAGAUUCAAAUACAAGUAAGCUGGCUCAAGUUUAGCGCGUAGACAAGCGAGUUUAGCUCGAACUUAGUUCAGCUCGCUUAUGUUUGGCUCGUUCACAGUUCUAUCGCAAACUUCGAUCCAAAUUUUCAAUUAUCUUCUUCCGACAAACACAUCGAAUCAAUCAAUUCAUCCAAUUCUUUUUGCAUUUGGAUUUUUAGAUUAUAUAUAUAUAUUUUUUUAAAUAAUAUUUUCUUUUCAGUCAUUUUCGUGCGACAUAUAUAGUUUCUUAGUUAGAUUAGCAUUUGGGGGAUUAAUUAAGGAAUGUUAUGAUAAUCCAUUGACAACUACAACUCAGCUAACUCAAAUCAUGAGAAAUAAUUUAACAAAAAUGUGUAGAUAAAGGCCUUAUCUGGUUAGCUUGUAAUUGUACACGUCAGUCAUAUGAAUUUUUAAGAAAUCAUAAAAGCGAAUAAAAAAAAAAAAGCAAUACUACCUAUACUCCCUGAAGUAUGGUAUACAUCUUAUACAUAUACUAUUCAUAUAUAUUCUUGUAAAAAUAUCAAAUAACAGAUAAAUCCGUGCAAAGUUUAAAUGAUCAUAUUUAUCUAUUCGAAAAUUCUUUGGUUUACAAAUAUAUCCUUCUAAAAAUUCUGGUUCAUUCAUAUAUGUUUCUGCUGUUUAAUUUACCAUUAGUUUUUUAACGGUGCGUGCGUAAAAUGACUAUUUUAUCCUUACAAAUUUAUCCCUAUAAAAAGAUAUCUUUCCUUCUCUCUCUCCUUGCCAUCGUCGCUGCAACCGAAGGCCUCACCGUCGACGUCAACGUCGCCAUGGAUAGAGAGGAGAGGGUGAGAAAGAUGACGGAACUUAACAUUAGAAUACAAAUUAUAUAUAUAUAGAGUAAAAAGAUUAUUUUACUCCUUAUCUAACUAUGAUUAGCUUUUUAUGGUUAUCUAAAUUUUGGUAAUAAAAGGACACAUUUACAGACGGGAGGAUGUUUGGAGGAAAAAAUUUGAUAACUUAAAUAUUGUAAAAAUAUAUUUGCUAUUUAAUAUUUUUGUAAAAAAUCAUAUGCAAUUUUCUCAAUAUUUCGUAUAUCCAACAAAAAUACGUACUAAAACACUCUAAAAACUUAAUUUUUCUUAAAAAUUUAAUAAGAAAGCCCGAACGAAUGUGUGCGGAUAUGCUAGCGAUACGCCAUUGAAAUAGCGGUACAGAUCGUGCGAGUGGCAAGAGACUACAAGAAGAAGAUGAUGAAGAAAACAAGAACAGAAGCUGUGGACAAAAAAAAACACUUAAACAAAAAAUGAAAAAGUUAACCAAAAAGGAAGAUUGAGGACCCACUUAAUUAAUUGGCUGUCUCCUUGAUGCCAACAGCCAUCAUUUGAGUUACAGUUCUCCUUUUUUUUUUUAAAUAGAGCCAAUGAAUGAAAAAGAGAAUUUUGUUUAACAAAUUAAACCAAUUUAUGUAUGGUUUAAAUGAUCAUGUAUGUACUUCAACAGUUCAAGAAGGAUGGAUCAGAGCCCCCUAUGAUUUACUCAUUUAUUUUUUAUUAUUUAUUUAUUUUUCAAUACAUGAUUUAAACAAAAAUUUUAUGGACAUACUUCCCAAACAAUCUUGUUUCGGAAUUGUCCUGAUGGACAUCACAUGGUGAGCUGCGCCCAUCCCAACAGCCCAAAAAAAGUAUUGCUUUUGCUAGAUUAAAAUCCUUUUAGGGUUGGGCGCAGCUCGCCAUGUGACGUCCAUCAGGACACCUUGCCAUGUGCUACAUAUCUCUCAAAAAAAAAAAAAAAAAAUCUUAGGGUUGGGAUGGGCGUCGCUUUUUGCUGGGCGGUUGGGCUGGGGGCAGCUCAUCAUGUGGCGCCCAUCCGAAUAAUCCCCAAACAAGAUUGUUUGAGGAAUAUGUGCAUAAAUUUUUGUCCAACAAACCCUCUCCGAUUUAUUCAAGUAAAGCCGAAGUUUGGGAUUUCACGAUUCGAAGGUUAAAAAUGUCUGUAAGUGUUUUAGGAGCUUUUCUUUUCAAUAUUAUAAGAUGAGUGAAAACUAUCAUCAAAGAACCUGAUGGUUUUUACCACUAUUUUGUAUCAUUAAAGUAGGUAAGAGUUCAUUGUUCAAUUCUUUCGGUUUUUAAUGGAUAAAAGUGGUGUGAUUCGACACUAUAGUCCCAAUUUUAGGACUUUACGGGGUAAGAGCGAUUGAGGGCCGCCUAAUGCUACUGAGUAAAAAUGAGAAAAUUACUUCUCCCUUCUGAUAAUAGACUCUUAACUGACUUAUUGCAAUAUACACGACAUAAUGUUACUUAUGAAAAUAAAUAGAACAUAUAUUUCUUUUGUAUUUUUUCAGCUGCACGUAACACAAAGCCCGGCCGUCGCAAUCCCAAACGAAAUCAAAGAGUUCAAGCUUGACUCUAUCAUUGCAUGAUCCAAAAAUAUGGGCUUAUCCUUGAUUAGCUUUUAAUCCAAAUUGACUACAAGUUGAAUUUAAUUAAAAAGCCAAGUCAAAAUUUUCUUUGUUGAUAAGAUAACAGCUAAUUGGCUACAUCCGUUGUCUCUCUUCAAUCUUAUCAACUAGGAGUUAUUGCAUGCACUCGUUCACGACACGUCUCAUGCAUCACACCGUAUUUUUAAGACCAAUUUGCAUAAAAAAAUCUAUUAAUUUUAAGUUUUUGCAAAAAUAGGUCAUAUUUUUAAAUUUUGCAUAUUCUGAUCGAAUUUCAUAAAAAAUCUACUAUUUUUAAUGCCGUAUCUUAAAAUCAAAAUCCACUCAAGUAGAUGUGAUCUGCAGACUUAAUAAUCAAUGGUGGAGAAAGAACUGUUAUUUGAUUUAUGAGAAAUAAAAAUAAAAAAUUUGUAAUUUUUUGUAGGUAGGCAUUUUAAAUAUCGUAAAAUAUAUUCAAUAAAUUAGAUUUUAUAAAUUAAAAUAUCUUUUAUGAUGUUUUAUAAAGGUUUGGUUUUGGUGCAUGCAAGCAAUAAUUUGCUGUCACGAGAGGAAAUGUAUUUUUCAAAACAACAUAAUCACACUCUAUCUAUAUCUAAAAGCGUAUAGAAAUUUCAAUAAUAACGGACGAAAUCCAAAUAAGAAUAAACGAAUAUUCCCUACAAAUGGUUAUGAUUAAUUUGUUAAAAAUAUCUCAAAUAAAAACGAACGGUUAUGAUUAAUCUAUUAAAUAUAAAAAAAUAUUCCCCUACGAAUGGUUAUGAUUAAUUUGUUAAAAAUAUCUCAAAUAAAAACGAACGGUUAUAACCAAUCUAUUAAAUAUAAAAUAAUAUUCUCUACGAAUGGUUAUGAUUAAUUUGUUAAAAAUAUGUCAAAUAAAAAUGAAUCAAUCUAUUAAAUCUCUAUUUUAUAAUCUACCAUAUUGGAACUAUUUAAAAACCAAAUUUUAUAAUUUUUUAACAUAAUUUACUAAGCAAUCAAAAGGUCCUAAAAAUGACUAUUUUAACGGCCGAUGCGGCACGUUUUUAAGUUCAACGGUAUAGAAAUAUCCAAAUUACAUGAAAAUUUAAUAGAAAAUUCUACUUAACGUCAAUAGCAAGAUCAAUAAUUUCGAUUUGAAAUUUGAGUCCUUUAUCAUUAUUUUUUAUAAGAUUUUUAUUCUCAGCCGUUCAUUUUGAGGCUACUUGUUCAUUAGGCAAAUGAAAUCAAAAAAUUAUGAAAUUUGAUUUCUAGAUAGUUCCAAUAGCGUAGAUCAUGUCUAACGGAACUGAUCGCCAAAUCGGACGUUUCAUCAUCGAAAACAACUUACAAGUAUGGAGGCCCCCGUACUUUCGAAAGUAUAGGAGCCUAUCUCUCUCUCUCUCUCUCUCUCUCUCUCUCNCGUUUUCGAUCUUAGGGUGUUCAAAUCAACGAUCCACACCGUUAAAACUAAUCUAAGGUAUUUAAAGUUUUUAGAAAUAAAAUUUUAUAUUUUUUCGACAUAGUUUACUUUAUGAUCAAACCAUUUCAAAAUUGUGAAUUUUCAAUAGCUACUAUGGCGAGUUUGGAGUUUAACGGUGUAGAAGAAUCUAAAUUUCUUCAAAUUUUGAUAGAAAAUACUUUAAACUAUCUAAAUUAAGGUUAACAUUCUUGAUCUUGAAUUUAAAAGUCCUAUACUCAAAUUUUAAAGAUUAUUCAAUUUCCACCGUCCAUUUUGACAUAAUUUAUUUACUAAGUAAACGAUGUCGAAAAAAAACUAAAAUUUUAUUCCUAAGAAUUUUAUAUACCCUAGAUCAUAUUUAACGGUGUGGAUCAUUAAUUUGAACACCCUAAGAUCGAAAAUAAAACUAUAGUACCAGAGCUCUAGUACUAUAGAUAGUAUAGUAGCCUAAUUCUAUAUAUAUAUAUAAAAUCUAUUCCCUACAGAUAGCUAUUAUCAAUUUGUUAAAAAAAAUCUCAAAUAAGAACAGUUAUGAUCAAUUUAAUAAAAAAUAACAUUCUUAUCCAUCUAUAAAUUCAAUCCUACGAACGAUUAUAAUCAAUUUGUUAAAAAAUAUCUCAAAUAAAAACAAACGGUUAUGAUCAAUUUGUUAAAAAUAGCAUUCCUAUUCAUUUAUUUUACAUUAAAAUUAAAAUUUGAGUUUAAAUUAUGAAUUAAUUUUAAUUUUUGAUAUCAAAUUUGAAUUAACAAUUAAUUUUUUUAUUACAGUAGAUCAAAAUUAAAUUUUAAAUUUUAAAGUAAAUAUGAAUUAAAUUUUGAUGCUUUUAGUUUAAAACACAUAUUUAAAUUUGAUUCAUCAAAAAUCAAAAUUAUAUAAAAAUGUUUGAUGUAUAUAAAAAAAAGGAAAAACUUCAAAAAAAACCCCAUGGUUUCGUAGUUUCUCACUUUGCCCCCCUGUGGUUUAAAAUGUAUCAAUUUGCCCCCCUGUGGUUUCUUUUUUCUCUUUUUCUUAUCAAUUUCAUUAUUUUUUUUUCUUAAAUCAGUGAUAAAGUUAAAAUUAAAGAGUACUAAAGUGAAUAUUUGAUAAAUCUAGAUGGGUAUCUGAAGUUUUUUGUAUAUAAUUUAAUAAAAUAUUAACGAAAAAGCUACCGAAAAGAUAAAAACGAAACCACAGGGGAGCAAUUUGAUACAUUUUAAACCACAGGGGAGCAAAGUGAGAAACUACGAAACCACAGGGGGGGUUUUUGAAGUUUUUCCUAAAAAAAAGAACACUGUAGGAUAUUCUAAAUAUUUUCUAAUAAAAUAUAACAUAUUAAUUUAUAAAUAUAAUUUUUAUUGUAAAAUUUUGGAUAUAUAUAAUGUACAAAUUUAUAUUAAUUUUCAACUAGUGUGUAUAUAUAGAGAGAGAGAGAGAGAGAGAGAGAGAGAGAGAGAGAGCAGGACUACUGUGCUCUUAGAAACAUGGAGGCCUCCGUGCUCCUAAACUGUUUCCGAUGAUAGAAUUUUCGAAUCGACGAUCGGCUCCGUUAGAUAUGAUCUAGCGUAUUUGAAGUUUCUUGAAAAAUAAUUUUUGCGGUUUUUCGAUAUCAUUUACCUAACAAUCGAAAGAAUUUAAUAUCAACGGCUGAAAAUAAAAAUUCUAUAAAAAUAGUGAUGUAGUACUAAAAUUUUCGAUCAGAGAUAUUGAUAAUGUUGUAUAUAGUAUAAAAAAUUUGGUAUCAAAAUUUCAUAUGAUUUGAAUAUUUCUACACCAUUAAAUGAAAACGGUAGACAUCAACCAUUAAAAAUUAUUGAUUUUGAACCCUUUCGAUCACUAGGUAAAUGAUAUCAAAAAAUCGCAAAAAUUAUUUUUUAGAAACUUCAAAUACGCUAAAUCAAGUCUAACAGAGCCGAUCGUCGAUUCGAAAAUUUUAUCAUCAAAAACGGCUUAGGAGCACAGAGGCCUCCGUGCUCCUAAAAGCACAGCAGCCCUGCUCUCUCUCUCUCUCUCUCUCUCUCUCUCUCUCUCUAUAUAUAUAUAUAUAUAGCCUUUGUGUAUUUUUUACUAGUAAGUUAUAACAUUUUGAUGAAAAAUUAUAGGAUUGAAAUGAUAGUAAUCUUCUAGCUAGGGUUUAUAUAUUGAAGUCAAAUUUUUAAUCAUCAAAGCGUGGUACGUACGUAUAAUUAUAAGUCGUUUUGAUAUUCACUUUGCUCUUAUAAAGAUUGGAAUUGAUGAAGAUGAUGAAACUCUUGAGAUUUGGAUUAAUUGUUGGGUAAAAUGAUCAGGGAGUGUAUCUCAAAAUUUUUUAGAUGUUAGAUAAUCCUACGACUUGAAGUAGUUUUCUUUAAAAAUUGUUAAACGAAUCCAUGAGGUCAGUAAUUGAUCAUCGUUUUGCCUCCAUUUAAUAAAGAGAAAACUUUAAAUAACCCCCUUGUGGUUUGGUGGUUUAGUUUGGUACCCUAUGAUUUGAAACGUUUUACUUUUCUACUUUGUGAAUUUACUUUUAUAUCGUUGUUAGGACUUGCCGUCAAGAAGAGUGUUAAAAUAUUAAAAUUUAUAAACUACAGGAUAGUAAAGUGAAAACGCAGCACUAAACCACAAGCGAACUAUUUGAAGUUUUAAAGAAGGAGAAAGCGACGGUGGGAACGAAAAAUGAAAAUAAAAAUUACAGAGCAUUUAGGUGAUACUGUUAAAACCAUAUAUGGUACUAAGGGUGUGUUUGGUUCGCAUUAUGAAAGAUUACUAGGAAUAAAAAAUAUCCGAGAAUCUUAUUCCUAUUUAUCCUAUUACUAAGAAUGUGGAAUUCCUGUGUCUGGUUCGCACGGUAAUAUUAAUUAGCCAUGUUAUUUAAUAUUACAAAAAAUAUACAUUUUAUUUAUUUAUUUAAUUUUAUAUAAUAUUACCAAAAGUUUCAACAUUUUUUUAGAAAAAAGGGAGAGAGAGUAUAAGUUAGAGAGAGAGAGCAUAAUUAAAAAAAUAGAAAGAAAAAUAUAGUCGAAAUUAGAGGGAGUGAGAGAGUUGAAAUUUUAGAAAGAGAGAGAGAGAGAAAGCUUAGUUUAGAGAGAGAAAAAAAAAAGUUGAAUUUUAGGGAGAAAAAUAAGUUUAGAGAGAAAUAUAAGGUUAGAGUGUAAAGAAAAAUAAUAUCAAUUAGCAUGCGGGUAGGAAGAAAGAAAGAUAUUAGACAUUUGUGAUUACCCCAAUCCAUUAAUAUGAGAAUAUCCACCCUCCCUCAAGGGAAUGAGAUUAGUACUUUGGGGUGAAUCUUAUUCCCAAGUGAAUCCGAUAUUACCAACUAGAUUACUUAGUGUGUUUAGCCAAACACCGUCAUAUUUUUUUAUUCCCAUUGGAUUAGUAGGAAUCUUUAAAAGAUAGCGCGAACCAAACGCACCCUAAAGGAAAAGUGCGGUAAACCAUAAGAAGGGCAUCUAAAGCUGUGAAAGAUAUUUCACCAUCCCGUCGACAUAGCCAAGUAGAUGAUAGCUAGUUAGCAAAGGAAGAAAUUGACUCCAUCAUGGCAAUUAAUUCUCAUCAAUAAGUUUGAUAGGAAUUGUAUUAGUUAAUCUUGGAAGAGUUGUUACCAAGGACGUGGAAUCAACAGUAGUGGGAUUUUCUUUGGUGUGAAGUGGUGAGGUUAUGUUGAAGUUGCGUACAGUGGAAGGAACUAAAGUAAAGAAAAAUAUAAAGAUGGAGAUGUUGGAUGUGGCCCACGUGAUUUAUUCAAGAUAAUAUAUAAAAAUACGAUCAGUCUAUUCAAGUCGAUCUAUAAAGAUACGGUAAAUCUAACGGUUAGGAUCAAUGUAUCUGGACAUAUUCUUGAUAGACGGACGUGAUUUAACAUCCUUACAUCAAGUUAUAUAUCAUACGGGAGCCUCGAUGUAAUCCUAAUCUAAUUUUCUGUGACGGCUCUAUCUCGGGGGACAAGAAAAUUAGACUCGAAACGUCUCACUCUCUUACAAAUAGCAAACGAGGACGAACCACGAGUAAGAACCGUCGUCUACAAUCCGGAUAUUGAAAUCGAAAUUAUGGCAAAAUGUACGAUCUUAGUUUCUAAUGAAAGUUCAACAGGAGAUGUGGGUGUGAAAGGAGGAGAAAAAAAUAAAUAUAUGGGCACUCUCAAUUAAUGAUCUCUAAUGAAUUCACUCAGAAUUCAUGUUAAAAAUAUACAAAAAUACAAAUUAUUGUUGUUACAUUCAAAACUGAAGUGAAUAAGAAUGAAUCAAUGAGAUUGAGAUGUUUCUUCAUUCAAGCAGAAUAAUCUUAUCCUUAUCCAUUAUAUAUAUAUAUUUCACAAGCAACUCAUCAGCUCUGCAGCAAAGCGUAGGCAUUUGUUAGUGCCUAUUGAAGAUGAGGUAUUUUUGUAAUUUUCAUAAUUUUUCUAGAUGUUAUAAUAAAAAGAGUUUCUAACUACAAAACACCAAAGACCAAAUAUGUGCCCUAACUUGGGUCUGGUUGUUUCUGUCACUGCAUGUGGUCCGUAUAUAACAGGUUGGUGCCAAACAAUUUAACAAGAGGACAUGUUAGUUGUAUUUUCUAUCACAGGUUUUCUCCCCUACAUAUAUUAUCUAUUUCUCUCCUCUUUCCUGAAUCUUCUCUCUUCUACUGUGCUUAUUUAUGCAUGUUAGACUCUAUUUGAAAUUGCAGAAAGGUUACAUUAAUUAUGUUUGGUAAAAAUAUACGUAGAAUGAAAUGAUAGUCUAAUUGUUUGUAUAAAUAAUAUCAUGUUCUGCAUCUCGCAAUAAUUAAGACUGUUAUGAAAUAACUUUUGCGGUCCCACUGAAAAACGAUAAAAUAAUGACUCUUUUUCGGCAUAUAAUGUUAGAUAGCUUUUGAUACUAAAGAAUCUUAUUUUGAUGCAUGAUUUUUUUGUUCGAUAUAUCUUAUUAAUUUGUCCAAAAAACUUAGGACAUAUUUGAUUUGAAGGAUUUGAGGUUUAAAAUGUGAAUAUGAAUGAUUAAUUUUCAUUAUUAGUUUUUGGUUUGAGGGCCAUGGAGGUGGAAAUCUAUUUUGAUUUCAGAUGGGAUUGAGAAAAGAAAUUUCUUUUUUUCUAUAGCAAUCAUUUAACUUCAAACAUUAAUAUAAAUUUAAUUUUAAAUUAUAUAAUUUUAUAUUUGAAUUUGAAUUAUGGAUUCAAAUUUUAAUUUUACAUUUCUUGAGUUCAAGUUUAAUUUUAAUAUACGUUGGAUAUUUAAAUUUAGUUCUAAAUAUAAAUUUUAACUUUGAUAAGUUCAAAUUGUGAGUUCAAAUUUGAUUAUGAAUUUGAAUAGCAAAUUCAAAUUUUAAUUAAAAUUUAACUUUCUAAAAUUUUAAUUCGAACAAGAUUUUGAUUUCUUUACGAACCAAAUAAAUUAGAGUUUUUAUUGUUCCGCUUUCCAUUCUAAUUCAUUCUCAUUCCUAUUCUGAUUUAGACUUCCAUUCUGAACCAAACAAGCCCUAACAGUAUUCAAAAGAUGAAGAUUGUGAUCAAAUGUUCAGCAUGGAAUACUACGUUAGAAAAAUUAUUCGCUUAAAUCAUGAAUAUUAAAACCUUCCAACGAAUAAAAGUCAAACUCCAUACUUCCAAUCACAUAAAAAAAUUCUCAUAUCUAAUAAAUUAUGAUUAAAUAACUUAUUUUAACAUCCAAAUAGAGCUGUAGUUUUCUUAUGUUUUUAACAAUCCAAAACAUUUGAAAUCAAUUGGAAGUUAUAUAAUAUGAGAAUCCUCCAUUUCUUCUAAAUAUUCAAAAUUGCCUCACUAUGCAUGCAAUUUUCUUGUGCGAUGGUAAGUAAAGUGUUUAAUUCUUUGCUUAUUGAAAGGUUUUGAUAUCCAUAAUUCGGCAAAAUAAAUUAUUUAAUUAGUAAUGUCCUAUUCAAUAGGAGCAUGUUCUUUUAUGGUUAGAAGAUAGGAAUGUGGUCAAAUGGAAUAGCAUAUUCCAAAUUGAAUAUGCCAUCCUAUCAAGUUUUAUAUGAAUGUUAAGACUUGUUAGAGAGCUACAAUCAAAUCAACUAUCUUCUAGUUUACACAAGAAAUUAUCAUCAUGUGGAUCCUUUCCUUAAAAAGGACUUGCAAGUCAAUUGUAGUACUUCAUUAGAAACAUCUAACCAUAUUUCGCCUUUACCAAUGUGACACUCCACUUUCCAAAAGGUCCUUCAUCUUAGAAUUACUUCAGCCUUAGCACGCAUAACUCUUUUAACCUCUUGAACUGUGGUACUGCGUAAAAUGCUAUAGCCAUGUGAGGUUCAGUCCUAAUAUAUCUUAUAAAUAGAAUUGCUCUAAAUUUUAGUGUCAAAUUCUCUGCCGCUGUAACAUAUGAUAUCUUUGUCAGCUCAGGUACGCUCACAAGUACCAAACAAUAUGAAAAUCAACUUUGUAGCCUUAGCCGACCUUGGGAGAAGUCGCACUUUACCCACAACGACCGUGAGCUGAGGAGUUUAAUCCUCUUAACCUCUUGGGUCUGAUCACCAUGUAAAAUGUUAUAGUCUAGAUAAAAAAGUUUAGUGGUGUAUAAUACUAUUCAAAUUAUAAAGAUGUCACAACUAAAUAGUAAAAAAAAUUCAAAUAAAUUAAAAAAAGCUAAAUUACAAAAACCCUCUUAUAAAUAUCUAAUUUUUUAUUUUUUCUUUCUAACUUUCAAAAACUUAUAUUUUUCCUUCUCAACAUCUCAAGUUGUUACCGACCGUCCCUAGAGCAAGUGGCAAAGGACUUUGUGAUUGGUACCCGAGACUCAAGUUCGAAUCCUAGUUGAUUCAUAUUUCUAGCUAAGUUUAUUUCUAAAUGAAAUAAACGAAACGGGUAGCGUACUACCUAUCUCUCAAAAAAAAAAAAAAAAAAAAAAUCUCAAGUUGUUGCAUCUACCCCCUUCGUCAAGAUUUCAUCACUGUUCUAUCCAUUUCAUAUAAUUUAUACAGAAAAUCUGAUAUAAUAAGUAUUUGUUUUUUUUUUAUUUUUUGACUUUCAGAAAUUCAUAUUUUGGCUUCUUAAAAUUUUUAAAAUAUUUUCAGAAAAUUAUGAUCUGAAUGAAAAAGGUGAAAUGAUCAAAUUGUCCUUAUUUGUUCUAGAGUGAAAAAUUUUUAAUCUAUUUUUAUUAGUCUAAGAGAUAUUUUUUGUAUAAAUUAUAUGAAGUAGACGAAACAGUAAUGAAAUCCUGAAGGAAGUGGACUAAGUGCAUCAAUUUGAAUUUUUGAGGGAGUGAAACAUAGGAUUUUGAAAAUCGGGUGGCUAGGAGGAAGUGAAAAAAAAAGAUAUUUAGGAAGUUCUUUAUAUUUUAGCUUUAUUUUAGAUAGAAACUAGCUUUUCACCCGUGGGAUGCACGGCUAAUAUAAUAAUAUAAAAUAAUAAAAGUUAUUACGUGAUGAUAAAAAAAAUAUUCUAAUUAAUUUUAUAUNUUCUAAUUUUUUUUUUAAGGUUCGCUUCUCGAUCCUUCUCCCAAACCCUAAUACUCGUUUUUUUUCGAAUUAAACGCGAUUUUACUCCAUUUUUUGGGGGAUUUGAAUUUGUAGGCGGAGGCGAGAGAGAGAUGGAGAACUCGGCUUCGGAGAAGAGCAUCUUCAUCGAGAGCGACGACGAUGACCACGUGGCGGACGCGGAGGAGGGGACGGCGACGGCGGAGGAGGGCCGUGCGAUGGGGGACGGCGACGAAUCGGACGGCGAGGAUUCUUCUUCUUCGUCGUCGUCCUCGUCGUCGUCGUCGUCUCCGGCGGAGAGCCCCCGCCGGAGUAGGCCGAGCUCGUACACCUCGCACCAGUGGCCGCAGAGCUACAGGUACGCUCCGCCCCAUCUCGCCGCUCCGUUCCGAAUCCAACGGCUCUGAUUCGAUCUCGAUCUCCAUCGCGAGCGAGCGUGGCGAUUCGACGCCGUGCGCGUCGGAGUCGUUAUUGAAGUCGGUGGCUACGAUGGAUUCGGCGCCGAUUUUCUAUUUUGAGAAUAAUACAUCGCCGAUUUUGGACCCGUGUUUUACGGCGUAUUAAGUAAUUAUUUUUGCCCCCUCGUGGUUUCGCUGUUUACAGCUCAAGCUGACGUGGAAAAUCCUUAAUUUUAGCCAAUAUUAGAUGUUAUUUAAUUUAGUAUUUUCUUCGGUUACAAUUUACGUAAACUCCCUCAAGUACAUCCCUUUUUUAGAUAGGUCUCUCAGAUUUUUUUAAAAAAAAAAAAUCGGCGUUUGUUUAAUUAAAGUUUAAAAAAUUUCUAAAUUUAAUUAUAAUUGCUCUAUAUUUAUUUAUUUACUAAUUAAUUAAAAACAUUGAAGGUUAUUAAAUUUUGUAAAAUUAGGAAAGUUUAAAAUAUUUGAAAUAUAAAAUAAAAUAGAUUAAAAUUUAAGGAAUGUUAAUAAAAAGUAAGUUGAGAGGACAUUUCAAAUGGUUUUUUUUCCCUCUCUAAAAAGCAAGAGAUGGAAAUCCAAUCUCUUAUUAGUUGACAUUUCGAUAAAUAAUAGAAUAUAUAUAAUAUAUAUAUAUAUAUAUAUAUAUAUAUAUAUAUAUAUAUAUUACUAGUAAAAUGUACGUGCAAUAGCACGUAAUAAUAUUAGAAAAAGUUAUAAUUUUUUAAAAUUAUUUUUAAUUUAGGCCAUAUUUUAUAUGAUUGCCAAAUAUGUAUUUAAAAAAUUUAAAAUAAUAAAUCACGCUAUUAAAAAAAUAUGCUUUAAUGAUAAAUAAUUAAUAAUAAUCUCUAAUGCAAAAAUUACUUUUGAAAUUAAAUAGAAAAUAAAAUAUGUUAGAAAUAAAUUUUUGAAAUUAAUAGAAAAAUAAAAUCCGUUAUCUUAAAAAGAAAAUAUAUUUUGAAAUUAAAUAGAUAAAUCUAAAAAAGAUAUUUAAAAUAAAAUAAAAAAAUCUCUUUUAUAAGAUUUUCAUAUCCGUAAUCUGUUAUAGAAAACUUACUUUUGAAUUAAAUAGAAAAAUUAUAUUUUAAGAUUUUCACAUCAGUAAUCUGUUAUAGAGAACUUAUUUUUCCCGCCGAAAAAUGGCCCCUAAUUUUUCCGCCGAAAAAUGGGCUGUCGACAGACCCAAAUUUAUAUACGGCUUUUUAUAUAUAUAUAUAUAUUAUAUAUAUAUAUAUAUAUACUAUAUAAAUAUAAUAUAUAUAUAUAUAUAUAUUAUUUUCAUUUAUCCAAAUAUAUAUUUCUGAACCCUUCAGACCCAUACUUAAUCAAUUAUUAAAUAACAAUAAUUUCAGUUCCUGAUCUUUUUGCGAACAUUUGGCCUACCAUCGCACACAGAAAAAUUCUGUACACAAGCUUUCCCACAACCCAUAUGAGAUAGGCACAAUCUGAUCUGAACCGUCCUUUUUUUUUUUCUUAUCUCAAAUAAGCGGCGUGAUUGCCCCAUACGCUAGUUUUUCUUACAUACACUUUUAUAGAAAAAUCAAGCUCAAAAAUAAUUCAGAAUUAGUUUUAACAUUUGGAAUAUCAUUACCAACCGUCUCUAGAACAAGUGGCAAAAAAUUUGACGGUUGGUACCCGAGAUCCAAAGUUCGAAUCCUAGUUAAUUUACAUUUCCAGCUAAGAUUAUUUCUAAAUAAAAUAAAUGAAACGAGUAGUGUGCUACCUAUCUUUUUUAAAAAAAAAAAACAUUUGGAAUAUCAUUAUUGCUGGAUUUGUGAGUUUUAUAUAAGCUAGAUUAGAUAAGAUUAAUUAGUGCCGAAAUAUUUUAAGACUAAUUAGGGGCAAAGUUUGUUUUUUUUCCCACAAUUAAGCAUUUCAAAGGAGUACUAUAAAAUUAUUUUGUGGUCAAUGAUUAAGCUUGUAUUAGGCUCUAAACUAUAUAAAAAAUAUAAAAUGGGCCCAUGUAGGACGUGGAGCCUUGUGUGUAUGAAUAAUUAGUUUAUAAUCAUAGGGAGGAAAAAAAAAAAAAGGAAAACUUCAAAACACCCCAUAUGGUUUCACUUUUUCUCACUUUAGUAUCCUCUGGUUUAAAGUGUAUCAAGUUAGUACCCUAUGGUUUCGCAUUUUCUCACUUUAGUAUCCUGUGGUUUAAAGUGUAUCAAGUUAGUAUUCUGUGGUUUCGUACUUUCUUAUUUUAGUACUAUGUAAUUUAAUAUUUCAUUCGGAGAAAAAUAAAACAUAGGAUACUAACUUGAUACAAAAAUAAAACUACAGAAUAUUAACUUGAUACAAAAAUAAAACCAUAGAGUACUAACUUAAUACACUUGAAACCAUAGGGUACUAAAGUGAGAAAAUGCGAAACCACAAGGUACUAACUUGAUACACUUUAAAUCAAAGGUUACUAAAAUAAAAAAGUGCGAAAUCACGGGAGGGUUUUGAAGUUUUCCCAAAAAAAAAAAAUAAAUAAAGAAAAUGAAGUAUCUAACACGAUUUACUAUUCCACACCAGAUUAUAUUUGCAACAACUUUUAAAUGAUUUAAAAUGUUGGUCCAGUUACGUUGAAUCUUGUGUCAAUUAAUAUUGAUACAGCUUAGCGUACAUGUAUGGUAAAUUGCACCGUUAGUCCCUGAAUUUGCGUUCGCGUUUCAUCUUGAUCCUGGAACUUUCAAUUUUGACAAUAGUGACCCUUAAACUCUUACAGUUGUUACAUUUUAGUUCAUGUAAUAAAUUAUUACUUACAUCCUAUUUCACGGUAGAUCCUUCGCAUUUUCUCACUUUAGUGUUCUGUGAUUUAAAAUGUAUCACUUUAGUAUCAUGUAAUUUCAUUUUUUCCUUUCCAUUAUCCCUUUGUUAAUUUUUUCGUUAAAUCAGUGAUAAGGUUAAAUUUGUGCAUUAUAUUUAUUCAAAAUUUUAUAAUAAAAAUUUAAAUUUAAAAAAGUAAAUCAUCUAUUAUAUGCUAUUAGAAAGUAUUUACUAUAUUUUAACUCAAAUUUAAAUAGUUGUUGCCAGCAAUAAUUAUAUAGUUCUUUUUUUAUUUUAUAAAAUUUGAGUUUAGAUCAUGAAUUAAAUUUAAUUUUGGGUAUAAAAUUUGAAUUAACAAUUAAAAAGUUUUAAUUUCAGUGGAUUAAAAUUAAAUUUUAAAAUUUGAAUUAAAGGUAUAUUAAAAUUUCGAUACUUUUAUUUUAGAACACAUACUUAAAAUUUUGAGUUUGUUAAAAUUCAAAAAAUAUACAAAAAUAUUUAAUGUAUGGUUACAAUUUAACUCUAUAAAAUAAAAAUAUUAAAUUAAAUAAGAUUAAAAUAUAUAUAUAUAUUUGAAAUUAAAUUCAAAUUUGAUUGUUAGUUGCAAUUAAUAAAAAGUAAAUAUAAUAACUUAAUAUAAGUAGAUAAAAGUGAGAUAAUCUAAAAAUAUUCAUCUAAAAGAAAAUAUAUGAAAAAAUAAAAGUUUGUUUUAUUUUAUAAUUAAAGUUUGUUUCAUUACGUAUAUAUUCCCAUAGAUUUUUAUUCUUAUAUAUUUAUAUUUCUAUUCUUAUUCUUAUAUAUAUUUUUUAAAAUGAGUCUGUCGACACACCAAAAUUUAAAAUACGUAUUUUUAUAUAUAGUUUAGAUAGAUAUAGAUAUAGACACAUACAUCAUAUGUGAAGUUAAUAUAAUACCUACAAUAGUUAUGUAAUGUCCCCUCUCUUUGUUUGAAGGAAGAUUAAACUACCAUUUAUCUCUCAUCGUCUCUUUAGAUCGAAUGAUGCCCAUUUUCUAUUUUCUAAUUCAAUGAGGAAGAUUAGGUUAAGUGCAUCAUAACCGCUCGAAUUUUCAUUCAUUUGCAGAUAGCCAUCUAAACUUUCAAAAUUUUAUAUUUACUGUCCAAAUAUUACAAAUUUUACAAUUAACCACUUUUUUUGAGAGAGAGAUUACAAUUAACCACUUAGAUUUCUAUUUUAUCAAUUUAUAUUGAUUAAUAGUGAUAAAUUAGUCAAGAAAUAAUAUAGAAUGCGUGACAAGGAUAUAAAAAAGUCUUCUUUGUUGCGAAAAACCACUUUUAUGGAUUAAAAUUGAUCAUACUUAUAAAGAAUUUAUGUGUCUUUAUUAUUUUUUUGAUUAUUUGGUUAAUAUUAGCCAUUUUGUAACUCUAAAACAUGAAUUUAGAUGGUUAAUUGCAAAAUUUUAAAAGCUCUGGUGGAAAAUAUGAAUUUUUGAGAGUUUAAAUGGCUAUAUGCGACAAUAAUGUCUUUCAACAGCUUAGCUAGGAAAUGGUAAUUAAUUCAAUGUUCCUUGGACCGUUGGGUAUUCAAAAUGUUACAAAGAUAAAAGGUAACUUUGAAAUAAUAUGAUUGUAUAUACUAAUAUGGUUGUUAGUUAAAGUGUAUAUAUAUACACUUGCUUUCUAUUUAUCACUUCUACGUAUAACAAAAAGGAUCAAACAUUUUCGCUUUCAAUUUCUUGCAAUUCAAAUAUGCAUACGUUACCACACUACACUUGAUUUAGUUUAUAGAUUGUUAAAAAUGUAACUAAGUUCUACUCUACCUUUUUUUUUUUUCCUUUUUGUUUGGUUGCAGGCAAUCGAUUGACAUGUACAGUAGUGUGACGCCGCCGAGCAUCAGCUUCUUGGGCACGCCGACACUGAGCCGGCUCUCGAGCUCGUUCCUCAGCUCCUCAUUUCGAGGCAAGCACACGCCGGAGCAAUCGCUGAUCAAGCCGCUAUUGCCGACGACCGCCACAGCUGAUGAGGAGCAGCAGCAGCAGCAGGAGGAGGAGGAAGAGAGGAAGAGCUCACAGUCCCUUCUGAUUCCUCGCUUCCCUUCGCGGAGGACUUCCCUGCAGAGCAUCCCCGAGGACAAGGCGCGGCCGAAAGUGUCGCAUGAACUGCCGCUGCCGCCUCGCCAGUGCACCUACACUCAAGCCGUGAUCAACGGUACGUUUUAUCGCGAUCAUCGCUUUAUCGUCGUCGUUUGAGCAUUGAUCUGAGUGUUCGUUCAUUCUAUUUGGGCAAAUUCACUUUGAUCCUAGUUCAGUGACGACCAGGUUAAGCUAGCCGCCAUUGGUCUAGUCAAACCAGACGUGCAUUAAGUAGACUUUCGGAUGAACUAGAAUUUAAGUAGAAAUUACCUAAAAGUCUCAACCGAAGAUAAAAUUACGAUAAACAAGCAACGAACGUGAACAUUUAUGGUCGAAAAUUGCUUUACGUAUCUCCGCUUUGGUGAAACGAACACACAUUAAUUCUUGGAUAGUUUAAGUAGAUCACUUUCCCUCUCUGAUCAUAGUCGGAUCCAACGGUUCGGAGUCAAAUGAAAUACCCACCCACUUUGAACAUCUGUUUGUUACUGUAGGGGAAGAAAGUAUUAAUUUUUAGGGAUAAUUACUUAUAUACCCUUUAAAAUUUCUGCAUAUAAUAUAUAUUAUUUUUUUUUAUUUCAAAUAUAUUUCUCGUAAAAUUUUUUCGUUAUUCAAAAAUAUUUUCAUUAUUAGUACCUGUUAAGUUGUCUCGAAUUAAAUCCAAAUUAAAUUUUUAUCAAAGUUAAAAAAAUCAAAAUAUCUCUUUUGUCCCUAAAUUACAAAUAAGAAAUUGCUGAUGUUAGACUAUUAGAGGGAUACAUGUGAAAGAGCAAAAAAAUCAAAAUACUUUUUUUGUUUCUUAUUUAAGAAUAAAUAAGAAAAGUUAGCGAGGGUAGAAAAGUAUAUUUAAAAGAGCGAAAUAGUAAUUUCACAGAAAUAACUACCGUCUAAAAAUUCACUAACAAAAUNCUAAAAGAGUAAAUAAAAAAAUUUAAAAUUUUAGAGAAAUAUAUAAACAAUUGUUUUUAUUUUUCAAUAUUUUUUGCGGUAGCACUCAUAACUAUGCUAUGAAAACUCCCACAAUGUAUCUUUCGCACCCAAUUAGGACCGGUGAAGAGCGACUUGGUGCCAAACCAAAAUUCAAAGCCAAAAAUUUAAGUACGAAUUUUGAAUUAUAAACACCCUUAAAAUACCUUAUAGAGCUAGAGCUUUUUUAGAGAAAAAAAAAAAAAAAAAAAAAAAACCUUCUAUUUACAUCGUUUUCUAUAAGCGGCGGAUGCUUUGUACAACUCACAUCCUUAUGUCUCAUCCAUAGAUACACCCUAAUGAAUCUAUCCUAUGAAACCGUCUAGGUGGCCUCUCUGUGUUAUCAAAAUGGGUCCUCAUAAUUGUGCAUCCAAAAUAAUAACAUAGGUGGGCCCCACUCGCAAAGCAUACAAAGAUAAUUAUUAUAAUAUUAUUUUACAUAAUAAUUUUAUAUGUUUUUUUAAUCAAUAAUAAUAUGGGCUCUAUUAAUACCAUCAUUUUUACUGAAAAAAAAAUGAUUUAAGUACGAUUCUUAUAUUAUGGGAGCUCAAUUUUGUUUCUACAUCUAAUUUUAUGGCUCAAGACAAUUUCAAUUUUAUACUGAUAAUACCAACCAUCCCUAGAGUAUGUGGCAAAAGGUUUGGUGGUUGGUACCCAAGACCCAAGUUCGAAUCCUAGUUGAUUCACAUUUCCAGCUAAGUUUAUUUCUAAUUGAAAUAAACGAAGCGGGUAGGGUGCUACAUAUCUCUCUCAAAAAAAUUUUAUACCGGUAAUAAAUUAGGUAUAAAUAAAUUAUGUAAUACUAAUACCAAAGUUAAUCGCAUUAUAACAUAUCAUAUUUUAAGAGGUAGAUAAUAAAUAAUAGGGUAAGUUGCACAUUUGGUCCUCAAAUUAUGAGACCCGUGAUAUUUUAAUUCUUAAACUUUAAUUUGUUAUAUUUCUAGUUUGAUGUUUAGAAUUGUUGCAAUUAAAUUCCGCAACCUAAUUUAGUUGACUAAAUAUUGAUGUAUCGUUGGUAUAAUAGUGAUGUAACAUUUUAAUUAUCACAUUGAUGCAUCAUUAAUUAUAACAUUGCUAUACCACUUUUACAUCAGUGAUAUAUCAAUAUUUAGUUAACUAAAUUAAAUUGUAGGACUUGACUGUAACAAUUCUAAAAUAGGAUUUGAGUCAGAAAUUAUAAUAAAUUAAAGUUUGAGGACCAAAGUGUCACCUAUCUUAUAGUUUGAAAACCAAACAUGCAAUUUACCUUAAGCGGACCUUUGGUUCAGUGUAAAAUAAAUCAAUAAAUUAUUUUUACUAUGAAAAAUAAUUUCCUGCUUGUUUGGUUCGAUAUAAAAUAUUAUCUCACAAAAAUAUUUUAUGGAUUUGGGAAAAACAAUUGAAGUUUUCUUUUUUCAUUGUUUUUGGAUAAAAAACGAACCAAAUUUAUUAAUAGAGGGACAAACACGAAGCUCAAGCUAUGUAAAAUUUUUUUAUUUAUUUUUUUCAUCGAACCAAACAAACGAAAUUUUUUUUCUUUUGAGCAAACAAAUAUUGAUAAAAAAUUGUUUUUUUCUACAAAUAAUACACUUCAAAAUGUAAAUUUUUUUCACUGAAUAUUUUUUUACAAAAAAUAAUUUUUCAUGCUUUUAUAUUUGGUUCCCUAAAUAAAAAAGCUUUUUAAGUGUCAACCUACUAGGUCGGUGACGGAAUCUUCUCUAGUGUGUUCGUAAAAUAAGAGUAUUUAAGACCCAGCUUAUUAUAAAAAAAAGUAAGCGUAAAUUGCACAUUUGGCCCUCAAACUAUGAGGAUAGUGACACUUUGGUGCUCAAAUUCUAAUUUAUUGGCUCGAAUUUAUAGAAUUGUUACAAUCAAGUCUUAUAACUCAAUUUAAUUAACUAAAUAUUGAUAUAUCACUAAUGUAAAAAUAACAUAGCAGCGUUAUGAUUACUGAUGCACUAUUUAUUAAGAUGUCACAUUAUUUUUAUAUUAACGAUGCAUUAAAAUUUAGACUGUUAAAUUCGAUUGUGGGACUUAAUUGCAAGAAUCCAAAAGUUCGAAUGCAAAUUAAAAUUUGAGGACUAAAAUAUCAUCUGAUUCAUAACCAUAGUUUUAUGAGAAGAUUUUCUUAGUAGCAUCUUCUAGUAGUAUGUCCAAAUGAAUAGGGAGGAUAUAAUGAUUCCCAAAUUGGGGCAAAUAGUAGACUAAUUGAAUCAGUAAAGAUAAACGACUAAUUUUACUUCUCAUAUUUCAUGCACUGCAUAUAAUGGAGGGUGGGCUGAUAGAUUCAUAGCGUAACAGCAUAUAGAAAUUAAAACUUUUACUUCAAUGUAAGGACAAAGCCAAAUAUUAUUAAAAGUUUAAGAUCUCCAAAGUCGAAUUUAAAAGUUUGAGAACAAAUUGCAUUAUCACUAAAAGUCGAAUUUAAAAGUUGAAGAGCCAAAAUGAAAUUUGACUAGAAGUUUAGGGACUAGUAUAGCAAUUUGCCCUUGACAAAAUGGGAUGAAAAGAAAUGGUUUAAUUUUCUUCACUUUUAAUUUCAUUUAUAUCUUAUGUAACGACCUAAUCUAUUAGUAUUAAGGACUUACAGACUCCAAACCACAGACCCAAAAUGCUAAAGCCCAAAAUAUUAGUUUGUCGAGUCUAAACCAUCAACCUGAAAAGCUUAAGCAACCGCAAUUGUAUAACAUUGUAGGAUAGAAAUAUUAAAAGUACUUCUGUAUUCCAGAUGGGAUUUUAUAUUUAGACACUUAAUCAGAAAAUCUGAUUCUUGACAUUUGUAUCCAAAUCAGGAUGUAUUUACUAGCUUUUUUGAAUAAUUGGAUGAUGUUCUGAUUAAAAGUAUCCUAGAUUCUAAAGUAGAUUUGUAGUAAGAAGUAUUCUCUCAUCUACACAUCAGAACAAAUUUAUAUCCAGAGAACAAAGUGUUACAAUUCACCAAAUUGUCAUUGGCAUAUUGCCAUAUGAUUCAAAUUUGUCAGGUUUUUUUGACAAUUUCAAUAGGAACCUACGCUUAUCGAUACAAUUGCUAAUUGAGUCCAGUGUAAUUUCUACAAAAAUAUGAAUUACUGUUUCAGAUAAAUGUAUUCUCAUGUUCUCCAUUUACAAUGAUUUAUACCAUUACUUUGUAGGAAUAAAUGUCCUCUGCGGAGUCGGGAUCCUUUCGACCCCUUAUGCAGUAAAAGAAGGCGGUUGGCUCGGUCUCUCUAUACUCUUUUUAUUCGCGGUGCUUGCGUGGUACACAGGCAUCCUCCUUCGCCAAUGCCUCGACAGUCAGGAAGGCCUCGAGACAUACCCAGACAUCGGUCAGGCCGCAUUUGGCACUGUCGGUCGAAUCGCCAUUUCAGUGAGUUUUCUCCUGCAGUAGCCUUUUUAACCUUCCCCUCCUCUUAUUAAUAUUGAUUGCUGUUAAGUUAAUGGAGCUGACACACUUCAGUUUUCUGUUUCUUGCUGCAGAUUAUUCUUUACAUCGAACUGUAUGUAAGUACAGAUAUAUGAUCCCUUUAAUAUUAACCAUUAAAUUAAUGUUCAUUCAUUCAUACAGUUGUUGAAAUUAAAAUGUUUGUCUAAUUCACUAUGACAAAUUUUUAGAUCGAAGUCCUUUUCUUUUUUUCCAAUUCAAAAUUUUGUCUUACUGAAGUCUUUCAAAAUAGUAGCUUUUGUUGAAUGAAUUGAUUUCAUAGUAUCCCAUCAAAUUCUCUUCUGGCAAAUGAAAUGGAACUUUAAAAAUGUAGUCUUCAUUGAAUCGAUAAAUAUUUGAAUGCUGAACUAGUUUCUAUCCAUUGUUUCUGCAGGCCUGUUGUGUUGAGUAUAUAAUUCUAGAAAGCGACAAUUUAUCUUCUUUAUUUCCAAAUGCACACUUAGACAUGGGUGGCCUGCAUCUAAACUCUAAAUUACUCUUUGCCAUCCUGACCACUCUUGUGGUACUACCCACUACCUGGCUCCGCGAUCUAAGCAUUCUUAGUUACAUCUCAGGUGAGCCACCAUUUACUUGUCGUUAAUCUUUUUGUCUUAAUCGUGCUUAAUAUUCGCUCUAGGCCCGUUUAAAUAUUGUUCUUGUAUUUGUACACUGUUUUGUUUAUUUGUUUACAUUCAGAUAACUAUUGCUCUUCCUGCUCAUUUCCAUUUUGUUUUGGUCAGGUGUUAGUUGUCUCUACUUUCCUCUUAUUUUCAUAUAAAGGCAGGUGUUAUGAGUUGCCAUUAAUGUGAUUGAACACCUUUCUUUUUUCUUUCAUGUAAAAAGGUGAAAAAUAACAAAACUAAACAACGUACCAACCGUCCCUAGAGCAAGUGACAAAAGACUUUGUGGUUAGUACCCGAGGUCCCAAGUUCGAAUCCUAGUUGAUUCACAUUUCCAGCUAAGUUUUUUUCUAAAUGAAAUAAACGAAGCGGUUAGCAUGCUACCUAUCACUCAAAAAAAAAAAACAAAACCAAAAACAAAACUAAACAACACACCGCAAGACAUGCAGCAAAACAAGGAGAGACACAAAUAAGGGGGUGUUUGGAUUAGCGUAAGUGUAUAGUUCGGUUGGAAUUAUGUCCGGUAAGAGAAAAAAUAUCGAUCUUGCCAUUAACUAGGAUAAUAUCGGGAAGAGUCACUGUUUAGUUGUAUGCUAGAUUUUGAGAUUCCCUAUGAAAGAUGACUUUGGACUAUUUCAAAGAAAACUUGUUUUCAAGAACUUAAGCCCGUGUCUGCCUGCCGGUUCUUCUUGGUAUUCUCACGAUGGAUGGCAAGACUAAUGUCUCUACUUUUAAUAAAUUUGAUUUACAGCAGAAUUGCAACUUCAUCAACCCAAGCGCCCCCUAAAUGAAGUAUAUCGAGUAAAGAAGAGUUAUGACAUUGAGCAUAUUAUUGUUCACUAGAUUUUAUCAGGUUUCACUUACAUUGCUUGUUCCAGUAUCUUUACUUUCAGCGAAAGCGCCAUACGUAAGAGCUAUGCUUAUGUUUUUAUGCUAGUACGUUAAUGCGAGUAACCACUAACUAUCUUGAAACCAUAUAUAUAACAUGUUUUCUCAUUCCCCUAAGGAAAAUUUUGAAAGAUGUUAAAAGUUAUGUAAGUGACAUCUUAUGUGUAGUUAAUCUGCGUGCUUAAUUUGCUUCCUCUCUUAUAUAUAAUCUCCUAACAUCAUCCUUGUUUCUGCAUUGGCAGCGGGAGGAGUCAUCGCAUCUAUAUUGGUUAUGAUCAGCUUGUUCUGGGUUGGACUAGUCGAUCAUGUCGGUUUUCAGAACAAGGGUUCUACAUUGAACCUCUCUGGCAUUCCUAUUGCCAUUGGAUUAUACGGAUACUGCUAUUCGGGACACGCAGUUUUCCCAAACAUAUACUCCUCUCUGAAGAAACCCAACCAAUAUCCCUCAGUUCUCUUUUCUAGGUAUUUGUCUAAAUUAUAUUCACCACAUUAAAUCGAUUUCGCAUUAGUAGAUUUAGCAAUAUAACUAACUCAAGCUUCAUGGUAUUUUUCACUUAGCUUUGCAAUAUGCACUGUGAUGUUCGCCGGAGUUGCUGUGAUGGGGUACACUAUGUUCGGUGAAUCGACACAAUCUCAGUUCACUCUCAACAUGCCCCACAACCUGGUGGCUUCGAAGAUUGCCGUGUGGACUACGGUAAUGUGUUUAUCUAUUACUAUGUUGCUGCUUUUUAUUCUGCUAUCCAGAAUUUUGAAGAUUAGUUAGAUGGCCCCAGAAAAAUUAAGCAGCAUUCUAUCAUUUCUGCACUGAAACUAUAUCAUUUCUGCACUGAAACUAAGAACAGCAACAUAUGCACCAAGUAAUUUAUGAGCUCUACACAUUUUUAAAUCAUUCGACUUGAAAAUCUCAUAUUCUUCAUAUCGCCCUAGUAUUAGUGAUGAUGGAAAGAUGCAAAAUAAGCAGUAGUAGUUAGAACAUUAAACCACUAAUAGAUCGUGUAAAACAUAGCCUUCUCAUGUGUUGAUUUGGGUAUGAAAAUCAGAAUUCGUGUAUCACAUCUUGUCUAAGGGUAUCAAGAAGUCCUUAUCUCCGCAUGUACGGUAGAGUAUCAAGAACUUUGUAUCUAGAUGAACCAAGAUUUUGAUGCUUACAUGGCAAUGACCUUGUCUGUCCCAAGCACUUUAUCGAACAGCACAAUCCUAUGCAAACCUGAAGAAAUAAGUAACUUCGUGCAUUUGUUGGAUUACCAUAUAUUACAAAAGAAAAUAACAAAAAUGUAGGAUUACGACACUUUGGUAACUUUGUGCAUUUGUUGCAUUUUUACAUUCUUUAUUCGAAUACAAAGUUACCUUCAUACUAAGAUAUUCUUUUCGUGGUCAAUGAUGUUGCAGGUGGUGAACCCUAUUACUAAAUAUCCUUUCUUUAAUUAAUUUCCUUUUCUUUCUCAAUUACUUCAAUGAUCUUCUAUGUUCAAUAAUAAGCACGAAUGCAAAAAGAAGAAAAAGUUUACUUAGCGUACAUUGAAUUACAAUGAAACAUUUUCACGAUAUUGUUAUUUUUCAGAACAUUCUUAAUAAACAUUUGAUGAUCUUGAGAUGAAAGUUCUUUCCUUUUCCUUAACUGGUAAAUACAUAUGCAUUAACCAUAACUCCUAUGGCGCUGAGUCUCGAGGAGUUGAUACCAUCGAGUCAUCGGAAAACACAUAUGUAUGCUAUCAUCAUCAGAACAGCACUGGUGAUCUCCACCUUGUGUGUGGCUCUUUCUGUUCCUUUCUUUGGUGAGUUUAUUUUUCCCCUACCGCUCUCCGUUCUUGUAAUUAUAUUUUUGAGAUCAAUAGGAAGUAUCGUCAAAUUCCCAAACAUAGAAUACUGAAGAUUUAUUCUAUUUAAUCUUUCAAAUAAGCAAGCCUUUGGAUAAUAAACCUUAUAUACUUAUUUUUCUUCUUACUUGGAUUCCAUUUGCGAUCAGGACUUGUGAUGGCUUUAGUUGGAUCUUUUCUUACCAUGCUUGUAGUAAGUACCUUUCCUCACUGUUUUCUUCGAUAUUUGAUAUUUUUAUGCACUAGGACUAAAAAUUUCUUUGUGGGCAGACUCUAAUUCUACCAUGUGCUUGCUUUUUGGGCAUUCUCAAGAGUAAAGUUUCGUGGCUACAGGUUUGAUGAUGCUUCUUAACUAUAUCUUGAUUUUAAUGCAAUGAUGACUUUUUAAAUAUGACUUUUUGUGAUUACUUUGCUAAUUGAAAUGGCGUAGUUAUUAGUUUAAAGAUUCUAGUUUUUGCAUUAACUUCGGAAAGGUUCUUGAACAAAUUCAAGUCACAUGGAGUGGCAUUUUCUACAGUUUAAGCUCUAGAGAGCAUUAGAAGAGCACCAUUGAAGUAAAUUAGUUCAUCCGCCUUCGGUUGCGAUAUCUUUACCAUCUAUAGGUUCAUCGGCUUUAAUAUCGUAUUUCCUGAUAUUCUUAGUGGUGUGAUCUGAUUUUCCUUUUGUGUCUAGCAUAUUCAUUAGCGAUUUUCAUAAUAAUACAUGUCAUUUGAAUAUAGGAAAAGGAAAAAAAAAAAAAACACCAAAUGUUGUGGCAUUGUGAAGUGUCAUUAACUUUAAAGGCAUUUCCAAAGGGUGGUAAUUAUGUAAUCAUAUUCUGAGGUUUAACAAAAUGGACACUUAACUAGACAUAUAUUAAAGAUCAUAAAACAUAGAUCAUUUAUCCUACUAGAUGUUUUGCUUCGGAGUUUCACGUACUUAUUCUACAAGCAAAAAAUCGACCCAAUCUAGGUCACCAAGUUAAUGUAGUUCAAAGUAUCUUCCCAGUAACUGUUUAACUGUGACAUUUUUAUCUUUAAUGGAUGAUUUAUACAAAUAUGAUUUCAAGAAUGGCUAUUUAAUGACAUGUUUUUUCCAGUUUAGUUACCCUGUAGCACACGAAAUUGAGUCGAACAAAGUACAAAUAUGUGUUUCAGUGUAGUUUUAUCGAUCGUCCAUCUCAUAUUUUGUUCUAUGUCUCAUGAGAAAAGGAAAGUCAGUAAUGCUUCUUGCGAAGAUGAAGUAAAUAAACUCGAAUCACAAAACUAAAAGCUUCUCUCUAGCUAAAAUUCAGAUGACUUUCUUUUUCUUUUUCCUGCAGGCAAUAUUUUGUAUCGUGAUUAUCGCCGUAGGAGUUGUAUGUUCUGCCUUCGGCACGUACUCGGCUCUCUCGAAAAUUAUACAAAACUUGAGUUGAUUCUUUGUAUUAUCCUACUAUUAAGUUUCCUCGUAAAUCAAGGUAUUGUUGUUCUCUCUUUCUAUGGUGUUGCGUGCUAUUAUUUUCUCUGUAAUGGGAACUCAAAAGGCAAAACUAUCUGUGUGCAUCAUCUGUUUUGGGUGAAUAUAUCCAAUCAAUUUUUGACCAUAGUUUGGUUGUUCUUGAGAAGCCAAAUUGACAAACAUUUUGUAUUUAGUUUUCUUCUCUGGUUUUCCAUUGGGAACCCUAAAAUUCUGCAGCCUGGGAGAGUGUUUGCACUAUAUAACCAUUGUGAUAGAAUUAGGGUUUUCAUUGUGCAAAAAGAACAAGUUUAGGCUUGAUCUAAUAUCCAUCAAGCUGUGCUUAUGAGUUAGAAACUGUCAUCAAAUAUCAAAUAAUAAAUAUGAUAUUUGCAAGGACGACAAAGUGUUAAAAAUAUGAAACAACCAAUGUUCUCUAAAAUCUCAAGCUAUUUGAAAAUAUCAGCAUGUUGAAAAUGUUGAAAAUGUGAAACAACCGAUAUUCUCCUUAAGCUUCAGCUACCAAAUAAUGACGUUUUUAAUAUUUAUAUUCAACUUGAAGUGAACUAAAACACCAUGGGGAUAAAUCUUAAAAUAUGGAUAUAAAAACUUCAAAAAAUUUAUAUGGUCAGACUCAGUUGAGCUGUAGCUCAAACUAACUCUGCGAGCUCAAACCAAGUUUUACCAUUAAAAAAAACCUAACUAGAAUUACAAUAGCAGAUGAUAUUUACUUAACAAAAAUAUCAUCCUAAUCCAGAAGCAUUUAUUUAUUUCAUUGGUUUUAGUUACUACAAUAACUUUACCCAAAUAAAAAGGUUCUGCAACAACAAACUCAUAUAUAUAGAGAGGUUUGUUCAUCCUUUGAUGUAGAUGAAAUUUGAAUUGCGAACUCUUUGAAAACUGUGAGGUUAAACAAUCUGAUUCAUUUAUAUCCAUAACAAGUACAUUGUACACAAAAAACCAUCAAUUAUAUUUAGGGAAUGGUAAUAGAUUUUGUCGAUUUCACCGAAUCUUUGGCAUCUGUUGAUAAAAUCAAGAUAUUUUCAGCAUGAAGAUUCAAAAAGGUUACAUAUAACUGUAAAAAGAGAUUAGAAGAACACUAGGAAGCCAUUUAUUCCACCAAUAGUUGUGUAUUAUAUAACAAGUAAUUGUUUACCAAAAUCAAUGAGAGAUGUACAAGAACUGAAUGAAUAUACAGUCAAUAGAGAAGUACAUAUUAGCUAAUUACAGAAAUAUUAGUUUGUUAUGAACAUUUAUAGUUAAAAAUUAAAAUAAAAUAAAAUUCAGAGGGCGCACGGUGAAGAGUACCUAGACCUCUUAGAUUAGCAAGUGGAGAUAAGCCUCAAGCCCUUGGCUCGGAAGGCUUUCUUUUAGCUUGUCCAAAGCGCGGCUCUCCAGCUGCCUAACUCUUUCCUUCGAUAGGCCAUACAUGCGACCAAUCUCUGUGAGAGAUUUCCGCUCACCGUCAUGAAUACCGAAUCGGUAUUGGAUUAUUUUCCUCUCCCUAGGGUUGAGAAUUCUGAGGAAGUUGCGCACAUGCUCUCUCAUCAUCGCCUUCGAUAUGUUUAGAUCAGGGAUUUCAACCUCAGGAUCUGCAGUGAUCUCCUGUGAGCAUCAAUGAUGUGAGAACUCUUUAGGCAUCUAGCCAGGCGAAAAAUACCGAAUAUGCAUAAGAUAUACGGAAGCCUAAAUAAAGCAAAGAUCCUGAGUUUGUGAAGAGAGGCUGUUACACCAUAAUCAUUGAAACUAUGAAUAAUAGGAGGAAAACAGGUCAUAGUCGAAACAAGGGCUAUGAAUACACAAGUAGAUGGUGAGAGGAUCUUUAGUUGUUUACUUGCGGUGAAUGAUAACUGAAAAAGGUACCUGCAAAGUGACGUCCUGAUCUGUCCAGACACGUUUUCGAAUGGGCACUGGGUUUCUAGCCCUUAAUAGAAGGCUUUCCAGCUUCUGGGACGUGAUUCCGACACAUUUAGCUAUCUCUUCAUUUGCUGGCAGAUAUCCUCCUUGUAUAUACAGUUUCCUUGCAGCCUUUACCUUCCUCAGAAGUCCGAAUACAUUCUCCUGCAGAAAAUGUCAUAUUCUAAGAAAAUGCAUAAUAGCACAAAUGAGAAGCUAACUUUUGAACAGGUGGCAGCAAAGAGAUCGCCUAGAAUAACAUAGUGUUUCACAUGCAUUGAAUAAAGAGAAGGUUCGUUCCCUUAUAACAUGUCCUCACUUCUUAAUGGAUUAGAUAUUAGCGUUCUUAACCCCAAUUCCUUUUUUCGUUACAACCAGGAGUCAGUAAAGGCAAGAUCCUUUACCCAGAAAUUGCAAGAUAAUUUUAGAUUUUUGUCUCUUACAGGGUUGCAAUAUUGAUAGCUCUCAAAUCGAACACCUCCCUUCCCAGAAAUCUCUAUCCAUUCUGAGCAUUUCACCACAGAUAUAUUAACUAGGAACACAUAAAGCAUUCAAAGGAAAGCCUUGAAAAAUAUGCAGAAGCGAAAUAAAAACUAAUCACUGUAGCAAGAAGACUUAAAACUUGCAAAAUAUUGGAAAGCAUCAGGUUUCAGUUGAUACGGAAGUAAGAUCACCCAUCUUAUCACUUUAAACAAGUAAUAAAGGAAAUCAUGCUCAUACCGGCAACCGAAUUGUUCUAGAAUGUUGAAAUAUGGCCUUCCUAAUAGAUUGGCGUAUCCACCAGUACGCAUAGCUCGGAAAUCUGCAUCCUGCUUGGGGCUUAAAUUUCUCCAAGCUCUUAAUCAGGCCUCUGCUUCCCUCCUACAGUAGCAGAUGCUCAUUAUGCUUCAAAAUUGCAUGACAUGACGAAGUAAAAUCAAGACAUAUUUUGAGAACAACAAAGUAUGGAACUACUAAAACAAAAAAUAAAUUAUAUAAAGAUAACAACAAAGUAAGCUGCGUAGGUUAAAGUUUCCAACUGCAAAAGCCAUAACAAAAGAAAUAUAGCACCCAGCCAAUUUUGAACACAUUAUUUUUAGAAUAAUCCACAUUUACAAAGAGCCAAAUUACAUACUCUCAGUAACAAAAUAUUCGUAGUCUGACACCUAUUGAUUGAUGUUUCACAUUGCUUGUCAUGGUGUGUAAUGACUUUAGUUGUGAGCUUACAAUUGAUUCAGAAUUGAAUGGACGAUGGUAACAAAAUGGAUGGUUUCAUAGCAAUACAACUUAUAACAUUACUCGCCAUGAAUUUCAGCUAUAUUUGUAAGACAUUGGUCAUCAAAUGGAACGAAAAAUAGUAGUGCAACAAUUAUUUCCCCAAACAAACUAAUAGCAUAUAAGAGUGCCAUUUUUGUAUUACUUGACUAGUCUUAAGAUUCUUAACUUAGGAAGUAUAUAACUGCAACAGUUUCAGCAUACUUCAGAAGUGACAGUAGGACAACAAAAGAAGAAUCUCUGUUGCUAAAAUGUGCAAUAUCAAAUGUAUAGAAGAAGAAACAGAUAAACAACCUGCAGAAGAUCCUGAAGGCUGAGACCCUUUCCCUCAUAUUGUUUAGCUACAUGUAUCACAAGACGGAAGUUAGCAUAGAUUAUCUUUUCUCUGCUGCGCCUUCCUGAACAAAGGCACGACUGCAGAACUUGACAACUCAUGCCAACAGACCGAGCCCACUCAGCAAGCGUUGGUUCAUGACCAAACUGAAGCUCAAGUCUCUGUUUAACUCCUUCCAAUCUAAUAACAUCCUGUUUACGGGUCAUAUUAUCAGACACCAUUUAAAACAAUACAUUAUUCCGGUCAAAUCAGGGAGUAGAAACAUGCCUGUAUCUGAAUAAUCAAGUCCUUUUCCUCUUUUAAUGUUAAUAAUUGCUUCGUCUCCGGCCCCCGCAAGAACAGCUUAAGAGGAUCAUUGGAAUCAAGACGCUUAUCAAUCUUCUUGCUUAUGUCAAUGCUCUUCAAACUAGCAACUUCAUAACCAAUGCUGCUUGGACUUUUUGAGGCUUUUCGUUUCUUGGACCUCCUCUCCAAUAAUCGUUUUGAUUUAACAAUUUUUCCUUUCUUGAUUGAAAUCUCCUCACUAAAUUCUUUGUCAGACACACUGGUUACAUCGUAUUAUAAUUGCACAAAUGCGAUUAGAAACAGCUAAAAUUACUGUGUAAAAAGAAAGGGAAGAUAUUAGUAGUGAGAAACUAACCCAGAAAAAUGUUGCUCAUCCAGCACAGCAGAUAAAAUGUUGGAUUUCUGUGCUAAUAAGGUGGCUUUCCUCGUGGCCAUCAUGGCUUUCUUGGCAAGACUCAGAACAACAGCUGGUGAUAAAGAAUCUGGACUGUUCCCCAAUUGUAUAGAUUCAGCCACUUUAGUGGAGUUGCUAUGAUGUACAGACAGCUCUUUAGACAUGAUUGAAGUAGUAUUUUCCUUGUUUAUUGUAGGUUGUGGCCUGAUAUGAAAAAAGUGAAUGCAGAAAUCCAAAAAAAAUUAUAAAACAGCAUUAUAUACAGUUAAAGGAAUAGACAUCUCUACUGAAGAAAAAAAAAAAAGAAUAGUUUGUGUACCAGAGUCCUGGACGAGAAAUAAGUUGGCGUUGAAAAUAUUCCAGAUAUUGGCCAAAUUCAUACUCUUCAUUUUCUUCACAAAGAGGUUUGCUAUCCCCAACUUUCUGUUUAUCCAGAGUUGCCUUCAAUUGAAUGACGUUAUUUGCGAAGUUAAUUUGUCAUUAAUCAUGUAGAUCAGAAUAUUUUCUCGAGUUAAAGUUCCAAUGGACCUUGGCAUGAAUCAACAAGACAUACUCAAACAAUUGCAAUCAGUAAGCAUAAAUUGUUAAGGUGUGAACUCUCUUUAAAAGAGAGAGAGAGAGAGAGAGAGAGAGAGAGAGAGAGAGAGAGAACUUAAAGCAGAUGGAUGCUGAUUACUGCACAAUUUAUAUGGAACAAAAUACCGCCAAGGAUUUAACUUCAAGUGCCUUGGUUGUUAGCACAUGCCCAUACCAACAACAGGUCAGUACAAUACAAUAAGGCAUACUGCCAUGCUGACAUGCAUGAUGCACGUCGCUUGUAAGGGGCGGAAAAGUAUUUUUAACAAACAGAAACCAAACCCCAGAAAAUCUAAUGUACUGCCAAAUGUCCACACUGAUACCUAAGGUGAAUCGAGCCAGUUUAAGACAGGCACAGUACGGCAUGGUCAGCACAGACUGUGCUGACUAGCAUUUAAAUAAUUGCCUACUGCAACCAGGAUCAAAGAUGUCGAGAAUGACUCUAUAUCUCUAUAACUGAAUACUAAAAACAUUAGAGGACUAGUCUUAAUCAUCAUCUUGUUAUGUAUAAUGGAUUAAAACACUGUUCUCUAUUAACUUAAACUUUCAAAGAAAUUUGUCGUUUCACAAGACUGAAAAAAAAUUUAGAAUUGAGGAAGCGGACAAGGAAACUUAUAAAUCUGAUAUUUCUAUAAACUAUCACCCAAACUGAUAUUUGAAAUCUUCUUUCACAUUUAUUCUCAAAAGGCUGAGGAAAUAUAAAAUCCAGAAACCCUGAAGCAGUGCUCAACCUUGUAAAUUGACAAUCAAUUUCUAAGUGGAUUAUCCGUCUAACAGAUAUCUCCAAUCUGAGUGUACCAUGGUUUCUUCAAAACAAGAGUGCCAGUUAAGGAGCAUUACCUGGGAAACCUUUUCUUCCUUUAAGUAGUAAUCUUUACGAUCAUGAUGUUGUUCCAAUGAAAGAAGUGAUGCAGGAAGACGAUGCACAAGAGAUGAUGUUGUCAUCGAGGUAACAAUCCGGCUUGCAUGCUCACUUAUCAUUGGAACUGCAAAAUCCGAAUUCGUUACAAAAAAUAAUAAUUACAAAAGCUAUUUCAUAGAAUUUGAUGAAAAGGUCCUUAAAUGUUCUUUUAAGCUAAUAUUGCUCUCCUGAUGCUGAAAAAAUUGCAGCAAUACCUCAAAUAGUUAGCAACCUAUUAGACGUACAACCUUCUCUUUACCACAUUGAAAAAGCAUAAGAAAGCUUGUAAUCUUCUAAAUUGAUUUUGACAAAUAUAAUCAUAUUAAAGCAUCUAGAAGCUUCAACAAUUAUCAAUAAUGUACAAAGAAGAAAUGACAACCUCUUUCUGAGAUUAAACAGAAUGAUUUAGAACUUUGAGAAUAAAUUAAGCUGAAAUAAUGCGCAAAUAAAACACAUAUACUAUCAUGGGUUGCAGACCGCAGUUUUUGCCGGCUAACAAAACUGUGCAAACAGAUUGAAUCCUGUAGGUGGAGAAUUGGCUAAUUUCAAAACUAAGUGCAACCUCUAUCUACUUGAAGGGUAAACAGAAGUGACUGUUGUAGAUGGUGUGUUGGUGUGUAUGUCAAACUGUUUCUACCAGUUCAGUGAUUCUGGUGCAAAUUAACUUGAGGAACUUAUCACUAAUUGAAACAUUGAUCGUUGAUAAGGUAGGAUACCAUUUGAGCCACAGAUCCGUGUUCUUCAAGAAGGGAAAUUUUCAAAUAUAAAGGGUUCCCCAAGAAUUCAAAAGAAUGCUAUAUCCAACUAUAAAACGCACGAUAAAAAUAGUGAGAGAGCUUUUCCUAGCAUUUGAUAUGUCAUGGCAUAAUCUUUACUUUGUUUUGACUCCUUAGAGGCAAGUUUCUUGGACUAUUCGGCAUGAAAUAGUAUGCUAAUGUGAACCAUACUAAGUAAUAGGAUAACUGACUCUUCAAUAGUAGAAUAAUGUUAAAAGCUGAACAUAUAUUGGUCAAAUUAAGUCCGUUAAAUACAUUUCUGAGCCUAUCACGUGUUAAGGGAGCGUGUCAGAAUUUGAGAGGUUUCUCCACCUAUCAGCUCAAAGCUUUCGGAUUGGGCCCGAGCCCUUCAACAAAAUCAAGAAACAAGCCAACUCCAUCUAAAACCGAUCAAACAUCUACACUAUGAAGGAAUCCAAGGUACUUGGAACUGAGAAACAAUGCAAUAUACUUCAAAAAUGAGUGGACCAUGUGUGGAAAACAAGCAAACAACUUAUACUCACUCAAGUAUAACACCACCCAAGUACAAGAAUUUAAAAGAAUGAGUGUCAUUUUAAACCACACAAAUGGAAGAGAAGCUUCUACAGUGCAUCAUAAAAUGAGAGAAAAGUGUUCAAAUCUUCAGUAUUUAGUCUUUAGACCACUAUAACUCAAAAGAAAUCAGAGGGAGGAAAAAAGAAAAAACCUUUAAGUGGACAAAAAACUCAACUUUGAGCCAUUAAUUGUAAGAAAAAUAGAAAAAAAGGGUCUAUUAGGGGAAAAAAAAAAAAGGAUUUCUCUUAGUGCAUAAAAACCAGAGAAUAUUGUUCAAAAAUAAGGAGAAAAAAAGCUUUUUGUCCACUUAAAGGUUUUUUCUUUUUUCAUGAACAAAAUACUCAACUUAAAGCCAUUAACUGUAGGAAAAAAAUUUAAAAAAAAGGACUGAUUGAUACCAACCUUAAGUUGAGAUAGGGUUAGUGGAUAACAAUCAGAGAAAAUAGUUCAAAAAUCAGAGUAAAAACACUUUUUCUGACAAAAAUGCCAAAUUUGAGCCAUUAAUUGUACGAUUAAUUAGAAAAGAAAAAACGGUUUAAUUCACAGCUGCUUGGAGUGAGACUAGGGUUUUCCUAAGUGUGUAAAAAUCAGAAAAAAUUGUUCAAAAGUCAGAGGGAAAAAAACCUUUUCGCGUACAAAAUAUCAACUUUGAGCCAUUAAUUGUACGCUUAGGAAACAAAAAGGGUUUAAUUCACUGCUACUGAAGUGAGACCAGGGUUUCUCUUUUAGUGCAUAAAUAUCAGAGAAAAUUGCUCAAAAAUCAGAGUAAAAAACUUUUUGCGGACGAAAUACUCAACUGUUAGUCAUUAAUUGUACAAAAAAUUAGAAAAAAAAAGGGUUUUGUUCACUGUUACUGAAGUGAGACUAGGGUUUCUCUUAGUGCAUAAAUAUCAGAGAAAUUUGCUCAAAAAUCAGAGUAAAAAAAACUUUUUACGGACAAAAUACUCAACUGUGAGCCAUUAAUUGUAGGUAAAAUUAGAAAAGAAAAAAAAAAAAAGGAAAGGGUUUAGUUCACAGCUGCUUGAAGUGAGACUAGGGUAUCCCUUAGCGCAUUAAAAUCAGAGAAACUUGUUCAAAAAUCAGAUGAGAAAAAAAAAAAAAAAAAAAAAAAAAAAAAACCCUUGUUAUGGACCCCAAAAAAAAACUCAACUUUGAGCCAUUAAUUGUAGGAAAAAUUAGAAAACAGCUACCUGAAGUGGAGCUAGGGUUCCUGAGAUGGGCUCGUGGGAGAUUGGGAGGAGCGAGAAUGCUCGUUCUAGCCUCCAUUUUCGAUCCCCUUCGUCGUCUCCUCCACCACCUUAUCUCUCUCUAUCCAUGUCGCAAUGGUGUGUGCACAUAAUAGUGUAGGGUUUGAGAGAUUUUUUUUCCACAUUACACGACUCUCGCGCGCCCAAAAUGGCCCCCAAACAAAAAAAAAAAAAACAGAGGGCGAGGAUGAAGUUGCCGAGCUGGUCCAAUUGAAAAAUGCCACGUCAGCACUCUCCACCCAGGGUCCGGGGAAGAGGAAAAAUUCUAAAAUGCAACGGGUGCAUUGAUGUCGUGGCGUAACAAUCCAAUCAAAUAUAUUUUUUUAGAAAUAUAUAUCCCAUUAUAAUUAUAAAAAAAUAUUUUUAUUGUAUUUUUNUUUCAUGAACAAAAUACUCAACUUAAAGCCAUUAAUUGUAGGAAAAAAAUUUAAAAAAAAGGACUGAUUCAUACCAACCUUAAGUGGAGAUAGGGUUAGUGGAUAACAAUCAGAGAAAAUAGUUCAAAAAUCAGAGUAAAAACACUUUUUCUGACAAAAAUGCCAAAUUUGAGCCAUUAAUUGUACGAUUAAUUAGAAAAGAAAAAACGGUUUAAUUCACAGCUGCUUGGAGUGAGACUAGGGUUUUCCUAAGUGUGUAAAAAUCAGAAAAAAUUGUUCAAAAGUCAGAGGGAAAAAAAACCUUUUCACGUACAAAAUACUCAACUUUGAGCCAUUAAUUGUACGCUUACGAAAAAAAAAAAAAAGGGUUUUAAUUCACUGCUACUGAAGUGAGACCAGGGUUUCUCUUUUAGUGCAUAAAUAUCAGAGAAAAUUGCUCAAAAAUCAGAGUAAAAAAAUUUUUGCGGACGAAAUACUCAACUGUUAGUCAUUAAUUGUACGAAAAAUUAGAAAAAAAAAAAAAGGGUUUUGUUCACUGUUACUGAAGUGAGACUAGGGUUUCACUAAGUGCAUAAAUAUCAGAGAAAUUUGCUCAAAAAUCAGAGUAAAAAAAACUUUUUACGGACAAAAUACUCAACUGUGAGCCAUUAAUCGUAGGUAAAAUUAGAAAAGAAAAAAAAAAAAAGGAAAGGGUUUAGUUCACAGCUGCUUGAAGUGAGACUAGGGUAUCUCUUAGCGCAUUAAAAUCAGAGAAACUUGUUCAAAAAUCAGAGGAAAAACAAAAAACCCUUCUUAUGGACACACACACACACACACACACACAAAAAACUCAACUUUGAGCCAUUAAUUGUAAGAAAAAUUAGAAAACAGCUACCUGAAGUGGAGCUAGGGUUUCUGAGGUGGGCUCGUGGGAGAUUGGGAGGAGCGAGAAUGCUCGUUCUAGCCUCCAUUUUCGAUUCCCUUCGUCGUCUCCUCCGCCACCUUAUCUCUCUCUAUCCAUGUCGCAAUGAUGUGUGCACAUAAUAGUGUAGGGUUUGAGAGAUUUUUUUUCCACAUUACACGACUCUCGCGCGCCCAAAAUGGCCCCCAAACAAAAAAAAAAAAAACAGAGGGCGAGGAUGAAGUUGCCGAGCUGGUCCAAUUGAAAAAUGCCACGUCAGCACUCUCCACCCAGGGUCCGGGGAAGAGGAAAAAUUCUAAAAUGCAACGGGUGCAUUGAUGUCGUGGCGUAACAAUCCAAUCAAAUAUAUUUUUUUAGAAAUAUAUAUCCCAUUAUAAUUAUAAAAAAAUAUUUUUAUUGUAUUUUUAUUUGAAAAAGAGGAAUAUGAUUGGCUUGUUAUUGAUGACGUGGUGCAAAUAUGACAGUAUAUAAUUCCUCGAGGAAGAGAGUAAGUAUUGUGUAAAACAGUUGCACCACGGUCAGUUCAAUCCAGCCAACCAAUCUCGUCUCUUUAAAAAAAAAAUUUAUAAUAAAAAUAUAAUUUUAUAAUUAUUAUGGAAUAAAUAAAUUUUUAAAAAAUUAUUUGAUUGGUUGGGAUGCCACAUUACUAAUAAUAUAACUGGUACAUUCUAAAAUAUUUUUUCUGACUAAAUAAAAAAGUAUUUUAUGAAAUAGUAGUAUUAUGUCGCCUCAAUCCAACAAAUCAAUCACGUCUUUUUAAAAAAAUUAUAAUAAAAAUAUUUUUUUAUAAUUGUGAUAGGAUAAACAAACUUAAAAUAAACUAUUUGACUAUAAUUGUUCCUAAUAUAACUAGUGAAUUCUAGAAUUUUUUCCAAACUAGAGAGGAGUAUUCUAUGAAACAGUAGCACCGCGUCAGCUCAAUCUAGCAAAUUAAUUAUGUCUUUUAAAAAAAUAUAUAAUAAAUAUAUAUCUUUAUUAUAAAUUAUGAUAGAAUGAGUAAUCUUUAGAAAGGCAUUAUUAUUGAUUGGGUCAUACUACGUAUAAUAUGUAAGUGAUCCAUUCUAAACUAUUUCUAUGCCAGCAUGUGUUUGCUUGGUUACUUAUAAAUUCAUUUUUUAAGGAAAAAAAAAAAUCUUCUCAAAACAUUUAAUUUUGAAAAACAAAAGGCAGACUUUUUAUAUAAAGGCAUAUUUGGAUCCACGCAAAAUUAUAAAAAAAAAUAUUUUUAGAAGAAAAUUAAUCUUAUGAUCCUUUGAUAUUUGAUUUGUACAAAAAGAAAACAAAUUUUCAAAGAAUAAUUNUAGCACCACAUCAGCUCAAUCUAGCAAAUCAAUUAUGUCUUUUAAAAAAAUAUAUAAUAAAAAUAUAUUUUUAUAAAUUAUGAUGGAAUGAGUAAUUUUCUGAAAGGGAUUAUUAUUGAUUGGAUCAUGCCAACUUAUAAUAUGUAAGUGAUCCAUUCUAUACUAUUUCUGAGCUAGGGAAUGUUUGUUUGGUUACUUAGAAGUUCAUUUUUUGAGGAAAAAAAAUAACAUAAAAAAUGUUUUCUCUGAAAUUUUAAUUUUGAAAAACAUAAGGUAGACUUUUUAUAUAAGGGUAUAUUUGGUUCCACGCAAAAUUAAAAAAAAAAUUAUUUUUAGAAGAAAAUUAAUCUUAUGAACCUUUGAUAUUUGGUUUGUACUAAAAGGAAAAAUUUUUCAAAUAAUAGUUGUUUGGUUUGCAGGAAAGAAAUAAAAAAUAUUUUUACUUUUGUCCUAAAUAAAUAUAAAGUUAAUAUUUUAAUGUUAGAUAAUAUAGCUAAUAUAAGAACAAGGUGAAUAAUUUUUUAUUUUUAGAAAAUAAUGAAUGAUGCAUCACUUUUCUAAAUAUAAUAAAUUAUUUGCCUAAUUUUAUAAAUAAAAGUAUUGCGUGCCUAUUCUUAUAAUUCAAAAAUUUUAUAAGCCAGGUUACUCAAAAAUUAGGAAUUAAACCGACUGAAUAUGAUCAGAUUUUUGACCAAACUAUAUCCGUAUUCGAAAUUUUCUUCUGAUGCAAAUUUAAAUGCAGAUAUAUGUUGGAUGCUCAAUGUUCAUUAUCAUAUCUCCUUAAAACAGAUUGAAUUCGGAUUGGAUUUGAAUACUAUUCAGAUAAUAAUAUAUAUUAAUAUACAUAUAAAAAUAUAAACUAAAAUUAACGGGAAUAAGAUACAAUUUAAAAAGGUUCAUAUUUAUCUUCAAACUUCAAAUAUAGGCAUAUAUUUUAUUCAAUAAAAUUUAAUAUUUCAACAAAUAUAAAUAUAAUUUUAAUUUGAAAUUCAUCGUAACAUAAACGAAGAACAUAAGAAAAAAAUCACUUUAUCCCUCUCUAAUAUAAACUAACAUUCCUUCUAUCUCUUUUUAAGAAAUCAUAUUCGCAUCUAUAUAUUUUUUAUUUUUUUAAAUUCGAAUUCCAAUAGAAAUAUGUAUCGCGUGUUUGGUUCGAAGUUGAAGUCGGAAUCGGAAUCGGAAUCAAAAUAAGCUGGAAUCGGAAUCGGAAUGACUCAUUACCUAAUUCUGUUUGGUUCAUCACCUAAAUCGGAAUCGAAAUAAAUCAUUCCCAUUGUCGGUGUUUGGUUCAGAUGAAUAUAAAAACAUAAUCAAAUUAAUAUACUAACAUUAUCUUUAUAAUAUAUUAAUUUAAAUUCAAAUUAAAUAUUAAAUAUUAAAUAUUUACAUCAAAAUUUUGAAAUAAUGUCAAAAUUUUAAAUCUAUUUUUUUAAAAAAAAUUAAACUUUGAAGUUGAGUGGAUAAUUCAAAAUAUGAAACUAAAUUUUGAUUUAUUCAAAUUCAAACUUAAAAUUACAAUUUAAAUUUUAAUUUGAAUCCAUAAAUUUAAUUUAAGUUUGAAAUAAAAUUUGAAUGAACUUUAUAUAAAUUAAAAUUUAAUUUAAAUUCAAAUUCAUAAGUUAGAUUCGAAAUACAAACUUAAAAUUUUAAUUUUUAAUUUAAGUUCAAAUUAAAAUUUAAAAUUAUAUAUUUAAUUUAAAAAUUUUAACUCAUAUUUUAAUUAAAAAAAUUGAAAAAAUAAAUUCCGAAUAAAAAUCUAUUCCGUCUGGAUUCAACUUUCAAUCCGGUCUUCUAGGCCGGAUUGAAAAAAGGGUGAUUGAGCGAUUCUCAUUUCACUCGAAAAUCAGAAUCGGAAUGGAACUCCCACGUACCAAACACCCAUAAAUGAAUUCACUCAUUCCCAUUUUGAUUCUAUGGUAAAAGAAAAACGGACCAAACACGCCCGCCUAUUUAUAUUCGUAUCCUAUCGAAUCGAGUGCAAGAUAUGAUCACAAUUCCACCCUGAUUAGAUAAUGAACAAAAAGUUUAGGGACUAUAAUGCAAUUUAGCAGAAGGAAUCUUUAAUCCUAGUCGGAAAAGCAGUUUCCAAUUUCUUUUUCCGUUCCCUCUCCUGAUUCUGACUCCCGCAUCUCCUCAUUUCCUUUCUCGGCUCUCGUUCCCCGUCCCUCUCCUCUCUCUAUAUAAAUACCUCGUUCUCACCCCCUCUUGUCCAAACCCUAGAAUCCCACCACCACACCCCCAUCGUACUCGGAGCUCCCGCAGAGGCGACCGCGUUCGCGUCGUGCGCUGCGUCCUCGCGAAGGUUUCUAGGGUUCGCGGCGAAGGAUGGGGCCGGUCGCUCCGCGCAGCAGAGGCCUCGCGAACGGCGAAGGGAGGGAGAUCGAUGCGCUUCUCGAGGAGCGGAACCAUGGCGGCGGCGCCGCGGCGUUCGAUCCCUUCAGAGGCGCCAGCGCUCCGCCCACCAUGGAGGGGUCGCGAGCGGCGCUGGCGAGCUUGUUCGGCGUCGAUGGCGGCGCGGAGGAGGUUGCGGGGGAGGAGGAGAUGCGGGGGCACCCGGAUUACUUGUCGUACUACUACGCUCCUGGGAACUUCAAUCCGAGGCUUCCCCCGCCGGCGGUGUCGAGGGAGGAUUGGCGGGCUGUGCGGCGGAUCAGCGAGUCGCGGAGGAGGGGUUCCGAUUGCGAUUUGGAUAGCAACUCGCUCUUCUCGGUGCAGCCGUGUUUGGCGGGCUCUAGAAGAGAGCAGAGAGCGGUGGUUCCUCCGCAUCUUUCUCCGGAUUGGCGUGAUUCGGCAGGAUUGGGAGCCAGGAGGAGUUUGACACAUCUUUCGCAGGUCAGGUUGCUCUGUUCGUUCUGUUUACUGAUCUUUUAGUUGCUUAUUCUUGAUGUUUAGGUGGCUUGUAUAAUUCGACCUACGCAAAAACCAAAAAAAAAAAUGUUCUUGAUGUGGGUACUUUGGGAGUAAUUUUGUUGUAUAUUCUUGUAUCUUGAAUUAUGCUGGAUUGGUAUUUGAAUUCCCAGGUUUUGCAUUGAAAUAAUGAAAAGCAUGAAAAUGUUAAGGAGUUAACACAUGGAUUUGAGAGCUGUGUUCUGCAAGCUGUAGAUAGAUGUUAAUUAUGAAGAGAAUUGCAGGUUGUGGAUAUAUUUGUUUGCUGAUUUUCUCGUUGUUCUGUAUGUUUUCUGUUGCAAACAUCUGAGAAGUACUGUUGUCUUUACAGGAUGACAUGGGCCAUUCAGCUUCUCCUUAUGCUUGCCAUUCACAGCCAAUCAGUCGCAAUAAGUUCGACAGUAUCGUUGAUCAAAUGGGAGUGUCUAGUGUUCGAUUAAAUGGGAUGGAAGAUGUAGAUAGUCUGCAAACUGGACUGACUUAUCCCAGCAUUGUUAGAAACAAGAGCUUUAGUUCGAUAUCUCGACCUUGUUUUAAUGUUGACAGAGAAACACUCUCAGAAGAUGCCUUUGAACACAUUUCAUCUUUUAAGGGGGACUAUGCUGAUAUAUCUACGGCACUAUCUGGAUUGCACCUGUCUAACAGUACGACAAUGUAUGGAAAAUAUCCUGUGCAAGAGCAGCUUCAUAAAAUGCCAAAUAAUCAUCCUGACAGAGGUAAUCUCAGAGAAAACAAUGUUACUGUGUUGUCUAAUUCAAUAAAAUGUCUUACUCAUAGCUAUUUGCUUUAUUUAGCAGGUGCCGCAUUUUUAAGAAGUGAGGAAGGUCGUUACUUGAAUGGAAUUAGAAAUCAAUUAUUAUCAAAUUCUCAAGUACCGGUGAUGGACAAAAUACACACACCACUUUUACAGAGGGAAUCAGAUAUCCGAAUGCAAGCUGGUGCGAAUCUUAGUCCUUUAAGAAGUAAUUACUUCCACACAGCACAAAUGGGUCUCUCCGAGUAUCAGAAAGCAUACCUUGAGUCUCUUAUUUCGCAGCAGAAAAUGUCCGAUAGUAGGUUACUCGGCAAUCCUGAUUCUGGCAUUGGUUUGCCCUAUUUGGGAACCCAGUCGUCACGCACCAGUAAUUCUUCUUUUGGUUCUCUAAGCCCUUUUGAGCAUAAUGAUCAGCAAUUUUUUCUCUCUUCCCCGGCAAGAGUUGCAGCUACCAGAUCUAUGUUGGAUGAAUUGAAGCACAACAAAAUCAGAACAUUUGAGCUUGCUGAUAUAGUGGGUCAUGUUAUUGAAUUUAGGUGCUACAGCAGUCUUAUGAAUAAUUUCCUUACUAAUGAACUUUGUUGUUAUUGAAUCCAUGAUUUAUUUGUUUUUCUCUGUGCUCUUGCAGUUUAGAUCAGUAUGGAAGUCGUUUCAUUCAACAAAAACUUGAAACUGCAUUAGUUGGUGAGAAAAGCAAAAUUUUUCCUGAGAUACUUGCUCAUGCUCUUUCUUUGACGAAGGAUGUCUUUGGGAAUUAUGUCAUUCAAAAGGUAUGACGGUCUUAUUGUCAAACAAAUUAUUUAAGUAUAUCUUUUGAAUUCUGAAAUUUGAGCAAACAAUUUGCAGUUUUUCGAGCUGGGUACCGAGAGCCAAAGGAAUCAGCUGAGUGAUCAAAUUUUGGGCCAUGUUUUGCAUCUAAGUCUUCAAACAUAUGGGUGCAGAGUAAUUCAAAAGGUUGACUUAGCGUCUGUAUUCAUACUUUUAUUACCUUUUAUGUAGUGUAGUUUGCACUUGCUUGCAUCCUUCUAUUCCCAGGCUUUUAAUUGCUACAGUUAUGUUAGAUUCCCUAUCUCUUCACACUUUGCUUGCAGUUUUUGUAUCCAGCUUCUUUCUGGUUCUGUUUAUGCAAUUGUGGUUGUCGUGCCUUGCAUAAUGUUUCAGCAAAUUGUGGCUCUGAUUAACAUUUCCAUGCUACUCACUCAAAACAUUCUGCAAUAGAGAUAUGACCUUUACCGGUUACUGUAAAAUAUUAUUCUAACCUAGGUCUAGAAAGUUAAAUUUUCUUUUAUUUUCUCGUGGAGAUUUGUCUUUGUCACUGCAUUGUCUAGUAUAAAUAAUCUUAUUAUAUCUGCGUAUUUGUACCAUUUGAAAUUGUGGCAGGUAGGCAUGUAACUUUUAAUGUUAUCACAUUUAUUUCUUUUUUCCUAUGCAAAGUGAUAUACCGUUAUUUAGCUUGCAGUAGAUACUAGCUUUCAGUAUUCCUUUUCUUUUCUGUUCAAUCUCGAGGAAUGAAAAUCUUCCCAGAUGUAGAUUUCAAUAUCUAAUUUUCUCAUGCCUAUGUUUUUCACAAAUGAACAAAAUUUUUCUUGAUGUGCAUAUUAUGGUUGUUUUGGUGAUAAUGCUGGAAUUGAGUAAUAAUUUUAACCUUUGCAGGCUUUGGAAGUCGUUGAUUUGGAUCUACGAACUCAAAUUGCAUCUGAACUUGACGGUUUUGUCAUGAAAUGCAUCAGAGAUCAGAAUGGCAACCAUGUAAUACAAAAGUGCAUCGAAUGUGUCCCUGAAGACAGGAUUCAGUUUAUUAUAUCCACUGUCUUUGGACAGGUUUCAGUGCUUUCCACCCACCCAUAUGGCUGCAGAGUUAUUCAGGUGCUAAAUUCACUUUAUUCUGAUGUCUUUGCAACAGUUACAGACUUAUAAUAAGAACUAAAAACUUUAUCCUUAACUAUUAUGUCUCAUCUGAAUGCUUGCAGAGGAUUUUGGAGCAUUGUGUCGAUCAAAAAACCCUAAGCAUAGUGAUGGAUGAUAUCAUGCAAUCUCUCUCUACUUUGUCAUAUGACCAGUAUGGGAACUAUGUUGUUCAAGUAAGUUUUCAUUUCGUAAGGCUUAAUCAUGGUUCUUUAUUGUUAUGUCUGUUUUGGCUGUGCUAGAGCUUUUGUAGAAGUGCUGUUUUACUAGAGUUGUUUAAUGAAAUAUUGACGGUUUUUUCAUUAAGAUCUCCUCAAUAGCUAAGCAAAAUCUUCAACUCAAUGCAUUUGUUGUUGGGACCCAAAAACAAUAUUUCAGCUUUCUAUAACAGCGAAAACUCCAGAAUUUGAUUUGCCAAAUUUUGGAAGCUUCUUUUUUUGGAAGCUGUCAUGUAUGCUUUUUGGAAAAUUAGCACAAGUGCUAUGGAUGCCGAAUAUGCUUCCGCAAAUUGUAAAAUAAAUUAAGUAGAUAGAAAUUGAUUUUGUUUUUCUCAUGUGAUCACUUCUUUCCCAUGGGAAAACUGGAAGGUGAAAGGCUACCCGAACAGAAGCAGGAUAUCUUUCCUUCACUGACUAGUUUUUUAUGGGAACUCUUCAUCCUGCCAUUCCUACAGGAUUUAUGUGUUCCCAAAUGGACCCUUACUCCUUAGUGGGUGAAGAUUAUGUCGGGUUUUUUUGGGAGCUUUUCUCAGAUCUUUGUUUUGGUGAUUAUUGUGGUUGGUUUUGGGGUCAUUUUUGGAUUCAAAUUGAUGGAAUUAAGGUGCUACAGUCACUACAAGGAAGUUAGGAGAAUUACAGAGGACCCUCUUUUUUGAAGGACUGUUUAACUUUUUUUUUUUUUAUGCUUCUAUUGUUCAUUAUGUUUUAUCCUUUACAGUUGUUUCUAUGUGCUUUGUAUUUUAAUUAUGUUUAAAGGGAUUUUGUUAUUUAUUGUGUAUUAUCCUUUGGAAUCAUUCAUAUAUGCUUUGUAUUUCAGUAAUUUUUAUCCAUAUAACCUACUGAUUUUGUACUGUUAUAUAUUUUUAAGCAUGUCCUGCAAUAUGGAAAGCCUGAACAGCGGUCUGCUAUAAUUCACAAGCUUAGAGGACAGAUUGUAGAGAUGAGCCUAGAGAAGUUUGCUUCAAAUGUUGUUGAGAAAUGCUUGAUUUAUGGUUCCCCUGAAGACCGCCAACUUCAAAUAAAUGAAAUUAUGGGUUCUAGCGGUGAAAAUGAAAACUUGCAGGUUUGUUCUUUUUUUUUUUCUAAUUUGAUUAAGUAGCGGAUCUUGAGUAGUUAUGUUCUUUACUCGUCGCUUGAAGCAAUUCCUGUUCUGAGUUUGUUAUAGAGAAAUUUGGUGCUACCUUUUCAUCGAUUCAAAAGUAGCAUUGGAGUCACUAGAACAUGAUGCUUUCUUUUUAAGUGUUAUUUUUGAACCUUUUGGAGAACUUUACUUAACUGUUGUCAAGCUAUUUUGUGAAUGCUAAUGUACAUACUUGAAGCUUAAACUGCAUUAAGUGUAGCAUUUGUUAAUCAGGAGAAGAUCGAGAGUACUAUAAACUUUCCUUGGACAAAUGUAGUAAAAAUAAAAAACACCAAAAAUGGAACGACAAAGACAGAUACCCAAGAAAGAGCAUGAAAAUCCUUGACUCCUGAAAUUUAAUUGUUCAUUGAUUUUUCAAGUAUUUGCAAAAAUCUUAGAACCGUUGGAAGCUCUUCAGAGUAAACAAACUGUUUUAUGGUGAUGACAGAAGCUUACUAAAGAUUAACAUAGAUGUUUGUAGGUUAGCGGUUUGACUAUAGUUGAGAGUGGUGCGGCUUUUAAUAUACCUUGUUUUUGCCUUUUUCUGUUUAUAAGUGCAAAAUUAUAGCUUUGCAACCCUUUGGAGCCUAAAAAGUAUUUUAGGGAGCAGAUAGUGUAUAUCAUAUAUUGACCUGCUAUAAAGCGUGUAAAAGUUGAGAAUAGCCUAGCUUUAUAUAUCUAAAUGAUUUAUUAAUAUUCUUUCUACAUCGUGAGGUGUAGGAGCUUUAUACAUCUGAUUCAACUACCAAAUUACAUUUAUUGGAAACUUCAUUGCUGUCAUUUAUAGUGGUGAUUAUUUACUACUAGUGCGAUAAGUAGUAGGUUGCCGCUACUUGAAGGGAUUUAAGGUUUGGAUCAGAAUUGGAGAGAGCAGUUUCCAUUCUUGUUGUUUGGUCGGGGCAAUUUUAUUCCAAAUUCUUAAUCACCAGGGAUCAAAUUCUCCAAAACAGAAUCCCUCUUGAGAUUUAGGAAUUAAGUUUGACUUAGAAAAGGAAUGUGCACUUUUGUGACUACUGCGACAACUAUCGAUGUUUCAUUUUUUUCUUUACCAAAGUGGAAUUUGGUUGAUGAUCGAUUAUAUCCUAAGGCUGAAUUGAUCUGUUUGCAGAUAAUGAUGAAGGAUCAGUUUGCAAACUAUGUCAUACAGACGGUCCUUGAGACCUGCGACGACGAGACGCGAAAGCUCAUUCUUUCACGCAUCAGAGCUCACCUAGCCGUGCUUAAGAAUUACACGUAUGGGAAGCAUAUCGUUGCUCGUGUCGAGAAGCUAAUUGUUGCGGGAGGUCAGACGCAAGCUUAUACUUCCCUUCUAUGCUUUAUUUUAUAAUUUCUCUUACGUGCUCUUCGGUUUAAAAAAAAAAAACUAUUCUGACUAAAAGAUUUAACCUUGCAGAAAAGCGAAUGGGGAUGCCACCGAAAUUGUCUUGAGGAAUAUACUGUAAAACCGAUUUUGUAAAGUUGUCGAGGUUAUUCUUAUUAGAAACUUGAGGAAAGUUCAAUCACUUUUGCCCUUACUACAUAUGUUAUAUAAUUGUCAUAUCUUUAAUAGAGGUAGAGGCCAUUAUUCUUGUGUAUAUCUUCAAUUUGGUACAGAACCAAUAGCAAUACCGCGAUGACGAUGAUCUAGUCUGGGGUUUUAUGUCCAAGGCGCGCGAUGUAAAUGGUUUUGGCUUUGAAGAAAGUGUAUAAAUUUUCAGGACCUUUAACAUAGCCAUUUGUAACAGUUAAUUGGAUUGUUAUGGUAAUAAUAAUAAAGCAGUUCUUUUAUUUUUAAUCAUAAACUUCAAACUAUAUAUUGUCUUUUGGGUAUGUAUUUGCUGUUGUACUGUUUUUCAGUUCUGUCGCUUUCCUGUGGGCCGGUGGGUAUUCUUUGACAAGAUUAAUGGUCUAAUAUGUAUCCUCUUACAAUCUUUGAAUGAUGUAUUGGUGCUUUUGUGAGUUUCUACUCAUUCAAGUUUUUUCGUAAAUGCUCAUUCAAGUUUUUACUCGGGACACCGUAAAUUUCAUCAGAUAUUUGAAAUAUUUGAACUAUACGGAUGCAUGAACGGUAAGUUGCUCAUGUGUACUACACAAUUCUGCGUGCGACGUGGAUGUCUAGAACAAUUUUGUUUUAACAAAAUAAAAUUAUCAUAUUACUUAUGAUUAAAUUUCUUAUUGUUUGUUAUGGCUCCAUAUAUGAGUGGUUUGAGAUAUAUUCAAAGUGUUGUAACUGGUGCAAAGAAGCGUUAUCUUUUCUUUUAUGUGAAAUAGUGAAUUAUUUGCGAUCCUUAUUCAUCAAUGUAUCCGUUUGGCAAUAUAUAAAACAAAUGCUUAAAAAGGUUUUUCUUGGCUUUUAGUUUUGUAAAGAAAUUAUCUAAUCCGUAAUAAUAUUGUGUGAGUACACCAUAUUAUGGGUGUGUUUGUUUUAUUGAAAAUAGAGAAGGGUGAAGUGGUUUCUAGUCCUAAAUGUCUAUUUUUAUUGUUUGGAAUUUUAUUUUUAGUUGAAUUUCAAAUUUGUCAAAAUACCAUAAUGGACUUCCGUCCAUCUUAUAUCAUACUAAUUCACUCUCACUUUGGGCGGACCCAAGUAAAUUACAAAAAAAAAAAGUGAGAAGAAAAUUGAUAAAAUUUUAAUUUGCUCUCAAACUUGCACCAAAAAAAUAGAAGAAUCGAGAGAAUUUUAGUUUCACGUUUAUAUAAACAAACAGUAAAAAAAAUAAAUAACAAAUAUCUAAACUUGUAAUUUACAUCACAUACAAGAUUAGCCACAUCUAGUAAUCUAAAAUACACACCCUUUCCUCGGCAAUAUUUUCGGUGUAAUCUUAUAUCUUUUAUAAUACAGUAACACCAAACAGACUACAUACCGAAUGAACCAAACGCAGUAAUUUUAACAGAAUUGUCUGUAAUCUUGUCAAAAUAAUCUAAACCAAACCUAACUUAGGACGCGCUUGGUUCGAGUUAUAUAAUAUUAUAGUGUAUUGCGAUAUAUUCAUGUAUCUUGAAUUACUAAAUGAGAUUACAAGAGCCGCCUUCAGUAAUCCAAGAUACACACCCUCCUCCUCGGUAAUAUUUUUGGUGAAAUCUCACACUUUUUAUAAUACUGUAAUACCAAACAGAUUGCAUACUGAACGAGCCAAAUGCAGUAAUUCUGAUAGAAUUAUCUGUAAUCCUGUGAGGAUAAGCCAAAUCAAAUGCAUCAUAGUUUAUUUCAAAGGCCAAACCAAACGCAUCAAAUAGUUUAUUCCAAAAUCUAUCUCAAUCCGAACUUUAAAUUCCGGGAAACAAACGUACUCAAAUCUAAGCCCUAAAAAGUUAUGGUUCCAGAACUGGACACUCUCCCAGUGCGCCGCUGUUGCUAUCAAUCAAUCGACUCAAUCCUCUCCUUUCCUUUUCCAAACCAUAUAAAUAUAUAAACAUAUAUAUAUAUAUAUAUAUAUAUAUAUAUAUAUAUAUAUAUAUAUUAAUUAUUCGUUUCUAUUUUAUUUUUUCUAAAACCCGAAAGCGGGGGAGGAGGCGACGCCCAUGGCGGCCGAAGGAGGCGGCGGCGCGGCGGCGGCGGAGGAGGCGCGGCGGCUGUUCCAGCGGCUGUGGACGGAGGAGGAGGAGCUGGUGAUCCUGCGGGGGUUCUCGGANUUAAUUUGCUCUCACACUUGCACCAAAAAAAUAGAAGAAUCGAGAGAAUUUUAGUUUCACGUUUAUAUAAACAAACAGUAAAAAAAAUAAAUAACAAAAAAAUGUAUUUUAUCUAAACUUGUAAAUUUGUAAUUUACAUCAGGUACAAGAUUAGCCACCUUUAGUAAUCUAAAGUACACACCCCCUUCCUCGGCAAUAUUUUCGGUAUAACGUUACACCUUUUAUAAUACUGUAUCACCGAACAGACUACAUACCGAAUGAAUUAAACGCAGUAAUUUUAACAGAAUUGUCUGUAAUCCUGUCAGGAUGCGUUUGGUUCGAGUUAUAUAAUAUUAUAGUGUAUUGCAAUAUAUUCAUGUAUCUUAAAUUACUAAAUGAGAUUACAAGAUUAGCCGCCUUCAGUAAUCCAAGAUAUACAUUCUUCUCCUCGAUAAUAUUUUUGGUGAAAUCUCACACUUUUUAUAAUGCUGUAAUACCGAACAGAUUGCAUACUGAAUGAGCCAAACGCAGUAAUUUUGAUAGAAUUAUCUGUAAUCCUGUAAGGAUAAGCCAAAUCAAACGUAUCAUAGUUUAUUUCAAAGGCUAAACCAAACGCAUCUAAUAGUUUAUUCCAAAAUCUAUCUCAAUCCGAACUUUAAAUUCCGGGAAACAAACGUACUCAGAUCUAAGCCCUAAUUAGGUACCAUUUGGUUCGGGUAUAAGCAAGAACUAGCUAUUACAGGGAUAGGUACAAGUAUGGGGAUAAGAAAAAUAGUGUUUGGAUGAAAAUUGGGUUGUUCCCGAGGAUAAGAAAAAUAUUAGAAAGUUUUAUAUAGAAAAUGAAGGUGUUGGUGGGGAUAACCGAGAACUACUAUUCUCGGAUAAAAAAUUAGCGUUUGAGUAUAAAGGGGGAUAAGGGCCUAUCCCUAUUCCUAUUCCCAAACCAAACGGUUAAAAGUUAUGGUUCCAGAACUGGACACUCUCCCAGUGCGCCGCUGUUGCUAUCAAUCAAUCGACUCAAUCCUCUCCAUUCCUUUUCCAAACCAUAUAUAUAUAUAUAUAUAUAUAUAUAUAUAUAUAUAGAGAGAGAGAGAGAGAGAGAGAGAGAGCUGGACUAGGUUACUAUUAGUAGCAAAAUUUCAUUAAUGCUACAAGUUUUUUAGCCUUUGGAUCAACUCUUUUCAUUAUUUCUAACCAUUGGAUUAAAUACUAUAACCCAGUGGGGACUACUCAACUCUAGGGGGACCAUUCAACUCUAACUGACUAAUAUCAUCCUGACCCUACGAUUUUUCAUCCAAAGGUUAAAAAUUUGAUAGAAAAAAGAGCGUUUUACUAUUAAUAGUAUUCCAGUCUAAUUCUAUAUAUAUAUAUAUAUAUAUAUAUAUAUAUAUAUAUAUAUAUAUAUAUAUAUAUAUAUAUAUAUAUAUAUAUAUAGAGGUNUGCUGGUGACGGGGACGCCGGGAACGGGGAAGACGACGACGAGCUCGCUCCUCGCCGACGCCACCGCGCUCCGCCACGUCAACGUCGGCGACGUUGUCCGCGACAAGGGCCUCCACGACGGCUGGGACGACGAGUUCGACUGCUACAUCAUCAACGAGGACCUGGUCCGAUCCCCCCUAACCCUAACCCCAAAAUAACACUCAUCCUAACCCUAACCCUAACCCUAAACCUAACCCUAACUAUCUCCUUUUUUUUUUCAUUUUUUUGUUGCUAUGUUGGUAUGAAUUCGUGCUGUAUCUAUUUGAUUGAUCUCCUUUUUUGCCAUAGCUUAUAAUAUCCACCGUAUGACACAAUUUGGGUUUUUGCCGUUGUUCGUCAAUUAUUAGUUGCUGAAUUAACCCUCAUCUAAAUAUUAUAGCAAAAUCCAACAAUUACCUGUGAAUUUUGCUAGUUGAGGGAGCAGAUUCGAAAAUUUCAGCUUUAUAGCAAUUAUUGGCAGUUUAGUAUUAGCCAUAUUUAUUUGAAGAUUAAAAGUUGCUUCUUAAUGUCUAAAAUUUGAACAAUCCAGUAGUUCUUGUCAUUUAACUCAAUUGUUAGGUGAUGCCUAAAAUCUUAUUAGUGCAUGUUAAGUUCUGUGAGGUUUGAGAAAUGAAGGGAUGGAUGGGAUGGAUUAUUCUUCAUUGUGGCUAUUAAAUCUAUGGAUGUUUAAGGGCAAAAAAAGGUUUUUAGGCUAAGGAAUAAAGUAAACUAAAGAAUUAGAGAAGAAGUGGUGCUUGUAAAAGUUUCCGACCGUUAGAUCUAUCCCUUUUACCAAUUCCUCCCCUUAGAUUAUGCUAUUCCAUCAACCACCUCCUCAACCCUAGGGGAUCACUAUUAUCCUAACCCUACAAAUUUUCAUCCAAAGAUUGAAAACCUACAAGCAUCAAUGACUUAGUGCUUUCAAAAGCAUAGGAGCUCAAUUCUAGAGAAGCAAUAAUUAAAAAAAGCAUAAUCAAUACUAAAGUGCACUCUCGGUUAUCACUUGCUUGAUGGUUGCUUUUAUCAUUAUUUAAUUGACCAUAGUACUUUAGCCAUCAUCUCUAAUUAGAUUGAAAUUAGCCAAAUUGUUUACAUUUUUAUUUUGGAUUGAUUAGGAAUGAAUGUCAUGUUGUUAGUCCUCGUAAGGCAUUGGGUAGCUGCGUAUUCUUUUGCAUUCUGAUGUUCCUUUGGCUUUAUGGAUGGGAGGCAUAACAGAAAGAGGGGCGGGUGCUUUGACCUCUUCCAUAUCGUAGUUUCUCUGUUUCUCUCCUCUUCUCCAUUACAUGAGACCCAUUUGAGUAGGGACAUUUCCCUAGCCCGUGUCUUGAUGACUGAUGACCCCCUCCGUGAACUUUCUUACAAUGGUUGAGCCUCCUUUGCAGGAGAGCGGUGAUAGAAGAUGCAUUUACUCCCUCCCACCCCUUUUGAUUUGAUUAUAAUUGUCUUUCAAUUUUUAAUAUUUAACUUGAUCUGGUUUUCUCGUUACUUGCUUGGCUCGUGUAGAAUCUUAAUAAUUGCGUGUUCGUCUUGGUCAUGGUAAUGAAAUUUAUUAUUGAUUGGACAAUUUCUGUAGCUUGAGGGUGGCCAUAUUAUUUACUCAGCGGGGCAUAUACUUUUUACGUGGGGGAAGCUUUGUUAGAUGGGAGGGUCAUGGCCAGUGGCCACCCUCGUCACCCAUACAGAAACAUAAACACAUAGUCUGGUGUUGACAGUGGAUAGAAUGUUACCGUUCUAACCUCCUGAUGACGACAGUAUUUGUCGAUCGGCAUGGCACUUCUUGUAUGGCACAUACUGUAGUUUGAAUUUUUUUUUAGUCCAUUCUUUAUUCUUUGAUGUGCAUGUUUUGUAUUCCGGUCAGGUGUAAGAAUCAAUUAGCUAACGAGUAUAUGAUACAACCAUAAUUUCUUUUUUCUUUUCUCUUUGGGGCCCUGGGGAUGCCAGAUUUGUAUCAUGAUCCUGUACUCUUUUAAGUACUUGCACAACUUCUUCAUUAGUUGACAACUUUAGGUUUUUUGUAGACCCAUUUCUGAUGUUUAUAGAUGUAUAAGUCCUUGUCUAGUAAGUAUUCCUGUAUCUUCUCCCAGAGAAAUUUUGUUUGGACUUGUUUAUGUUCUUUCACUAGGUUGAUUCAUUUCCCUUUAUUUUGUAUUCUCAUAUUUUAGCAGAUGCAAUAAUUUGAUUUUCGUAAGCUGUAAACCAUUUUUACGAAUUUCUCUUUUUUUAGUGAAUUUGUGAUGUUUUUCUUUAUUUUGAUUAAUGUCAAUCAAUUUUUGAGCUGUGGAUACCUUUUAUUUCUGAGAUGGGGUCUGAGGCUCCCAGUGAUAACCCAUAGUACAUUAAGGGGCCGCAAUAUGAGCGAAAAACGUGCUAUGUUAAUAAUUUGAGAAACAACAAUUUGUUGGCCUUGUUCCUUUAUGACUCAAAUAGUAACCAACUACUGCUGGAUAAUCUGAUUAAAGAGUGGAGAUAUCGGUCAUAAGUAAUGUGCGUGUAGAUUUUCAUGUAGUCAAAAAUUAUAUUUAUCAUUGCAUAUCACAUGGUAAUCUAUUAAUAUGGUAAGAACCGUACAUUCUGAAUGUGCUGUGUAGUUAGGAGAAGGCAUAACCUGUAACCGGAUUGAGUGGUGAACAGGAUUUAUUGAUGAAUUCUAUUUGCUUUCUUUUGACCUUUGAGGAUUUGUUGUCUUAAUCCUACUUCUGAGGUUAGGGCUAUACCGAGUUGACUCAUAAUAUCAAAUAUUGGACCUACUGGGGAGUUCACUAGGAAGGACAACUACAUAUUUCGAAAUUAGCACAUUUAAACAUGAUUUUAAGCGAAAAGAAAAAAGGAAAUUAGCACGAAAAACCAAGUAUUUUGAUUUUAGUUGGACAGAUUUUAAUAAUCCAAGUAUGUUCCAAAUCUGAGUUGAAUCUGAGAAUGAUGACCUGAAUAUAUUGACAGCGAUCUAUGCACGGCCUUUGAGUCUGGAUCUUUCUGGGGAAUGCCAACUAUUGGGACCUUUUUACCCUUUUGCACCUUAAAGGAUUUUACUACAUUAUCUCCCAAGGUUCUUUUUUCUUUUUGCAGGUUACUAAUCAGCGAUGCAGUGUUGCCUUCUUGUGAUUGACUUACCAACUGCUAUUUACUCGUCAAAUUGAGAAUUAGUAGUGGUGUUCCGCUUAUAAUCCGAUCCUUUAGAUAUUAAAUCUAAAAUUAUCUCUAAGUUCCACUAUGUUUUUCCUAUUCACGUGUAUUGACGCCCUUUGUCUUGGCAAUGAAGGUAUGCGACGAGCUUGAAGAAAUGAUGGAAGAAGGCGGGAAUAUCGUAGAUUACCACGGUUGUGAGUUCUUCCCAGAGCGUUGGUUUGACCGCGUUGUUGUGCUACAGACGGACAAUUCUAUUCUGCAUGAUCGCUUAGCUAGCAGGUAAUGACUCUUUUUUUAAGUGCUUGGGUAAUUGAUCAUUGAGAAUAGCAGUAUUUAUGCUUCCUGUGGAUUUCAGAAGCUUUGGCAGAACUGUUGCUUGAAUAGAGUUGUUCGAAACUAUUCGAUUAAAAACCCACCGACCGCUUCUUUUACAGCUGUAGGAAAAAGCUUCAAAUUGGAACCGAACUUAUGUUCGCAAAAUUCCAUUGAACCUGCUUCUUCCAGUAGAGUAGAUUCAGAAUUUACUUCUAUAUUUGAUCCCACUGUGGAUUGCUUUCCAGUUGAGAUUAGUUUCUGACAUGCGCGCGGAAUGUUCGCAGAGGCUACAUGGGUUCGAAGCUUACGAACAACAUCGAGUGCGAGAUCUUUCAAGUGCUGCUGGAGGAGGCGAGAGCGAGCUACCCCGAGGAUAUUGUGGUGGCGUUACGCAGCGACAGCGUCGAAGACAUCAGCAGGAACGUGGCCGCGCUGUCGGAGUGGGCGAAUAACUGGCGGCCGGACAUGUCGGUCUGAGUAGCAUAUCUUUCCGCUCGCUCGCUCGCGUUUGUGGGAAUUAUUUGUUGCAGGGUUGCUGACAAUGACCGAACUGUGAGCAAAAAUAAAAUAUUGCUUGUGUAAGUUUACGCCUGUUAUUUUUUCCAAGCAGAUGGUGUGGUGUAAUUUCGGAUAUGCUAUGAACAUGGUUUUGGAUUAUUAUUAUUAUUAUUAUUAUUAUUAUUAUUAUUGUUUUGCUUUUCCUUUCGUCUUAAAACAAAACCUUUGUUGCUAACUAUAGAAUUUAGGCCAAAACAGUUGUGGAAAGAUUUAAUAAAAAAUAAUAAAGUAUUUUUAUAUAAAGUAGUUAAAAAAAUUGAUAUAUAUAUAUAUAUAUAUAUAUAGAGAGAGAGAGAGAGAGAGAGAGAGAGUUGAGCUAUAAUACUAUCGGUAGUAAACGAGCCGUUUUACUACCGAUUUGUUUUCGAUGAUAGAGCUUUAAAAUUGACGAUCGACUUCGUUAAAUAUGAUCUAAACUAUUUAAACUGCCUAGAAAUUAAAUUUCACGCACUUUCAAUAUUGUUCUUUUAUCCAUCAAGUGAACAGAAAAAUGAAUGGUUGAAAAUGAAUAUGUUUUAAAAAAUGAUGAUAGGAGUCUUGUAAUCAAGAUCAAGAGUAUAGAUCUUGUUUUAAAUAGUUUAAAGAAUUUUCUAACAAAAAUUCAAUUGAUUUUGAUAUCUUUACGCCGUUAAACAAGAAAACGUCUCUUAUUGACCAUUAAAAUUAUAAAUUUUGAAACCCUUUUAUCAUUAGGCAAAUGAUGUCGAAAAGAUUUAAAAUUUGAUUUCUAAACACUUCAUGUGGUAUAGAUCAUGUUCAACGGAGCCGAUCGUCAAUUUGGAAACUCUAUCAUCGAAAAUAAAUCGGUAGUAAAACGGCUUGUUGACUACCGAUAGUAUUCUAGCUCAACUCUCUCUCUCUCUCUCUCUCUCUAUAUAUAUAUAUAUAUAUAAUGUAGAAUAAAUUUUUUAUUUGAUUCUCGGUGCGGAUCGUAUCUAUCGUAUCUUAUUGUGCCAAUAAGAUAUAGUUCUCGUGUCAAUGACAUAAUUUUUAAUUUUUUUUAAAAAAUUAUUAAGUAAUUUUGUUAAUAAAAUUUAAAAGAUUUAAUAAAGAUGUAUAAUAAGUCAUUAAUAAUUUUAUAUUAUUAUAUGCCGGCGUAAGCGCACAUGUAUUAUAUAUUAAUUAUUUGAGUUGCGAAUAUAUUAUAUUAAUUAUUUGAGUUGCGAAGGGACGACGAAGUAUAAAUUCGUGAGAGGUUCACCCUCUUCGCCUCCUACUGCUUUAAGAUGCGCCUCGCGCGGUUAAUUGGAACCCUCUCUCCUCGUCAUCCUCCUCCUCGCCCCCUCCCCUUCUCCACCACCUCCUCCUCCUCCUCGUCCGUGGCCUCCGACGCCCCCGCUCGGGUCCUCGGAGUCGGCGGCGUCCUCCGCGGCGAGCCUCGGCGGUUCUCCGGCGCGGACGUGGCCGCGUACGCGGCGGUGAGCGGCGACCGCAACCCCCUCCACCUCGACGCCGAGUUCGCGCGGGGUGUCGCCGGGUUCGAGCGCGGGAGCGUCGUCCACGGCAUGCUCGUCGCCUCCCUCUUCCCCUCCCUCAUCGCCUCCCACUUCGUACGCUUCCCCUCCCUCUUUUCGGAAUUUCGUCGAACAGGUGGUGGGCGGAUGAGUUGUGUGUGCAGUUACGAGUCUGGGGAGUUGGGUUUGUUUCGGGAAGGUCGAUAUCAAUAUUUUGGCUUAUCACUCUCUCAUCGCCUCCCACUUCGUAGUAUUCUCCGUCCAAUUUCAUGAGCAUUUGUCGAUGGGGAAUUUCGUCGAACAGGUGGUGGGCGGAUGAGUUGUGAGCGUAGUUGCGAGUUUUGGGAGUUUGGGUUUGAUUUGGGUAAGUCGAAAAGUUCAGAGCUUGGCGAAAGAUUUGGAGAAUUUGGAAAAAGAAAAAGAAAAAUAGCAAUAGUUUGGUUUAUCACUCACUCAUCGCCUACCACUUCAUAGGAUUCUGCUUCCCAUUUCGUGAGCAUUUGUCCAUUGGGAAUUUCGUCGAACAGGUGGUGGACGGAUGAGUUGUGUGCGUAGUUGCGAGUUUGGUGGGUUUGGGUUUGAUUCUGAAAGGUCGAAAAGUUGACAGUUUGGUGAAAGGUUUGGGGAAUUUGAGGGGAAAAGAAAAACCAAAAAAAAAAUUGCAAUAGUUUGGUUUAUAANCCAUUGGAUCUACUUUUUAAUUACUAAUAGUCUUUAGAUCAAACACUAUUCCACUUACCACCACCUACCACCACCUAUCACCAUCAUCUCAACCUCACAUCUCUCUCCAUCCAAGGGCUAAAAACACAUAAGUAUCACUUGGGUGAUACUUUUACAAGUAUUCUAGCUCUACUAUAUAUAUAUAUAUAUAGAAUAAAUUUUUUAUUUGAUUCUCGGUGCGGAUCGUAUCUAUCGUAUUUUAUUGUGCCAAUAAGAUAUAGUUCUCGUGUGGAUGACAUAAUUUUUAAUUUUUUUUAAAAAUUAUUAAGUAAUUUUUUUAAUAAAAUUUAAAAGAUUCGAUAAAGAUGUAUAAUAAGUCAUUAAAAGAUUUUAUUGUUAAAAAAUAAAUAUUUUUAUAUUAUUAUAUGCCGGCGUAAGCGCACAUGUAUUAUAUAUUAAUUAUUUGAGUGGCGAAUAUAUAUUAUAUUAAUUAUUUGAGUUGCGAAGGGACGACAAAGUAUAAAUUCGUGAGAGGUUCACUCACCCUCUUCGCCUCCUACUGCUUUAGGAUGCGCCUCGCGCGGUUAAUUGGAACCCUCUCUCCUCGUCAUCCUCCUCCUCGCUCCCUCCCCUUCUCCACCACCUCCUCCUCCUCCUCGUCCGUGGCCUCCGACGCCCCCGCUCGGGUCCUCGGAGUCGGCGGCGUCCUCCGCGGCGAGCCUCGGCGGUUCUCCGGCGCGGACGUGGCCGCGUACGCGGCGGUGAGCGGCGACCGCAACCCCCUCCACCUCGACGCCGAGUUCGCGCGGGGCGUCGCCGGGUUCGAGCGCGGGAGCGUCGUCCACGGCAUGCUCGUCGCCUCCCUCUUCCCCUCCCUCAUCGCCUCCCACUUCGUACGCUUCCCCUCCCUCUUUCCGGAAUUUCGUCGAACAGGUGGUGGGCGGAUGAGUUGUGUGCGCAGUUACGAGUCUGGGGAGUUGGGUUUGAUUCGGGAAGGUCGAUAUCAAUAUUUUGGCUUAUCACUCUCUCAUCGCCCCCCACUUCGUAGUAUUCUCCGUCCAAUUUCAUGAGCAUUUGUCGAUGGGGAAUUUCGUCGAACAGGUGGUGGGCGCAUGAGUUGUGAGCGUAGGUGCGAGUUUUGGGAGUUUGGGUUUGAUUUGGGUAAGUCGAAAAGUUCAGAGCUUGGCGAAAGAUUUGGAGAAUUUGGAAAAAGCAAAAGAAAAAUAGCAAUAGUUUGGUUUAUCACUCACUCAUCGCCUACCACUUCAUAGGAUUCUGCUUCCCAUUUCGUGAGCAUUUGUCCAUUGGGAAUUUCGUCGAACGGGUGGUGGACGGAUGAGUUGUGUGCGUAGUUGCGAGUUUGGUGGGUUUGGGUUUGAUUCCGAAAGGUCGAAAAGUUGACAGUUUGGUGAAAGGUUUGGGGAAUUUGGGGGGAAAAGAAAAACCAAAAAAAAAAUUGCAAUAGUUUGGUUUAUAAAAUAUAGAAGAAGUUACAAAACUUUUUGUGUAAAAAAAACGUAAGGAUUCAUUCAUUUGGUAAUAAAUAAUGUACGAAGUCCUUAAAUUAGUUGAUUAAUUUCUAUGUUAACCAGAAAAUUUAAUGAUUUUUGGGUCAGUAUAUACAUAAUAAUGAAAAUUCGGAGAGAAUUUUUUUUUUUUUUGAGAGAUAGGUAGCACGCUACCCGCUUCGUUUAUUUCAUUUAGAAAUAAACUUAGCUGGAAAUGUGAAUCAACUAGGAUUCGAACUUGGGUCUUGGAUACCAACCACCAAACCUUUUGCCACUUGCUCUAGGGACGGUCGGUAAUUCGGAGAGAUUUUAGAUAGGCAAAAAUAUGUGAAUUAUGCGUAAAUUUUACAAAAAAGUGGAGAAUGUUGUGAAUGAGAUUAUGUGUUCUGAAGAGUCAUUAAGGAUGUGCAACUUCGAAACUUGCAUUAUACUGUGUGAAAAAUUGGAAGAUGCUUUAUAGGUGUUUUAACAACUCAUUUAGAGUUUCGAUUGGUUUCACUGAAUGGACAAGUUAUUGGAUUAGGAAUCCUUAAACUUGAGAAAAUAAUGCACCCAAAUUGAUUUUUUGACUAGAUUGGUGUACGUGUAUGCGCAUUAUUUCUUAACACCGCGUUGUUUACUAGCAUUGGAUUAUGAAGAAACAGGCUUCGUGCAUUGGAGAAUAAAAAACAAAGGAAAAAUCAAAAUAACCUUGUGUUGGAGGGGUGAAGGUUUGGUUUUCGGCUAAGGGCAUAUGAGUAUCAGUAUGACAGAUUUGGCAAUAAAGGUGCUAAGAAAAGUACUUUUGAGGAUGUUAAAAUUCAUGAUAAUAGAACCCUAUUACAGAGCAAAUUUUAAUGCACUUGUAGUUAUAAUUCUAUCUGCUGGACAUUAUCUUUUCCUGGCUUCACAAAUUAUACUGUUCUUGAGCUGAUGCACUGGAUCUAUCUCUGAAAAGAUGAUAUGUGUGAGGAACUAUGUAUCACGGACACUUCUGUGAGCCUCACGUGUCCGUGUCGGAGGCGCGCAUGCCCAUGUCGGACACGUGUCCGAUGUAGACACUUCUUGGACGCCCAUUUAAUACCGAUUCAUAACGCAUACAACUAGAAAAUAUAUAUAUCUAUUUUUAUUUUACUUUUUCUUUGCAUAUAUAAUAUAAGAGGAUAAAUAUUUCAGCUUUUUUAUCAAUACAUACAAUUUCUUUUUGACAAUAUAAAUUAAUUAUAUAUGGUGGAGAAUUUCUUUUCUUAAAAUAUAUGAACUAUCAAUGAAAAUUUUACUAACUUUCAUUCGUAUGAGAAAUGUAAUAAUAUUUUACCAAAAUUAAUAUUUUAUGCAUAAUAAAAAUAUAUUAUUAUAUUAAUAAUAUUAUAUUUUAUUAGCAGUGUCCAUGUCAUGUCCGUGUCAUAAUUUUUUGAAAGUUGCCGAGUCGCGAUGUCCGAGUCGUGUCGUGUCUCGUAUCCCGUGUCAGUGUCCGUGACGCCUAGGUGAGGAAUAUACACUUAUAAUGGAAAUUCUGAUAUGAAUUCUUUUGCUUUCAGAGAUCUCUUUAAUUUAGACCGAAGGAAAUGUGCAUGUGACGGUACACGACUUUGUUUUGAUGUGCGUGGCAAUUUGCCAUAUCUGCAGACGGAUAUCUGACUUGUUAUAAAUAUAAUGAGUUAGAUGGUAAUGGUACAGGCGAAAUUGUGCGAGUUGUGCAUGCAUGAUGAUAGUUAUCAAAGCUAAUUGAUGCUUCAUUUCUAGUACUGAGUUUGAUGUUAAGGUUGUCUGUUUCACUACCGAGAAUAUAGUAAGGCUUUCUCAUUUUCUUGCUCAUAUUUAUAUUCUAUCGAACUUGUGACACUUUAUUUUGUUGCUUUCCUUUUCUUUUAUUCUCUUGUCUACCACUAAAAGAGGAUUUGUUUUACUAAAUUUAAUUACAAUUUGCUUUCGGUAAAUUUCUAACCCUUAAUAGAUUUCUGAGCUGCAACUUUCUGCUCUCUAGAGUCCAAGAUCAAAUAAGCUUAAUCUGUUUAUUUUCUUAUUUAGACGAAGGCCAUUAUUUGAUUGACCUCAAUCUUUGUAAAUGUCUAGCCUGGAGCGAUAUAUGUUGCUCAGACUCUAAGCUUCAGACAACCGGUCUAUGUUGGAGACGAAGUCGUCGCUGAAGUUCAAGCAAUAUAUUUGAAGGAAAGCAAGAAAAGAUACAUGUCUGUGAUACCCAAUCUCUCUGCGCGCUCAGUAAAACUCUAUUUCCCUGCUUAUUUACCGGUUUUGUUUCUCUUGCUUGUAGUGCGAAGUUUACAACGAAAUGCUUCACGAAUCAGGAAUGUCUUGUAAUCGAUGGCGAGGCGACAACCCUUUUACCAACACUCGUGCUUAACAAGUGACAAGUUUGUGGCCAUAUCCUCGAUUUCAUUUUUGCUGCUUCUUUUUAUCCCCCUUUAGUUCCGUUUACUAGAGUUUUGACAGAAGAAGACACUGUCAUGCUGCGACCAAGAUUCCGACAGAGGAACAGAAGCUGUUCAUUGAUUCCUAUCUUUUCAGAAGAAACUGUGCAAUGGAUAUAAUCUUAUUAGUGUUGUUGUUUGUCUGAAAUAAAGAGGAAGAGCGGUAUCUUCCAAUCUUUUGGGGAAUAUAUAUAUAGAGUGAGGCUACUAUGCUUCUGGAAGCACGGAGCCUUCCGUGCUUCCAGGUCAUUUUUCAUGUUGCGACUUUCGAAUCGUCAAUCGGUUCCGUUAAACUUGAUCUAGAGUAUUUGAAGUACCUAGAAAAUAAAUUUUGCAAUUUUUCGAUAUCAUUUGCCUAGUGAACUAAGGGGCUCAAAAUCAAUGGCUGAAAAUAAAAAUUUUACAAAACGUGAUAAUAUGACAUUAAAAUUUUAGAUCAAAGAUAUCGAUCUUGUUUUAUAUAGUAUAAAGAAUUUUCUAUCAAAAUUUUACGUGAUUUGAAUAUUUUUACACCGUUAAACUUGCAAACGGCUCACCACGGCCAUUAAAAUUAUUGAUUUUGAGCCCCUUCGAUCACUAGGCAAAUGAUAUCGAAAAAUCAUAAAAUUUAUUUUCUUGAUACUUUAAAUACUCUAGAUCAAGUUUAACGGAGCCGAUCGACGAUUCGAUAGUUGCAACAUCGAAAACGACGUGGAAGCACGGAAGGCUCUGUGCUUCGAAAAGCAUAAUAGCCUCACACUAUAUAUAUAUAUAUAUAUAUAUAUAUAUUAAAAUUCAAUUUGUUGGUUAAAGUAAGUUUCUUGCAUGCCUCCUACACGAGUUAAUUUAUGUAUGCUGCUCAUAGUUCAUGGUGUGAGGUCAUUUUUUCUGAGUAAACAUUUGCUCUGAAUGAGACCUUAAUGACUCUACUUUUGCUUUCAUUUUCAGCUGUAACGUCCUGUAGAGCAUUUGAGCAAGAAAAGAAAAGAAAGGCUGAAACUUCCUGCAAAUCUCGAGUCUCAAAGUCAGAAACUUCAAUUUGCUACUUCUAAUUUACUUAUAUUUUAAUGCGGUGCUCAUAUUAAUAAUAAUUAGGCGCAGUUUAUCAAACAACAUUCUACUAAACAGCGGAGCCAAAUAAUCUCAAAGAUGCGCGAUAUAUUAGUAUCACCUCUAUUUAUACUCUGCAUUCACAAAGCAGAUGCAUUAAAAUCUAACCCAAUCUAUAUAUGCGAGAUCUUUAGUUUGAUACACCAGUUGUGUCGAUAAUAAUUUCUGCAUAUCACCAACCCGUUAAUUCAAGUUUGCAUUCAUAAGAAAGAAAAAGUAGAAAACCAGCUUACUACAUUUUGUAGUUUCUGCACCUUUUGUUUCCAUCAAAUACAGUGGAGUAACAGAAUCUUUCGAGGAAUUAGAAAUCAGAAAAAAAAAAAAAGAACCGAAACUAGAUGGAUUCAAAAAUAAAAAUCAUUAACAACAUCAUAAGACAUCAUUGGCAUUUAGAAUCCAUCCACACUUUCAAUCCAUUCAGAUUACAAACUAUUGAAGCAAAACUCAGAAAAUCCCGUGGAAAGGGUUGUUAUGUUUGCACGCAUUCAAGAGUCCCAUACAUAACCCCAUCCCUUGCCUUCAAAAUGGCGCUCUCCACCCCUUUUGCCUAUUUGAUAUGAACUACCUAUCCUACCAUUAACAAGCCAAAGAAUGCCAUAAUUUAACUUCAAAUUGCAAGAGAACCCUCCGGGGGUCCGGCGGGCACCGGAGCCUUUGGCUUCGGCUUCUCUACGACGAUCGCCUGUGUCGUGAGCACCAUCCCGGCCACUGAGGCGGAAUUUUGGAGCGCGCACCUUGUGACCUUAGCUGGGUCGAUGACGCCGGCUUCUACCAAGUUCUCGUAUUUGUCGGUCAUCGCAUUGUACCCCACUUCCCACUCGCUGUCUUUGACCUUUUCGACGACCACCUCGCCUUCCACUCCUGCAUUGUCCGCUAUAAGCGCUGCGGGUGCUACCAAUGCCUGUUCAAUAAGGUAGGUGGGUCAUUUUAACUAUAUGAAUAUACGAAAUUUUCAAAGCUUUUACUAUGGCUGAUGAAAGAAUUGUGUUUACAUGACCAAAAUGUGAUUAACAAAAGAUCAGGAUCAGUACGCAGCAACAAUUGCAGUUAUAGCCACCUAAUUUUUAUUUUUGAAUGCAUGACCGAUCUUACGUUUUUCAUGCGCUAUCUUCCUGUCAUUUUUUUUUUCUUUUUUGAGGACGGCUGUUGCUCAUGCGACUAUCAUGUGAUUCUGAAGAGUUCAGGGAUAUUCUCGAUCUCCUAAUCCUUCUUCGGAAUGCCCAUUUGAGCUCGGGAGCAUUUAAAACAGUUGGCACUCGCAAGUUUCAUGCAACAUUCUAAAACUAACAAAUAUAGCAAAACUAAUCAUCAGAAAUGUUACCUUCUGAAUGAUGUCCGCUCCAAGACGCUCAUCAGCAUCUUCAAGCUUGUCCUUGAUCGCAGGCACGCAGGUCGAGAGGUGAACAUAGGCCGCACCGCCACCGGGCACGAUCCCCUCCUCUAUAGCCGCAAAGGUGGCAUUUUUGGCAUCCUCGAUGCGGAGCUUGCGGUCUUCGAGCUCUGUCUCCGUCGCAGCACCGACUUUAAUGACAGCGACACCACCAGAGAGUUUUGCAAUUCUCUCAGCCAGUUUCUCAGUGUCAUAAACUGAGUCUGUUUCAGCAAGUUCCUUCUUUAUCUGCGCAAUUCUCGCCUGAAUCUCAUCUUUAGAGGCCGCAUCGGCAAUAAUGGUCGUGGAGGAUUGCGCGACCGUGACUUUCCUUGCAGUUCCGAGCUGGUCCACUGUCGUGUUCUCAACCAACAAGCCGAGGUCUUUGGCUUGGAACUCAGCCCCUGAAAAUAUGGUAAAAGAACAAAGAAGAUCAGUCUAACCAUAUAUAGAAACAGAAGGGCAGGAUGAGGAACAUAAGUAGCAUCAGGAUGAUAAGUUGUAGAAAGAAAAUUAUGGGUCUCAGGCUAGAACGGUUGCAGAAUAAAUAUUUUGGAUGAUUUGCAUAAUAACCUAUUGAAAGCUCAUCCUUGCAAAACAUUCAAGCGCUAUCUGAUUACUGCGGAUGCGAUAUAUUUGAAUCUGAGACCCAUAAUUUCUGCUGUUUAACCAUUGAAAUUUGCUCCCUUAGCUUCAUCUUGACAAUACUAGCUUCCCAAUAUUUUCCAUCAUGUUUUUCAACUCUUCACAUGGUACCUAAAGGCCAAACCGUAUGUUGAAGGUAAUGUAUAGUUCUAGGCAUGGAGAAGAAACUGUUUAAGUCAACAGAACAAUAUUACAUUAAGCUAAAACCCCGACUUUUAAUCAGAAGACAGUAAGUAAGGAAAAACAGCAGUAAAUACGGAAAAAAAAAACAUCUUCAGUAAGUACAAUGGCAAUAAUGUAAAAGGCAACUGGAACUUGCAAUAACAUCUUUUACCUGUCACGAUGGCAAUAUCCUGAAGAAGAGCCUUUCGCCGUUCGCCAAAACUAGGGGCUUUAAUUGCCGCAACAUUGAGAAUACCUCGAAGCUUAUUGACAACAAGAGUUGCCAAAGCCUCACCUGUAACAUCCUCAGCAAUAAUAAGCAGAGGUGCUCUUAGCUGUGUGGUCUUCUCCAAUAAAGGAAUAAUCUCCUUUAUAGUGGAGAUCUUCUGAUCGGUUACAAGAACUCGGGCAUUCUCAAACUCAACAAGUAACUUCUCGGGAUUCGUGACAAACUGUGGGGAGAUGUAACCUCGGUCAAUCUGCAUGAACAGUGCAAAAACACAUACAUGAGGAAAGAGGCAAUAGGAAACACUAUAAUUCCAUUUGAUAAAAAGAGAUAAUAAGAAGAAUAGUUUGAGCUGUCAAAUUAGGACAGGACCUCCAUUCCUUCUUCAACAUCAACAGUAGUCUCAAAUGACGAGGAAGACUCGAUUGAAAGAACCCCGUCAGGACCAACUUUAUCAAUAGCAUCAGCAAUCAUGGUUCCCACAAAUUCGUCAUUACCAGAUGAGAUUGAGGCAAUGGCUGCAAUACAAGAUAAAUAAUAAAUUACAGAUACUCGUUUCAUAGUUUAGUGUUUCUUUUCAUUCACCUUUCCACUAGAAGAUAAGCCAAAAUUGAUACAGAGUUUAUACUGUCCUAACAUUAUUAUCAGCAUAAAAAGCAGCAACAUAGAAAUGAGAGAUGAUCUCGGUACCUUUGAUAUCACCACGCCCCUUGACCGGGCGAGCCUUCUUCUCAAGCUCAUCAACUAGGGCCUGUACGGUCUUGUCAAUUCCCUUCUUAAGUGAGACGGGAUUUGCACCUGAGGUAACACUCAGAAGACCCAACUUGAUUAUUUCUCGCGCAAGAACUGAUGCAGUUGUGGUCCCAUCACCAGCUGAGUCAUUAGUCUUACUAGCAACCUUUUCAUACAAUGCCAAACAUGUGUCACAUAACAAACUCAACUUUCCAACUUCACAACGAAAAUAGAAAGUAAAAACUCAUAUAUGACUGCCACAAUAGCCAUAAAGAUCCACCAGAAUAUAUAUAUAGUCUUAUACCUCACGAAUCAAUGCUGCACCAGCAUUCUCCAUUGGAUCAGCAAGCUCAAUAGCCCGAGCAAUCGUGACACCAUCAUUUACCACUCUUGGGUUCCCAAAUUCAUCCAAAACCACAUUCCUCCCUUUGAGUCAGAAAAAAAAAAUCCAAACAAAAAUCAGUAUAACUGCCCUAUAAUUAAGAAAACAAAACCAAAUUAUCCCACAAUUUUUUUUAAAAAAACACUCUUGCCCUUUGGCUGAUAUAUCAAUCCUCCCAAUAUAAAGUUACAUCAGUUUUAGCCCUUAUACUUUACUACCGUCUAUGCCCAAAAUUUCAGGAGGAUUGUAAAUUCAGAUGCAGAAUUUCACAGAAACGAGUUGAUUCAUUAAUUUUAGCUGUAUAUUUCAUAGAAUAGAGUGACAAAAUUAAACAGAUGUCCAACAAACUGCAAAUUUUUAAUCUGAUUUUAAAUCUAUUAUGUAAGUUGCAACUUCGACAAAUGUUCGACAAUAAAAUCGGCCAACUCGUCAUCCGAGAUCCACUCCGAAUCCAAAUUUAACAAUCAUUCAAAACGUCUAAACCUAUUUGAGAAAUGGUUAAGUGCAGUACAAAAAAUUGAUGCAACAAUGGAGAAAACACAGGAUAAAUUCAUAAUAUAAUAAUAUCAUGCUACCAAAUAACAACCAACCUGAAAAACAAAACUCUGCCACUUGUGUAACAAAUAAACAAGACAACAAAAUGCAUCCAUUCGAAAGAAUAAAAAGGGAAACAAGCUAAAGCCACAUUAAGCAUCGUCGGCAUUCUUUUUGUUUGCUUAAAAAAAAUAAAUUUAUAUAGUUUGAUAUAACAGCGGAAGGACUUUCCUCUUAUUGCCAUGGUUCAUUAACUUGUAAUGCACCUGAAUCAAACAAAAACUAAUUUUGAUAUAGUUUCUUUUGUUGCCGAACAAAUAAAGAUUGCACUCAAUCCACCAUUCCUCCUACACUAUGUUAUAUAAAAAUUCUACUUAAGAAGCAAUAAGAAAUGGGCUACGAUGCGAAGCGAGGCCUAAAAUUGUUAGAAUGAUAUAGAAAGAUGAGAAAUUUUACCUCUGGGGCCGAGGGUGACCCCGACGGCAUUGGCGAGCUUCUCGACGCCGGCCUGGAGCGCGGACCGGGAGCUCUGGUCGAAGGCGAUAUCCUUCGCCGCCGCGCGCACCGCCAUGCUCCGGUGGCCACUCGUCCUCCUCCCGGGCCCCGCCCUCUUCCUCAGAAUCUCCUAUUCCAAUCACCACCAAAAACCAUGUCUCAGCUCAAAAAGAAUGGGGAAUCAGAGCCGCCCCGAAAACAGGGGGAAUUGGCUUCUCCGAGAAGCAGUAGCCCUCCCCACGAACAAUGGGGGCGAGUUGGGUUCACCGAGAAGCCCCAAAAACAGGGGGAAUUGGCUUCUCCGCGAAGCAGUAGCCAACCCCAAAACGGGGGGAAGAAUUGGCUUCUCCGAGAAGCAGUAGCCAUGAAAAGGGCAUCGAUCGAUAGAGGAAAGAAGAUGGGAGAAGCAAGGAGGAGAGAAGGGACCUGGCGAGGGGAGGCGAGGAGCAUGGAGGCGGUGGAAAUGGCGUUCGCCGCGGCCAUUUUUGGAGGGGAGAGAGAAGAGGGAGCGAGAGCGCAACGGAGGAGACGCGGAGGAGGCGGCGAGGAUAAGGUAAAGAGAGAGCGUGUGGGUUCGAGGGCUGGGAAAGAGUUAGGAGCUUCCAGAAGAUUCGCAGGCCAUGAUUUUUUCAUUGGGUUGUAAACUUGUAAUUCAAAAAACUUGUAAUUCAAAGAAUUUAUAUUUUAAUUUUUAAAUUUAUUAAAAAAUACGAUUUAAAAAAUAAAUUUGUUAAUUAUUUGGAUAUGCGAUUUAUACAAAUAUUAUACGUUCACUAAUUAACAAUUUGGAAUAAAAAAUUCAACUAUUGAACUAAUUUUUUUUUUCUAGAUUUAUACUAUUAGCAUAUAUAAUUAUAAAUUUUAAAAAAUAUAAAAAAAGAGCUAUAAAAUAAAGUAGGUUAAGUAAAAAAAAAUAAUAGCAAAUUUUAUUGUCAUUUUCAUCUUCAUCUUUUUCAUAAUCCAUAUAUUUCGGAAGUUCACGAAGUUUUUCAAUAAUUCGCGAAUAAUUCAGCAAUAAUUCGGAAUAGAAUUUUAUCCAAAAAAUUUGUGCAUUUUUUUGGCCGAAUAAUUCGGCAUACGCGAAUUAUUCGCGAAUAAUAAAUCUAACCCAAAAAUUCGCAUAUUAUUCUAAUUUUUUAGGAAUAAAUCGUAUACGGACCGUUUUAUUUAGAUUUUUAAUAAUUCGUGAAUAAUUUGCGAAUAAUACGCGAAUUAACUAACUACGUUCGUGCCUUUUUAAAACCAUCAAAUACUAAGUACUUAGAACUCUUUUAGUAUUAAAAUUAUUUUUUUGAUCAAAUUUUAUUUUUAAGAUUAUAGUAUCUUACCAACCACCCAUUGAAUCCUGCCCCAUCACCAUUAUUCUAGUCCUAUUUUCAUCCAAAAAUAAAAAUCUAUAAGCAUUUAAUGAUUUUGAUAUUUUUGAAAAUAUAAAAGUUUAAUUUCUUAAUACAGUUCAUUUUCGGCUCAAAUUAAACCAAUUUGAGAACGAUCAUUUAUUUAAUAAAUAGGUUGAAUAAGAACUGAAUUUUUGAGCUCAAAAUCUUAACGACGCUUACACGAAUUGGGGGGUCCACGGCUUGAUAAAUUUCAAAUACUGUAUAUAUUACCAAUUUUUACUAUUUGGAUCUCAAGCAAAUCAGAAUAUAAUGAGAUCAAUAUUUUGUGAAUUUUAAUUAUUACAUUAAGAUUCGAAUUUUUUAAUUUUCUUCUAACUUUUCAUUCGAUAGUAGGACUGACAAUCUAAUUUGCUGUUUGCGAGCCAGCUCGUGUUCAGUUCGAUAUUUCAAUGAGUCAGCUUAGGUUCGACUUGUUGAUAGUCCUGUAAUAAUUACACUAAACUGUACUAGACCUUACAUAUAUAUUUUUUUUACUUUCUAUGUUAUAUUAAUAAAUUAUAAAUAAAAAAAAUAAUACUCGGCUUUUUUUUUUUUUCAAUCCCUAUAUUAUAAAUAACAAACUUAUAAUUUUAUAUAAAAACUCAUAAAAAUACUGGUUAUAAAUAAUAAAGCAUAUAUUCAGCUUAUUUUUGACAUAAAAAUAACAAAAUAUAUAAAAAUAAUUAAAAAUAAUUUGAUAGAAAUAUUUAAUGAGUCUAUAAUAAAAACUUAUUUUAUUUUUUUUUACUAUAUAAUUGGUACUUUUUAAUAAAAUUGUUAAACUUUGUCUAAAAUAAUGGAUUUGUUAUAAUAAUGUAGAGAUUGGUAAGAAAAUAAAACAAUCUAGUGAUAUCUAUAAGAAAAAAAAUAGUACAAGGUUAAUAAACAAAAAUAAUUCUAAAAUACCGCGAUUGAGAAAAUAUAAUGAUACAAUAAUAUUUUUUGUAAAUAAAAUAGUAUAAUUUUAGCAAGUAGAAAAACACUUUAGUAUGAAAAAGUGUGUAUAAUCCGCUACCACGUAGACUACUGUCUGACCCAUAGCAUAAUAAAAUCUCAUGACCUAACCUCCGAAAUAGCACUCGCGGGGCGCUACCCCAACCGAGUAUAGUAUUACUAUCAAACUAAACAUGGCAUGUAGGUUGUGGUCAAAUACGAUUAUCAAAUAGAUACUAUCAUAGUAUCUAAAAUACAGUUAUAGUCUCACACUAUCUGUAGCUGUUUAUUAACUUUUAAAAAAAUAUCACAUAAAUAUAUGUCUCAAUUUACUUUACUGAUAGAUAUCAAAAUAUUACUAUUAUCUCAACUACGUCAACAGUUCAUCUCACAAGCUAAAUAAUAUUAUAUGUACAUAGAAAUUAGUCCACCAAUUUUGACAAUACAGAACUCACUUAUAACGCAAGUACGAGAGACAGAAUAGCAGCCACAAUACUUUAAAAGAACUUAAAAAUCCCUCAUCAAAAUUACGCGAAAUCCGCUCCUACAAUCUAUAAAAGAAAAUCAAUUUCUAAUUCUCAAUUUCUAUCAAAAAAAUAUCAAAAAAGUUUAAACGAGAAAUAAUAAUAUUGUGAUACUAAUUGCAAUGUUGAAACACCAAAAAAAUAUAUGUGUGUGCGCUUGACUCACUCGCUUGUUACAAAGAAACCAAACUUUUUCUUUGUUUUUCUUUGAGCUCAAACUCCAUCUCUCUAUUCUAAUUCUUCAAGGUGAAGGAAUAAAGUGGAUAAGUAUGAAGCCUUAUGUCACGACAUAAAGAUUUUCUCCGCGAUUUCGCUUUGCAAUCACCCAAACUCCAAAGCGGACAUCUGACGGAGGUUUUGGCUUGGAAUCUUCUGGAAGCUUCUACGCGGAUCUCGAGACUGAUGGUGCGGAUACCGGAGGGUCAAGAGUCCCUUAGAGUUUCUAGGAUAAUAAAUGUAUGACUCUUCGAGUUUCUAUGCUAUUUAUUAGGACUCUUGGGAGACCGCGUGGCCUCCCCUUUUGGCUAGUAGUAUUGUGCCACUUGGGACCAUUUCAUUGGCUUUAUGGGCGGCGAGUGGCCUAUAAAUAGUGUGGCCUCCACCCCCUCUCAUUUAAGAAUCCUCAUUUGUAUUCUCAACCUUAAAGUAAUAGAAGAGCUUUCUUCUUAUCUCUCUCUUAUACUUAGUCUAGGGCGAGCGAGGUCCUAACUUAGCAAGUAGAGAGGCAGGCUUGCUCACUUCGCGAAGGAAGGCGAGCGCCGCACGGGCUUUUGCGAGCAAAUUCGUUAAGUCCGUGACAGUUGGUAUCAGAGCCGGUUCGAGAAGGAGCCAUGUCGUCAUCAGAGGCCGGUGCUGGCGACGUUGGGGGUGAAGCCUCUAAGCAACCCUCCAAGCGGAGCAAGGGCAAGGACACACGAAUCACGAAGGAUUCCGCGUCGGUCGAGGACCGCCUUGCACUGUUGGAGGACAUUCUAUCGAAGGUGGGAGAAAGGUACACCGAGAUGGCCGAUACCUUUAACGCCUUUAAUAAUGAUGUUCGCAGUAUGGAGGAGAGCGUCGCCACUGCCAUGGCAACCUUUCGAGGCAAACUCGAGAAGCUCCAAGGCAACAUCACCCGUCGUGACGACGAGCGGAAGAACUUGAUCGAGGAGCUAGUCACUCGAGUCGACGAGGUCGAGGACCUCAAGACGAGAGUGACUAUCCUUUGGAAGGCGGUGGCUCGAGGCGGUGAAACGCAGAAGGAGUACACCCCAAAGGUCCGCGUCCCUGAACCCCAAUGCUUCAAGGGAACGCGCGACGAGAAGGAGAUAGACAACUUCCUUUGGCACAUGGAGCGCUAUCUCAAGGCGCUGCAGAUCGAGGACGAGGAGGACAAGGUCCAGACCGCUUCCAUGUACCUUACCGACGAUGCGAUGCUGUGGUGGCGUCGGCGUUCUGCAGAGGCCGAGAAGGGCCAAUGCAAACUGGAUACCUGGGAGGACUUCGUGCGCGAACUGAAGGCACAGUUCUACCCCGAGCACGUCGAAUACUUGGCGCGGAGGCAACUUCGACGGCUCAAGCAUACAGGAUCCCUCAAGGAGUAUGUCAAGGAGUAUUCCAAGCUGAUGCUUGCCAUCACCAGCAUGGCCGAGGAGGAUCGGCUGUUCUUCUUCCUCGACGGUCUCCAACCGUGGGCUAACAAGGAGCUCGUGGCGAGAGAUGUCAAGGACGUGAGCUCCGCUAUUGCUCAGGCGGAGAAGCUGCUGGAGUAUGACAAGCCGAACUUCGCUCGUGGCAAACCAUCUAAGGCGAGCAAGGCCAAGGGUGGGGGAGACCGCCGCGAGCAGCGUGAUCACAAGGGCCAAGAGCGAAGAGGCCCUCCGCAGAAGAAGAAGAUCUCUUGCUAUGUCUGCGGGGGUGAUCACUGGGCGAGAGAUUGUCCAAAGAAGAAGACCGUCAAUGCAAUCCAAGCCAAGGAGGGCAAGGAACAAGCAGAGACGAAAAUGGGCGCGCUACGACUCGUCAGCGCAAUCCAGGGGCAAGCGAGCAGCAAACUGCUCAAGAAGGAGCUGCUGUUCGUGGACGUGACCCUCAACGGGAGGGCCACUCGAGCGCUCGUGGACACGGCAGCGACCCACAACUUCAUCGCCGAGUCUGAGGCCAAACGGCUGGGCCUCACACUCGAGAAGGACACGGGCAAGAUCAAGGCUGUCAACUCGGUGGCACAACCUAUCGUGGGAGUAGCCAAAGGGGUGACGAUCGCUGUAGGACCCUGGUCGGGUACAGCGAACUUCACUGCCGCGACCAUCGACUACUUUAAAGUCAUUCUCGGCAUCUACUUUCUAGCUUCAUCGAAAGCGGUCCCGAUGCCGCAUCUCGGGGCCUUGAGCAUCAUGGAGGAGGCAGCCCCGUGCAUGGUCUUGGCUAGCCGUAGCGAGCCAGCGGCAACCCACACCCUCUCCGCUCUGCAACUGCGGAAGGGGGUAAAGCGCGGAGAGAUCACUUAUCUUGCGGCCAUCCGCGAGGUGAGCGACGAGGACCUCGAGGAGGAGGGCCCUCCAGCGGUGAUCGAUGCAGUCCUGGGGGAGUUCAAGGACGUCAUGCCCCAGGAGUUGCCCAAGAGACUUCCACCUAGACGGGAGGUGGACCAUGCGAUCGAGCUCGAGCCAGGAGCAAAGCCACCAGCAAAGGCACCAUACCGCAUGGCCCCGCCAGAGCUCGAAGAGUUGCAGCGUCAACUGAAGGACCUCCUCGAUGCGGGCUUCAUCAGGCCGUCGAAGGCACCCUACGGAGCACCAGUCUUGUUCCAAAGGAAGAGCGACGGAAGCCUGCGGCUCUGUAUUGACUACAGAGCGCUCAACAAGGUGACGGUAAAGAACAAGUACCCUAUUCCUCUUGUUGCUGACUUGUUUGACCAGCUUGGCGGAGCGAAGUUCUUCACCAAAUUGGACCUUCGCUCGGGGUACUACCAAGUCAGGAUCGCGGAGGGCGAUGAGGAGAAAACGGCAUGUGUGACGAGGUAUGGAGCCUACGAGUUCCUCGUCAUGCCAUUCGGCCUGACGAAUGCGCCGGCGACCUUCUGCACCCUGAUGAACAAGCUAUUCCACCCCUACCUCGAUCGCUUCGUGGUAGUGUACCUCGACGACAUCGUCGUGUACAGCAACACUCUGGAGGAGCACGUCGAGCAUCUGCGGACGAUCUUCCAAGUGCUGCGGGAGAACCAACUCUAUGUCAAAAGGGAGAAGUGCUCCUUUGCGAAAGAGGAUGUGCACUUCCUUGGCCACUGGAUCUGCCGAGGACAACUCCAUAUGGACCAGCAGAAAGUGCGGGCGAUCUGCGAGUAGGAAGCGCCCACGACGGUGACCGAGCUGCGAUCCUUUCUCGGACUCGUCAACUACUAUCGCCGUUUCAUCGCGGGCUACUCUGCUCGAGCGGCCCCUUUGACGGAUCUGCUGAAGAAGACCCAGUCAUGGGACUGGACCCCUCGAUGCGCGGAGGCAUUCGAGGACUUAAAGCGGGCGGUGACGGAGGAUCCGGUGUUGCGGCUUCCCGACUGCAGCCGUCCAUUAGAGGUACAUACUGACGCCUCAGACUUUGCUAUUGGUGGUGUUCUCGUGCAGGACGAAUACCCCAUCGCCUACGAGAGCCGCAAGCUCAACGACACCGAGCGGCGAUAUACGGUGCAAGAGAAAGAGAUGACCGCCAUUGUGCACUGCCUUAGGACUUGGCGGCACUAUCUCCUUGGAAGCAAGUUCGUCGUGCGGACAAACAAUGUCGCGAUUAGCUACUUCCUUACUCAGAAGAAGCUGUCACCCAAGCAGGCAAGGUGGCAGGACUUCCUGGCGGAGUUCGACAUAGAACUCUUGUACAAACCCGGGAAGGAGAACCAAGUGGCUGACGCACUCAGCCGCAAGGCGGAACUGGCAGCGGUGUGCCAGAUCCAAGGCGCGAUCAGGGAGCGAAUCCGCGAAGGGACUUGCGAAGACCCUGUGGCCCAAGGACUCGUGCGACUCAUCAAGGAGGGCAAGGCGCAGUGAUUCUAGCUUAGCGAUGGGCUGCUCCUCACCAAGGGGCGGCGCGUCUAUGUGCCCAGAUAGGGCAAUCUUCGUCGUGAGCUCAUGAAGGAGUGUCAUGACUCCAAUUGGGCCGGACAUCCAGGACAAAAGCGGACGAUGGCGCUACUCGAGGCCGCCUACUAUUGGCCUCGCAUGCACGGCGACGUGAAGGCGUACGUGCGGACCUGCCUUGUGUGCCAACAAGACAAGGUGGAGCGCCAAAGUCCUGGGGGCCUCCUCGAGCCCCUACCUACACCGACGCGUCCGUGGGAGAGCAUUUCCAUAGACUUCAUCUCCGCCUUGCCCAAGGUGGGGACGUUGGGGUCCAUCCUCGUGGUGGUGGACCGAUUCUCCAAGUACGGGACUUUCAUCGUGGCACCAGCGAAUUGCACGGCGGAAGAAGCGGCGCGGCUCUUCGUCGGCAAUGUGGUGAAGCUUUGGGGCAUCCCCGAAAGUAUUAUGAGUGACCGAGACCCUAGGUUCACGGGCAAGUUCUGGACAGAGGUGUUCCGGAUCUUGGGGUCGGAGUUGCUCUUUUCCACCAGUUUCCAUCCGCAGACGGACGGCCAGACGGAGCGGGUGAACGCCCUACUGGAGGAGUACCUGCGGCACUAUGUCAGUACCAACCAAAAGGAUUGGGUGCAUCAUCUGGAUCUGGCCCAGUUCUCCUACAACUUGCGGCGGAGCGAGUCAACCAACCUUAGCCCGUUCGAGCUGGCAACGGGGAGGCAACCACUCACUCCGCAUUCUGCUGCUGCGGGCGAGCAGGGCCGCAGCCCAAUGGCUCUCCAAUUCACUUCUCAUUUGCAGGAGAAGGGGGACAUUGCGAGAGCCUAUCUCGAGAAGGCGGCCCGCCGAAUGAAAAAGUGGGCCGAUGCAAAGCGGCGACCCUUGGAGUUUGCCGAGGGAGAUCGAGUGUUGAUCAAGCUGCAACCACAACAGUUCAAGGCUUUUCGCAAAGUGCACCGUGGGCUUUUGCGAAAGUACGAGGGGCCUUUCACUGUCAUCAAGCGAGCGGGCAAGGCAGCCUACAAACUGCAGCUCCCCGUCAACCUGAAGAUUCAUCAUGUCUUUCAUGCUAGUUGCCUGCGGCCCUACCAUGAAGACGCUGAGGACCCGAGCCGGGGCGUGUCGCAGCGCGCUCCCGCCACUAUGACCACUGCAAUCGACAAGGAGGUCGAAGCCUUACUGGACACUCGCACCAUUCGGCGUCGCGGAGUCCCGAGGAGCGUCGAGUACCUUGUCAAGUGGAAGAAUCUCCCGCAUGGCGAGGCAAGCUGGGAGAAGGCUGACACUCUCUGGAAGUAUCAGAAGCUGAUCGAUGACUUCCAACACCAGCGCGCGACGAGGACGUCUGCACAAUAGGUGGGGGAGGCUGUCACGACAUAAAGAUUUUCUCCGCGAUUUCGCUUUGCAAUCACCCAAACUCCAAAGCGGACAUCUGACGGAGGUUUUGCCUUGGAAUCUUCUGAAAGCUUCUACGCGGAUCUCGAGACUGAUGGUGCGGAUACCGGAGGGUCAAGAGUCCCUUAGAGUUUCUAGGAUAAUAAAUGUAUGACUCUUCGAGUUUCUAUGCUAUUUAUUAGGACUCUUGGGAGACCGUGUGGCCUCCCCUUUUUGCUAGUAGUAUUGUGCCACUUGGCACCUUUUCAUUGGCUUUAUGGGCGGCGAGUGGCUUAUAAAUAGUGUGGCCUCCACCCCCUCUCAUUUAAGAAUCCUCAUUUGUAUUCUCAACCUUAAAGUAAUAGAAGAGCUUUCUUCUUAUCUCUCUCUUAUACUUAGUCUAGGACGAGCGAGGUCCUAACUUAGCAAGUAGAGAGGCAGGCUUGCUCACUUCGCGAAGGAAGGCGAGCGCCGCACGGGCUUUUGCGAGCAAAUUCGUUAAGUCCGUGACACUUAGGUGCCUACAUGGACUCCAUACAUAGUAAUAGCAAAAAUGCCAAUAAAAUUUAGUAGUAAUCUUAAGUUUUUGCACAUCGCUACAUCCAAGAAUUGAAAAUUUAAUAGCAUCAAUAACUUGGUACUAUUAGUAGUAUUCUAACUUAACUCUAUAUAUAUAGAAUCCAGCUACUAUCCUUUGAGGAGGACAAAGGUCUUCAUCCUCCUAAGUCGUUUUCGAUGAUAGGGAUCUCGAAUUGAUAAUUGGAACUGUUAAAUUUGAUUUAGAGUAUUUAAAGUAUUUAGAAACUAAAUUUCAUGAAUUUUAAAAAUUAUUUGUGUGGUGAUCAAAAGAUCACAAAAUUGAUAUUUUUUUAUAGCUUAUAUAAGCCGUUUGCUUAUUGAACAGUAUUAAACAAACUAAACAGUUUGAAUUUUUGAUAGAAAACUUUUUAUAUUAUUUAAAUAAUAUUUGAUAACUUCGACCAUGAAUUGAAAAAGUUUAACAUCUAUUCACAAGGUUAUUUAUUUUUAAUCAUUUAUUUUUUGACUUUUCAAUAAACUUAUAACGAAUUUUACAAUAUAUGAAAUUUAAUUUUUAGGCAUUAUAAAUACUUGACAUACUCGACAUCAACUUUAACGGUUUCAAUUAUCGACUAUGAAUCUCUAUCAUCUAAGACGGCUUAAGGGGAUGAAAACCUCCGUUCUUCUAAAAAGAUAAUUGUUGAACUCUCUCUCUCUCUCUCUCCCUAUAUAUAUAAUAUAUUCGGACUUUUGGAGCCUAAUUCGAGAGCACGCUCAAAAUAAAUUUCGUAUUUUCUUUUUCUGUUCAAAUUUAGUUCAUUUAAUUGCUUUUUGUGCCUAAUUCGAACGAGUUCAUUCAAGCUCGGUUUGAAAUAAAUUUCAAAUUUUUUUCGUUCAAAUUUAGAUCAUUUAAUUUGGAGUCGAGCUCGAGUGAAACGAACAGCUAGAGCACACUAGCUCAUUUGCCAGCCCUAAAUCCAAUACCCUUCUCUCUGUCUAGUUCGAAUAUAAGCAAGAACUAGUUAUUACAGGAAUAGGUACAAAAUAUAGGGAUAAGAAAAAUAGCAUUUGGAUGAAAAUUGAAUUGUUUCCGCGGUUAAGAAAAAUAGUGUUUGAAUAGAUAAUAUGAAAUAAGAAAAAUAGUAGAUAGUUAUAUAUAAAAAAUGAAGAUGUUGGUGAGAAUAGUUAUAUCAGCAUAUCCGAAAAUUACUAUUUUCAGAUAAAAAAAUUUAUGUUUAGGAAUAAAGGGAGUGAUAAGGGACCUUUUAUCCCUAAUCCAAACUGUGCCGAGGAGCCUCGGACAAGUUGUAUAUUUACUUCUUCUAAACCCUUCUGGUCCCUUCUCUUCUUUUUUUUUUUCUCUUUUUUUUCUCUCCCUCUUUUCCAAAGCCAAAAAAACAGGAAUAAAUAAAAGAAAAAAUCCUAUGAUGAGAUCAUAUAUAUAUAUAUAUAUAUAUAUAUAUAUAUAUAUAUAUAUAUAUAUAUACCAAUGUAUACAUUAUUUCUCAUGAAAUUUGUCAUGUGGCAAUUUCUCCUUCACCUCCCUUUCCACUCGAGGAUGGGAAGAUUUCUAAUUAAUGUAUUCACAUAAUCAAUUUUAUCUAAACAAAUCAUGCAUUCUUAAAAAAAGAGUAAAAUAAAAGCCCUCAUACUCUUUUUUAUCACUUUUUUUUUACUAUUUUUUUGUGCACAAGAAGGGAUGAUUUUUUUUAUUUUUUAAUCUAUUUUUAUUUUCUGAAAUUGUGUUGGGAUUGAAAUUAGGGUUUCGAGGAUAACAACGGCACGACGAGAUGAAGUGCGAUGGAUUUGGACUCGAUGAAGGAGGAUCCGUACGACAUCAACGUGGCCAUAACGAAGGAGAAGCUCGAUGUUGACAAUGGGUGGAGGCGACGCGGAGAACGGGAGUCACCUUUCCGAUCUCGGCAGCGCGAUCAAGGUACGUAUAGAGUAAUAACUCUAUUACCACUUCUUUCAUUAUUAUUACGUAUAAUUUAUUUACUAUUUUAAGUUUUGCUACAUUUGUAUAUAUCUAUUUUAUAUUUUUUAUUUAUAUUUAUUAAUGUUUCAUAGCAAGUUAAAAAAUUUUAAAAAUUUUAACUUGGUCAAUCUUUUNUGAUUUCUAAAUUACCUUUACUAAUAAAUAAAAUUAGGGCCGUUUGAUUUUCAUGUAAUUAGAAAUCAAGCGUAGUUGCAUAUGUGUGCAGUUGAUACAGCAGUUAUAAUUUAUACAUAUUUUGUUUGGCAUGUAAUAGAAAUGUUACAAUUAUAAAUAAUUUAUUUAAUUGCAUAUAACUAAAAAAUUGUGUUUUAAAAAUUUUAUCACAAUAAAUAAAUAAAUAUAUACAUGGUGAUAAAAUUAUCUCUAAUUUAAAAAAAAAAAUUCUUUAAAAAUAGUUAAUGAGGUAAAUUUAUUUUUAUUUAAAGCUAUAUUUUUUUUUCACUGUUGUAAAUGUAAUUAUGUAAAUUUUAACUAUUGUUGUUGGAGCGUCUAAAAUAGUUGAAUUUAAAUAUAUCAAAUUAAAUAUUAAAUUUUUUUGAGAGAAAGGUAGUGCGCUAUUCGCUUCAUUCAGUAAAAAAGUGAAUUAAGUUACAUGGGUGAGACAGUAAGAUCUCGAUGAGCGGUGAAAAAAAAAAAAAAAAAACUAAUAGUUUCCAAACUCCGGGCUAAGUUUCAAUUAUAGGUCCGUCAACAGCUUGAUCUUGUAGAUGCUAACUAUUGGGUCAAUCUGGAUCGUCCUAAAUAUCGCUCUAUUCCUAAAGUCUCAAAUGACCCACCAGCAAAUUAUAAGUCCUAUAAAUUUUAUAUGCUAACUAUUAAAUAAAUUUUUUUUAAGAGUGCUAACUAUUAAAUAAAUUUUUUUUGAGAGAUAGAUAGCACGCUAUCCGCUUCGUUUAUUUUAUUUAGAAAUAAACUUAGCUAGAAAUGUGAAUCAACUAGAAUUCGAACUUGAGUCUCAGGUACCAACCACCAAGCCCUUUACCACUUGCUUUAGGAACGAUCGGUGCUAACUAUUAAAUAUUAAAUUUGAAUUUGUAUAUAGUUAUAAUUAUAUACAAUCAAAUAAUUUUUGUAAUGUACACUUGCUUUUAAUAUUAUAAUGAGUUGGUCUUUUCUAUAUAUGUAAUAUGUGGUAAUGAUUUUUAUCUUACUUUUAAUCCUUGCUUCAUGUAGGCUAGGUCUGGAUAUAGUGAAUUUUUAAUAAAUUUUUUACGAAUUAAAAUUGUUCGCGAUAAGGCCUUAUGCUUCCCACAUUACGAAUCAAAUUAAACUCAAAAUAAAUUUUAUUUUAUUUUAUUUGUUUUUCGGAAUAGAUGGGAAUUAAAAGCUGUGCUAAACUUAAUUAGAACAUUUGCAUCCCUAUUAAUCGACCCUCAAAACAAAAUUAUAAUAAACCCAUUAAUUUUUAGGAUAUUAAACAUUAAAUAACUUAUAAUAUAUUUAAAAUAAAAAUCUAUAUAUUAUUUCUCUUUAAAUUAUCACAUGACAACUUUUUCUUUAUAGUUGAGUGUGAACUCCAUCCCGAACCAAUUCAAGUUAGUCCUCUUUCUUCGGUUGUUACUUUCGUUAAACGGCAAGAUGAAUCCCACCACUCGUCAUCGCUUUUUUAUUGAUGUUUUCUUAUUUUUCGAUGUUUUCUAUAUUUUUUUAAAUUAUCUAUUUAUCACAUCUUAGAAAUUACUAUGCUAUUAAACAUUAAUAAAUAAAUUAUAAUAUAUUCCUGGUAUAAAAUUCUUGUGUCGGUUGGAAGGUACUUUUGGACGGUGGUCCCUAUUUCUGUGUUAGAUUUGGUGGGCCCCAUUUUCUGUGUAGCUCAAGAAAGUCUUUGUUUUUUUUUUUCUAUAGCUACCUACACUAAAAAAAAAAAAACUCAACUAAAAUAUAUAAAAUACUAAGAUUUCAAAUUUCAAAUUUUAAAUUUCAAAUAUCAACAAAAAAGAUUAAGAUCGAUAGUUUUAGCCAUUGUCAAUGUUGCAUAUCAUGUUUCAUGCUACUGUCAAAUACUUCCUAACUACGUAGAAUCUGUUUGUUUGGAUGAAAGUAAAAAUUGGUGAAAUUACGAUCAAAACUCGAGUUAUUCGAAACAGCAUAACUAACUUCAAGGAAAAAAAAAAAUAAUAAUACAAUGGAUAAUACUAGUUAUAUUUAAAUAUAUUAAUUAUUGUUACUAAUUACUUUUUUAUUUAGUUUGUAUAUUUAAAAUAUGAUGAAAAUUAAUCAGUUAAGUUUUAGUAUCUCUUUCAAUUUAAUUUGCAUAUUUAAAAUAUGAUGAAAAUUGAUUAGUUAAGUAUUAAUAUAUUUUUUUGUUUUAUAAUUUUAUUGGUGUAUUAUUAUUAUUUAUGUAUAAAAAAUAAUUUUAGUUGUUUUAGAUUAAAUUUUUAAUUAUAUAAAAAUAUAAUUAUAUUAUUUUUAUUUAUUAUAUUAUAAUUUAUUAUUUAUUAAAUUAUUUAUUAUUUAUACAUAAAUUAUGUUUUUAUAUCAUUCAGCGAAGUUGAAAAAACUUUACUUUCAUAACUAUGAAACAAACAGCAGGGGAAAGUAGUUUUCGCAUGAACUAUACUUUAACUCAAAUUCUAUUUUAACUCAAAGUCCAGUUUCGGUGAAACAAAUAGGCCCGUA